rnacentral:lncRNA from 1 species
GGGUGUUGGAGGUUUCACUGCUAAAGAGUAAAAUAUUUUCGACUUUAGUUUUGAAGUAUUUGUUAUUUGUGAUGUUUGCUUACUCUAUUUUAAUUUGUUUGUCUGGUUUUGAAUUGAUACGAAUUUUAAAAAAGUGUAGUUUCAAUUUGUUUAUCUAAUUUUGACUUAGACAUGGAGUUUAAGAAAGUCUCAUUUCAAUUUGUUAGUCUGAUUUUGACUUAGACAUGAAGUUUUAAAAAGCCUCGUUUAAAUUUUUUUGCCUGAUUUUGACUUAGAUAUGGAGUUUAAGAAAGUCUUAUAGCAAUUUGUAUGAUUUUGACUUAGACACAAAGUUUAAGAAAGUCUUGUUUCAAUUUGUUUGUCUGAUUUUGACUUAGAUAUAGAGUUUAAGAAAGUCUUAUAGCAAUUUGUAUGAUUUUGACUUAGACACAAAGUUUAAGAAAGUCUUGUUUCAAUUUGUUUGUCUAAUUUUGACUUAGAUAUGGUGUUCAAAAAGGUCUCAUUUCAAUUUGUUUGUCUGAUUUUGACUUGAUAUGGAGUUUAAGAAAGUCCAGUUUCACUUUGUUUGUCUGAUUUUGACUUGACACGAAGUUUAAAAAAGUUUGUCUAAUUUUGACUUAGACACAGUGUUUAAUAAAGUAUCAUUUCAAUUUGAUUGUUUGAUUUUAACUGCUAAAGAGUAAAAUUUUCUACUUUCCUACUUUUCUUUUAAUGCUUAGUCACUCUGUUUCAAUUUGUAUAUCUGGUUUUGAAUUGACAAAGAGUUUAAGAAAGUCUAGUUUCAAUUUAUUUGUCUUAUUUUGACUUGGACACAAAGUUUAAGAAAAUUUGGUUUCAAUUUGUUUGUCUGAUUUUGACUUAGAUACGAUGUUAAAAAAAGUCUCGUUUCAAUUUGUUUGUCUGAUUUUGACUUGGCUUGGAGUUUAAGAAAGUCUAGUUUCACUUUCUUUGUUUGAUUUUGACUUGACAGGGAGUUUAAAAGAGUGUUUAAUUUUGACUUAAACACAAUUUAACAAAGUGUCAUUUCAAUUUGAUUGUCUGAUUUUGACAUCUAAAGAGUAAAUUUUUCUACUUUUCUACUUUUAUUCUAGUGUUUACUCUCUCCUUUUCAAUUUGAAUAUCUGGUUUUGAAUCGACAAAGAGUUUAAGAAAGUCUAGUUUCAAUUCGUUUGUCUGAUUUUGACUUUGACAUGAAGUUUAAGAAAAUCUGAUUUCAAUUUGUUUGUUCGAUUUUGAUUUAGACAAAGAGUUUAAGAAAGACUAGUUUCAACUAUUCGUUUGAUUUUAACUUUGACACGGAUAAGAAAGUCUAGUUUCAAUUUGUUUGUCUGAUUUUGACUUAGACACGGUGUUCAAAAAAGUUUCGUUUUAAUUUGUUUGUCUGAUUUUAACUUGACAUGGAGUUUAAGAAAUUCUAGUUUCACUUUACUUGUCUGGUUAUGAUUUGACACAGAGUUUAAAAAAGUCUGUCAUAUUUUGACUUAGACAAAGUUCAAGAAAGUGUCAUUUCAAUUUGAUUGAUUUUGACUGCUAAAGAGUAAAUUUUUCUACCUUUCUACUUUUCUUUUAAUGUGUACUCACUCUGUUUCAAUUUGUAUAUCUAGUUUUAAAUUGACAAAGAGUUUAAGAAAGUCUAGUUUCAAUUUGUAUGUCUGAUUUUGACUUAGACAUGAGUUUAAGAAAAUCUACUUUCAAUUUGUUCAUCUGUUUUUUAUUUGCAUUGAGUUUAAGAAAGUCUCAUUUCAAUUUGUUUGUAUGAUUUUGACUUAGACAAGGAUUUUAAGAAAGCCUAGUUUCAAUUUAUUUUUAUAGUUUUAACUUAGACACGAAGUUUAAGAAAGUCUCGUUUUAAUUUGUUUGUUUGGUUUUAACUUAGGCACGGAGUUUAAGAAAGUCUAGCUUCCAUUUGUUUGUCUGGUGUAGACACGAAGUUUUAAGUCUAGUUUUAAUUUGUUUGUCUGAUUUUGACUUAAGCAUGAGUUUAAGAAAGCUUGUUUUCAAUUUAUUUUUCUGAUUUUAACUUAGACAUGGAGUUUAAGAAAGCCUCGUUUCAAUUUGUUUGUCUGGUUUUGACUUAGACACGAAGUUUAAGAAAGUCUAGUUUCAAUUUGUUUGUGUGAUUUUUACUUGAAACAAAGUUUAAGAAAGUCUCCUUUUCAUUUGUUUUUUUGGUUGACUUAGACAUGGAGUUUAAGAAAGUCUUGUUUCAAUUUAUUUGUCAGGUUUUGACUUAGACACGGAGUUUAAGAAAGUCUCAUUUUAAUUUGUUUGUCGAAUUUUAAAUUAGACACAGAGUUUAAGAAAGUCUCAUUUCAAUUUAUUGGUUGUUUGGUUUUGACUGCUAUAGAGUAAAUUUUUCUACUUUUCAUGUGUUGAAGCUUUUGGGUAUUUUUAAUAUUUGCUCAUCCAUUUCAAUUUGUUUGUAUAGUUUUGACUUGGCACGAAUUUAAGAAACUAAAGAGAAAUUGAAUUUUUUUUUCAUAACUGUGGCCUCCACUAAUUUCACGUGAUACUUGUCACCUCCCACCGGCAACAUGUACUGGUAAUUGGUAAACUCUGUCUACCAAAACUAAGAAGAUAAGAAGACUUUUGAAUCUUUUGAUCUUAAAUUAAAGAUAUAUAGAAUGUACUAAAAUGUCUAAGAUGUGUAGAAUGUACUAAAAUAUCCUUUAAUUACGUGGUCUUAAACAUGUCAUGGGAAAAAUUGAAAUUAAAGUGUUGCUAAAAAAAGUUAAAAAGACAUUCCUUUUUGAAAUGUACUAAAAAGGAAAGUAAUACAAACAAAUUAAAAUGGAGAGAAUAACUUUUUUCUAGUUUAUAUUUGUUUUUAAGUAACUUUUGUAUCGAGUAUGUUGCUGAAUUUUUUUGGGGGGACAAGUUUGUUAGAGAGUAUAAGAUUUUGAGGUCGUGAUUUAUGAAUGAAAGUUGGAAUCUUCAUUGAUGUACUAAAUGUCCUUUAGUCUUGUGGUUUUAAACUAUUUUAUGUGGAAGAUUUAAAUUAAAAAGUUCCCUCCAAAAAGGAAAGAGAUAUUCCUUUUGGUAUGGACUAAAAAGGAAGUAACUAAACAAAUUGAAAUGCAGAGAGUAACUUUUUUGUUGUUAAUAGUGUUUCUAAGUAAGUUUUCUUUACUGAGCGUGUUGCUUAUACUCUACUCUCCCCAAAUCCCUCCUAUGAAAUUACACUGGGUUUGUCGUUAGUAUUAAUAUGAAAGUGCUUUAAUGGAACUAGCGUACUGUAUAAUUUCAUUUCAUGUGGACAAGGCAUUUCUUGGAAUCCAAUAAUGUAAUAUUUGUUGCACUUCUGUUAAAUAGGAGACCAGAUGGAAGAGUUGUCCACUCCACAACAAAUGAAAAGAGGCAUGAUACUGUCGCUUUAGCGUCAGUGGAUGGGCAUCACCAUUCUUCUUCGCGGUUUCAUUAAUAGGGGUCGAACACUUCAAAAUGGCUUCAUGUUGGAGGUAUUGAAGUUAUUUAGCUCUGAACUCAUAUGACUGCUUCAUCUGUAGCUGUUUCAUUGGAACAUAUGAUUGACGUUUAAGUUAUCUAAGAAGUUUUAGAUGUUCUAUUUAGCCCCAACGGUAGCAUUAACUGUCAAAAUCAUAGUACUAUCUAUAGUUUGUCAAUCUUGGUGGAAGACAAUGUAUUACUCAGCUGUGUGGCACAAACAUCUAGUACAUAUUCUUUAGCCGAUGGAUCCUUUCAGUCAUCUCAUCUAAAAGCUUAAGUUGUUAGAGAGACCACACUUGAUUCUUUUUCAUGGGCCAAGCACGUAAAAAUUCUUUUGACCACACUUUUAUUAUUUAAUUGUAUUCUCAACAUGCUCCCUCAUGUGCGGGCCUGACCAAGCACGUAGAUUUUUUUUUUACUAAUGGGUGGCAGUGAGAUUCGAUCUCAGGAUCUCUGCCUGCUCUGAUACCAUGUUGAAGUGUGUGACCAUCUCAUCUAACAACUUAAGCUGUUAGAGAAACCACACUUUAAUGAUUUAAUUAUAUUUUCAACAUCUUUUUUCAGCUCUCACUCAUUUUACCGAUAGUUCUGCUUUUGCAAUUUCAACUAACUCCUUGAGGAACCUAAAACAGGAAGGAAAGCCUAUUAAAGCAUAAAAAGGACUUUCCAAAAUGAGCAUAAGUCUGUUAGUUACAAAUUAGAAUGAAGUUAUGUUUUUUGAAGUGAAGAAAAUAAACAAACUUUCAGACCAACAGGUUUGCAAGCAGUUCCUUCUUGGAUUUCCACAUAACUAGAAAGAGUCUGUUGCUCUAUCAUUUGGAGAAUCAACCAAUGAAGAUGCAUCCUUUGGAAUUUCUGAUUUCUCAGAGUUGGAAAAUGCAUCAGCUGGUCACACAAGUAGCUUCUUCUCAGUGUCUGUUGAUCAUCUUCCUACAAAUAUUUUACGAGAUCUCUUAAUUUGGACGCUGGUGAUGCAGAAAGUGGCAUGCUAAGAAAGAAGAUUUUUAAUGAAAUAGUGCAAAAAUAUGGAAAUAGUGCUUUUAAUGUUGAUGAAGCUUCUUCUUUGAACCCAAUAAGUGGUAAUGUUGAUGAAGCUUCUUCUUUGAACCCAAUAAGUGGUAAUCAGGUCACAGCCCGAAGUCCUUCACUGAAUGAAAGUCCUAGUCGAAAGAAUAAAGUUAAAACCAACCGGAGGAAAGAGGAUAAUUGUAUACCAGAUGAAAAUCUGGAAAAGAAGAUAUACUCUGGAAGAUAUGCCAGAAAAGAGAUUUUUGGAUAGAUUACUGCACAAAAGGGGUAGUGAUGCUUUUAUCGUCAGUGAAAUUUCUUGGUUGAACCAAGAAAGUGGUAAUCAAGUCACAACCCAAAGUCCUUCUCUGAAUGAAAGUCAUAGUAAAAAAAAAGAAAGCUAAAAGAAAUCGAAAGCAAGAGGAUAGUUGUAUACCAGAUGCAAAAUUUGGAAAAAAAGACUUGCAGGAAGCUACUCCAAAUGAUAUGCCAGAAAAGAGAGUUUCUGUAAUACCCUGUAUUUUUGUAAUACCUCAUAUUUUUCUAGCUCAAUUUAACUCUCAGUACAUGAGUAUUCAUAUAUAGAAAUUUAAAAAUACUCACUAUUUUUCAAUUUAGAGCUUACCAUUGCAUAGGAAAUUCAGUCAGCUUUCCAAUGAUAAAGUUCGCCCAAUUUCGAUACCUGAGCGAAGAGUUAGAGCCAUUUUUGUAAAGCAGUGUGCCAAUUUGCACUUCACCGCAUCACAGAGGCCAGCCAAAUGGCAGUUGCCAAAUUCCAGUGUUGCUCCAUGAUAAUGGCGCAUCGCGCCAUAGACCCAGCUCACAAUUUUCCCUUUUCUAGUGAAGCCACGCAAUUUCGCUGCGUCGCAACGAGUCCCAAAUUCGUAUUCAGUAUGACGACGUGAUACCACCGCGUCGCGCCACCAACCAAAUUCCUAAUUGUCAUUUUCCAGUAUUCCAUUGCGAUCAUGGCGCAUCGUACCAAGGGUGAAAUUUGCAUACAAAAGGGUACCGUUAUUCCACCGUGUCGCAUUGAUGAACCAGUUCGCAAUUAUCAGUUUCUAGUGACACGACGCGAUAGUGCCGCGUUACGCUUGGGCUCAAAAUUGAAUUUUUCCAGUGACGAUUUUUAAUUCUUUAGCCGAUGGAUCCUUUCCGACAUCUCAUCUAAAAGAUUAAGUUGUUAGAGAAACCACACUUGAUUCUUUUUCAUGGGCCAAGCACGUAAAAAUUCUUUUGACCACACUUUUAUUAUUUAAUUGUAUUCUCAACAUGCUCCCUCAUGUGCGGGCCUGACCAAGCACGUAGAUUUUUUUUUUACUAAUGGGUGGCAGUGAGAUUCGAUCUCAGGAUCUCUGCCUGCUCUGAUACCAUGUUGAAGUGUGUGACCAUCUCAUCUAACAACUUAAGCUGUUAGAGAAACCACACUUUAAUGAUUUAAUUAUAUUUUCAACAUCUUUUUUCAGCUCUCACUCAUUUUACCGAUAGUUCUGCUUUUGCAAUUUCAACUAACUCCUUGAGGAACCUAAAACAGGAAGGAAAGCCUAUUAAAGCAUAAAAAGGACUUUCCAAAAUGAGCAUAAGUCUGUUAGUUACAAAUUAGAAUGAAGUUAUGUUUUUUGAAGUGAAGAAAAUAAACAAACUUUCAGACCAACAGGUUUGCAAGCAGUUCCUUCUUGGAUUUCCACAUAACUAGAAAGAGUCUGUUGCUCUAUCAUUUGGAGAAUCAACCAAUGAAGAUGCAUCCUUUGGAAUUUCUGAUUUCUCAGAGUUGGAAAAUGCAUCAGCUGGUCACACAAGUAGCUUCUUCUCAGUGUCUGUUGAUCAUCUUCCUACAAAUAUUUUACGAGAUCUCUUAAUUUGGACGCUGGUGAUGCAGAAAGUGGCAUGCUAAGAAAGAAGAUUUUUAAUGAAAUAGUGCAAAAAUAUGGAAAUAGUGCUUUUAAUGUUGAUGAAGCUUCUUCUUUGAACCCAAUAAGUGGUAAUGUUGAUGAAGCUUCUUCUUUGAACCCAAUAAGUGGUAAUCAGGUCACAGCCCGAAGUCCUUCACUGAAUGAAAGUCCUAGUCGAAAGAAUAAAGUUAAAACCAACCGGAGGAAAGAGGAUAAUUGUAUACCAGAUGAAAAUCUGGAAAAGAAGAUAUACUCUGGAAGAUAUGCCAGAAAAGAGAUUUUUGGAUAGAUUACUGCACAAAAGUGGUAGUGAUGCUUUUAUCGUCAGUGAAAUUUCUUGGUUGAACCAAGAAAGUGGUAAUCAAGUCACAACCCAAAGUCCUUCUCUGAAUGAAAGUCAUAGUAAAAAAAAAGAAAGCUAAAAGAAAUCGAAAGCAAGAGGAUAGUUGUAUACCAGAUGCAAAAUUUGGAAAAAAAGACUUGCAGGAAGCUACUCCAAAUGAUAUGCCAGAAAAGAGAGUUUCUGUAAUACCCUGUAUUUUUGUAAUACCUCAUAUUUUUCUAGCUCAAUUUAACUCUCAGUACAUGAGUAUUCAUAUAUAGAAAUUUAAAAAUACUCACUAUUUUUCAAUUUAGAGCUUACCAUUGCAUAGGAAAUUCAGUCAGCUUUCCAAUGAUAAAGUUCGCCCAAUUUCGAUACCUGAGCGAAGAGUUAGAGCCAUUUUUGUAAAGCAGUGUGCCAAUUUGCACUUCACCGCAUCACAGAGGCCAGCCAAAUGGCAGUUGCCAAAUUCCAGUGUUGCUCCAUGAUAAUGGCGCAUCGCGCCAUAGACCCAGCUCACAAUUUUCCCUUUUCUAGUGAAGCCACGCAAUUUCGCUGCGUCGCAACGAGUCCCAAAUUCGUAUUCAGUAUGACGACGUGAUACCACCGCGUCGCGCCACCAACCAAAUUCCUAAUUGUCAUUUUCCAGUAUUCCAUUGCGAUCAUGGCGCAUCGUACCAAGGGUGAAAUUUGCAUACAAAAGGGUACCGUUAUUCCACCGUGUCGCAUUGAUGAACCAGUUCGCAAUUAUCAGUUUCUAGUGACACGACGCGAUAGUGCCGCGUUACGCUUGGGCUCAAAAUUGAAUUUUUCCAGUGACGAUUUUUAAAUCAUUCCCAAGGGUAAUUGGAUAUUUUUCCAAUACCCAAGUCAGUCCUAAACACGAAAUUUAUCCCUAAAGGAACACUAAUUGCUCAUUAUUUCAUUAUUCACUCAAGAAACAAAGCAUUCUCUCUCAAAGGGCAAAACCCUAGCUUCAAGAAAUCAAGAACAAACUUAAGAAUUUCCUUAAGAACUUUCAAGAAUCAAUAUUCGCAGGUAUGUUAGGUGUUCAUUCAUGGGUUCCUUUCACCUAUGAAGUACAAGAACCCUCUUUAAACUUACAAGAUCUCAAAUUUAUAAACUUCAUGCUUGAAAUUGAUUGUGUUCAUGUCCAUGAUAGUAGUUAGGUUUUAAUUCAUGAUUAAUUAUAAGUUUCUAUGAAAUUAAAAUAGUUAUAUGAUGAAUUAUAUUAAUUGCAUGCUAAACCCUUAAAUUUGCAAUUGAGUAUUGUAUUUAUGAUGUUCAUGUGUUGGUCAUUACCAUGUGAAAUAAUCCAUGUUCCCGAAUUAUUUGCUAAAAUACCUAUGUGAAGUAAAUAGUGGAAUCAUGACAUGUCAUUGCAUGGUCCCAAUCAUGUAUAAGCUUAUGCCCUACAAGUGUUUGAUAAAAUGUGUCUAUGGAUGAAUUAUGAGCAAGUGGACAUUAUUAUGCUUUUCAAGAUCAUGUUAUGCUUUACUUUCAUGCUGUCGAGUACUGGGGUAUUCAAUACCCAAAAAUAUAGCUAUUUACCUAGAGUUAUAGUAGUUAUAGAAUAAUCUCAGUCACGAUAUAGAAUAGUAGUACUCAGUUAGUUACAAAAAUCAGUGAACUCAGUCAGUUACAGAACUCAGUAUCAGUCUAGUUCAUCUCAAUAUAAUAAGUUCAGUGUCUAUUCAGUUCGGAGUAGGAUUCAGCACCGAGUGAACCCAAGGAUGGGGGAUCACCUGCCAGUAGAGGGUGUGAUCCUUAGAAGCAGUCCUUGCAUUCCAGAACUAUGUAGUUAGCGUAGGUUGAGACAUCAACAUGCCAAUUGAAGGUUGAUGAGGUGUUUUAACCUACCAGUUGAGGGUACCAUAGUUCUUAUUAGAGUACCUGCCAGAUGAGGGUAACUCUUCAGUUGUCUUUACCCAUGGCAUAGUACUGACACCCUUCCAGUUGGGGUUACAGGUUGGACCCCAGUUAUCUUAUUUGGGGCAUUUUGGUUAGAUGAUUACUUUCCACUAUUUCAGUUUUAGUUUCAGACUCAGAAUAGAACUCAGUUUAGUUCUACAGAAUCAGAACUGUCAGAUACAGUCAAUCAGUUUUAGUAACUCAGUUAUCAAAACUUAGAACUGAGCUUCAUUAAAAGCUCAGCUAUAGUAUACAUGUAUAUGGACAGUAUUGCAUACUCAGUAUUUACAGCAGUUUCAGUUGUCUAUGUACUCUCAUACUCAGUUACUCUAUAUCAUUCAAUCAGAUAUUAUUCAUGCAUAUGAACCCUUGCAUUCAAUAUUACCUCAUCUAGCAUACCAGUACAUUCCAUGUACUGACACAUACUUUCUCUUUGUGCUAUGAUGUCUUAUAUCAUAGGUUAGGACACUUAGGUUCCUGAUCGCGCAUAGACAAAUUUAGUUAUCAGCAGCAGUUUCAGUAGUGAGUCCUUAUCUAUCGAGGGCAUGCUUUUAUUUUAGUUUAUCAGUAGUUCAUUAGUCAGAGUUAGUUGGGGGCUUGUCCCAUCAACUCCACAUUUAGAUAAUUCAGUUAGAGGCUUUUCAGACUAGACUAGUUUAGACCUUAUUCAAAUUAAAAUUAUUUUAUCAUAUGUUAUUAUUUGUCAGUAUUUUAGAUUUUGAACCUUAUGGCAUUUCAGCCUAUUUUCCAUAUUAUCACAAUAUUAUUAUUCAGUGCUCACAACAGAUAUCAGUCAUGAGUUAGCUUGUGGUCCCUUAGGGUCGUAAGCACCGUGUGGCGUUUAAGGUACAGACUCAGGACAUUACAAACUUGGUAUUAGAUCCUAAGGUUCAAUAGAGUCCUAGGGUAUCUGAAAGUCGCGUCUAGUAGAGUCUUGUGCAUGUAUGUAGUGCGUCAUACUUAUGGACAAGAGGCUAUGAGACAUUUUUAGGAAAAGUUUCCCUACUUUUAGUAUUCAUGUGGUACGAGUGAGCAUGAGCUCAAGUUAAACUCUCAGUCUAAUUCAUUUUUUCCUUUCAUUUAUAGAUCAUGCCUCCCAAAAAGACUAACAGAAGAAGGAACAAAAAUCAGUCAGCACCUCAUCCCAUUCAGGCAGAUCCCUUGGACGAGCAUGUCUCCCAUGCAGAAUUCAAAGUUGUGUUCACACUCUAGCCAUUUCCGUAGUAGCUCAGAACGAACGGCCAGUUGCUGUUUAGGCCAGCCCAGUGGCCAAUACUACUACAACUAGGAUUCGGGACUUCACUCGAAUGAAUACUCCCCUAUUCUCAGGAUCUAAGUUAGAAGAGGAUCCAUAGGAGUUCCUCGAUCAGGUUUAGAAUAUCACAAAUAUUGUGAGAGUGACUUUCAGUGAGAGUGCUGAGUUAGCCGCCUAUCAGCUACAAAAUAUGGAUCAUACAUGGUUUAAGCAGUGGAAGGUAGACAGGGUUACAGAUGCAGAGCCCAUAAAGUGGGAAGAAUUUGCUACUGCUUUCCUAAAUAGAUUCUUUCCCUUAGAGUAGAGAGAAGCCAAGGUGUUAGAGUUCAUCAAUCUCAGGCAAGGGAAUAUGAGUGUAAAAGAGUAUUCCCUCAAGUUUACUCAAUUAGCUAGAUAUGCUCCCCAUGUAACAGCAGACAGUAGGUCCAGAAUGAGCAAGUUUGUGUCUGGGGUGUAAGAAAGUGUGGUUCAGGAGUGCAGAACAAUGAUGUUAAUUAAGGAGAUGGACAUAUCCAAGCUCAUGGUUCAUUCUCAGCAGAUAGAAGAAGUUAAGAAUAAGGAGAGAGAGAGGAAGAAUAAGAGAGCUAGAACAGGUAGCUUCAAUUUCACUUAGCCUAAGUCAGAGAGUGGUAAUCAUUCCCAGUUUUGCCCAAAAUCUUCAGUUCCAUCUCCAUCCUCAGCCAGUGCUCUAGUCCCUAAGUUCAGAAAUAGUAACAAAGAUAGGGCACUAGGCUCUAAAUCUCAGGGUAGUGUCAGCAGUGCUUGAACAAAUCCUCUUUGUCAGAAAUGUGGCAGAAACCACCAGGGUGUCUGCAGGGCUAGCAGUGAUGUAUGUUUCGGGUGUGGCAAACUAGGCCACAAAGUUAGAGAUUGUCCUCAGUCAGGUUCUCAAGGUUAGUAUAAUCGUCCUUCAACUUAAUCUGAUCGCCUGAAUCAGCAGGGUGCCGCUUCAAGUGCCACCAGUGGGCAACGCCCAAACAGGCUUUAUGCACUUCAGUACAGACAAGAUCAGGAAAGUUCUCCUGAUGUGGUCACUGAUACAUUAUAGAUCUUCCAUUUACAUGUUUAUGGCUUAUUAGAUCCAGGAGUUUCUCUGUCAUUUGUAACUCCUUAUAUAGCAGUCGACUUUAAGGUCAAACCAGAAAUCUUAAUAGAACCCUUCUUAUUCUCUACUCCAAUGGGUCAGUUUAUCAUAGCUCGGCGGGUAUACAGGAACUGUCCGGUUAUGAUAUCUCAGAAAGUCACUUCAGCAGACUUAGUAGAAUUAGAGGUGAUAGAUUUUGAUGUUAUUCUCGAUAUGGAUUGGCUCCAUUCAUGUUAUGCCUCAGUUGAUUGUAGAAACAGAAUUGUUCAUUUUUAGUUUCCAAAUAAACCAGUCCUUGAAUGGUGGGGUAGUACUACAAUGCUUAAGGGUAAGUUGAUUUUAUACCUUAGAGCGAGAAAAAUAAUAUCCAAGGGAUGUGUCUAUUAUCUUGUAAGAGUCAAAGACUCUAGUUCAGAGACUCCUAGCCUUGAGACAGUUCCAGUAGUAAAUGAAUUCUCAGUUGUGUUUCCUGAAGAUCUUCCCAGAGUCCCUCCCGAAAGGGAAAUACACUUCGGAAUAGACCUUCUUCCAGACACUCAGCCUAUAUGUAUUCCGCCAUACAGAAUGGCACCAGCUAACUUAGAGAGUUAAAAAGAACAGUUAAAGGAUGUUUUAGAUAAAGGGUUCAUCAGACCCAGCAUUUCCUCGUGGGGUGCACCAGUCUUAUUCGUACGUAAGAAAUUGGUUCUCUCAAAAUGUAUAUAGACUACCGUCAGUUGAACAAAGUCAUAGUAAAGAAUAAAUACCCACUUUCUAGAAUCGAUGACUUGUUUGACCAACUUCAGGGCGCUAGUUACUUUUCUAAGAUAGACCUCAGAUCCAGCUAUCAUCAACUCAGAGUCAGAGAAUGUGACAUUCCGAAAAUAGCUUUUCGAACCCGAUAUGGUCACUUCAAAUUUCUAGUCAUGUCCUUUUGUCUCACUAAUGCCCCAACAGCUUUCAUGGACUUAAUAAACCGAGCGUUCAACAAGUACUUGGAUAUGUUCGUUAUAAUCUUUAUCGAUGACAUUUUGGUCUAUUCUUGUAGUGAGAAUAAUCAUGCAGAUCUUUUCAGAAUCAUACAUCAGACUCUCAAAACUCAUUAGUUGUUCUCCAAAUUUAGUAAGUACUAAUUUUUGCUAAGGUUAGUAGCAUUCCUUGGUCAUAUAAUUUCUGUUGAUGGCAUUAGGGUUGAUCCUCAAAAGAUUGAAGUAGUGAAAAACUAGCCUAGACUCAUUUCACCGUCAGAUAAUAUGAGUUUCUUGGGUUUAUAUGUAUAUUACCAUUGGUUUGUUGAUGGGCUUUCAUCUAUUGCGUCCCCUAUGUUCAGAUUGACUCAAAAAAAGUAAAGUUUCAGUGGUUAGAUUCCUGCGAAAAGAGUUUUUAGGAGUUAAAGACUCGACCCACCUCAGCCCCAGUUUUGAUUCUACCAAAUAGUUCAGAUGGAUUUGUUGUGUACUAUGAUGUAUCCAGAGUAGGUUUAGGUUGUGUAAUCAUACAGAGAGGUAAGGUCAUAACCUAUGCCUUUAGAUAGCUUAAUCCCCAUGAGAAGAAUUACCAAACUCAUGAUCUUGAGUUAGCAGCUGUAGUGUUUGCCUUAAAGAUUUGGAGGCACUAUUUGUAUGGGGUGCAUGUGGAUGUGUUCAUAGAUCGCAAAAGCUUGCAGUAUGUAUUUUUCUAAAAAGAUUUGAAUCUACAUCAGAGGAGGUGGUUAGAAUUGCUAAAAGAUUAUGACAUGAGUGUUCUAUAUCAUUCGGGCAAGGCCAAUUUAGUGGAAGAUGCUCUCAAUAGGUUUUCUAUAGGUAGUGUGGCUCAUGUUGAGAAUGAUAAGAAGAAGUUAGUUCAGGAAGUUCAUCAACUUGCCCGAUUAGGUAUCCGCUUAGUCGAUUCAGCAGAGGGUAGUGUGUGGGUGCAGAGUGUUCAGAAUCAUUCCUGGUUUUUGAAGUGAAGAAAAAUAAGGAUAGAGAUCUCAGUCUAGUUAAGCUUAAGGAGUCAGUCAAAGAUCAGAAAGUAGAAUUUUUCUCCCAAGGCAUAGAUGACUUGAGGUAACGAAUUCUUGCUGAAGCGCAUGAUGCAUGUUACUCUAUUUAUCCAAGGGCCACUAAUAUGUACCGCGGUCUACAGGAGAUCUAUUGGUAGAGUGGGAUGAAGAGGGAUGUUGCAGAGUUUGUAGCUAAGUGCUCUACAUGUCAGCAAGUUAAGAUUGAGCACCAGAAACCUAGUGGGUUUAUGCAGGCAUUCAGUAUUCCUACAUGGAAAUGUUAAGAAGUAAACAUGGACUUUGUGACGAGUUUGCCUUGUACUCGUCAUCAGCAUGAUUCGAUUUGGGUUAUCGUAGACAGAAUGACCAAAUCAACUCACUUCUUUCCAGUUCAUACUUCCUAUUUAUCCAAGGAAUACGCAAAAAUCUAUAUCAGCGAGUUGGUCAAGUUACACAGAGUUCCAGUAUCCAUAAUCUCAGAUAGAGGUACCCAGUUCACCUCUUACUUCUGGAAAGCAUUUCAAAAGAGUCUUGGUGCCCAAGUUUAUCUCAGUACAACUUUCCACCCUAAAAUAGAUGGUCAAGUAGAAAGGACCAUUCAGACUCUAGAAAAUAUGUUAAGAGCCUGCGUUGUUGAUUUUAAAGGUAGUUGGGAUGACUACUUGCCUUUGAUUGAAUUCGUAUAUAAUAACAGUUACCAUUCUAGUAAUCAGAUAGCUCAGUUUGAGGCUCUCUAUAGUAGGAGAUGCAGAUCUCCAAUUGAUUGGUUCGAGGUAGGUGAGGCUGCAGUAAUAGGGGCUGACUUAGUGUUUGAUUCCUUAGAGAAAGUUCAGUUGAUCAGAGAAAGGCUUAGGGCAUCCCAGAGUCGACAAAAAUCAUAUGUAGAUGUGAGGAGAAAGGAUCUCGAGUUUGAGAUUAGUGAUUUUGUGUUCUUGAAAAUCUCUCCCAUGAAGGGGGUGAAGAGGUUCAGAAAAAAGGGAAAGCUCAGUCCCCAAUAUGUCGGUCCUUACAGAAUUCUCAGCCAUUUUAGAAAGGUAGCUUACGAGUUUGAGUUGCCUUCAGAUCUAGCUUCAGUAAAUCCAGUGUUCCACGUCUCCUUGCUAAAGAAAUGCAUUAGUGACCCACGUAUAAACCCUAAACCUAGUUGGAAGCAGCCUCCUCAAUUGAUUGUUUCAUUAAUUGAGGAGAACUUUUAAACCCCUUAAAAAGAGCAUGAGAAGUAAUCAUAGAGGGUAAUUGUUGAUCGAUCACAUAGGAUGGUGGUAGUUAAACCUCGUAGAAAGAACAUUUGAAGUACGCAUAGGGGUGAUAGUGGUUGAAACCCCAUAGAAGGAACACCUGAAGUAUCAUAGAGGGUGGUAGUAUUAUUGAAAACCUUAUAUUUGAAGUAGCCAUAGGAGGUUGUUAUUGAAACCCCAUAGAAUGAGCAUGGAAAGUAAUCGUAGGAGUGGAGGGUAGUUAUUGUAGCCCACCACGCAUAGCUAUUAAUACAAUAUAAGAUAUUAAUAAAUACUAGUUCUGACAAAUAAAAAUACUUAAAAUUGAGAACUAUCUUUUACCUUUAGCAAGCAAAUAUGACUUUGCCUACUCCAAUUUCCCAAUCAUUUCAUACGGGUCCACACUAAAUUGAUCGAGGCUCAUUUGUUUCAACUGAUCUACCAUUUGAUCAAUCUAAAUCUUCAGUUACUCUUUAGAUAAUGUGGGGGGAAAAAGAAUCACAUAGGAAAAAAAGAUAAAUCAUCACAAACUAAUGAAAUAAUAGCGUGGGUAAAAGAAUGACUUUAGUUAUAGACAAAGAGACUGAUGUGGCAAGCCUUUGAUACAAACUAAAAGAACCCUGAUAUUAUGAACUUCUAAGGAGACAUAGUUUAGCAAGGCAGAAAGAGGAAAAGAAAGAAGACAUAAUGAUUGCAUGACAAAAUUUUUUCUUGCAUUUUUCGAAAAGAAGAAGUUUGUCUGCAUAUCUUCUCAACAACAUUGAUACAUCAUAUUGAGUUUUAUGGAAGAUAAGGGAACAGGUGAUACAAAUUUUACCGGUAAAAGCAUUACUCUAACAAGUGAUAUGAAUUUUGAAGCAUCUCUAAAUAUGUGAUACAUCAUAUUGAAUUUUAUAGAAGUUGACAGAACUGAGGUAGUGUAGGUGAUGGUUCUGGACAUAGUGAAGGAUUUAGAGUCGGAGGUAGUGUACGUGGUACUGCAGGAUGAGGUGGUGGUAGUGGUGGUGGUCUUGGAGUAGGGUCAGACCAUGAUGGUGGAGUUGGAAGCGAAGCUGAUGGAGGAGUAGGAAUAGGAGGCAGAUUUGGAGGCGGUGGUGGAGGUGGAGUAGGAGAAAGAUUAGGUCAUGGUGAUGGUUUUACUGUGGGUGGAGGCGUAGAUGGGGGGAAAGGGGAGGAUUAAGAGGAGAAAAAGGAGUAGGAGGGGGGUUAGGAGGUAGAUAUAUGGAAUGAAUUGGAGUUAGAAUUGAAAUCGAUAUAGGAGUUGAUGUUAGAGCUAGAGAUGGCUAGGGUGUUAAAGUAGGGAGCGGGUCCGAUAGUGGGUUCGAUAGCGGGGGUGGUAGUAAUGGCCGAUGAUAAAUCUCUUGUGGCCUUAUAGCUACACUUCGACAGUGCCAAGAUAUGUAUGUUGCUUUAGAUGUAAAAGUUGUUAAGCUACAACUACUAAUUAAACAAAAUUUGUAUAAUUUUGCUUUUGUUUGCAUUGUAUUUUCCCUAAUUUUCUAUGUAUCAUCCUAAGAAUUUACUUAAAUAAUUUAAAUAUUACUUAAAACAUCAAACAAAAAUGAAUAUAAAAGUUAUUUCAUAAAUUAAAUCACUACAUACGAAAAAAUUAACGACAAAAAUAAUUGGUCCUUCAUACAUCACAAAAAUUCUCAACAUUAUUCAUUUUCUAUGCAUUAGAGAUAUAUGAUUAAUAAUAACAACAUUACACAAAAUAGUGAAAUAAAAAUAUUAUUGUCAAAAUUAAAACUUAACAAAAUCAAAGAAUUUCACCGAUAUUAUCACAUAUGCUAUUAUAUGUAUGCAUAUAAAAAAUUUAGUUAUAUCAUGAUAAUUAUUAAGAAAAAACAUACCUUCAAAUGAGAAAGCAAUUUUGAUUCAAAAAAUAACUUAUUAAUAAUAGAGAUGACUUUAUAUUUUGGAGAGCAGUAAAAUAUAUGUAUAUAUGAGAAAUAUUAUCUAUAUUUAUAGAUGAAGGAGAAGGUGUGCAAUACGCUAAACUUGUUGAAUGAAUAGAAGGUUUGAAAAAAAAGUCAAAUAAAUAUUUAAUUAGAAUCUAUCUUCAUUUUGUUACCUUAUUAUUUGGAUUCAUUUUACUUUGUCAAAUUUACUAAAAGUUAGAAAACACUAUAUUCAUGUUUACAAAUAUCUAAAUGAGAUAAUAUUUGUUAUUUUUUACCUUUUCUUUUGGAUAAGUUUUUACCGUUUCAAUUCUAAAACUGAGUAACCAAAUUCAUAUAAGUAUACUACCUGAUGACAAAUAUUUAAAACAAAAUUCUAUCUAUUAUUUGUUAUCUUUUUUUAAUAUAUUUUUAUGGUGUCAAAAUUUACUACGAAUAAACAGUCAUUAUAUAUAUAUAUAUAUAUUAACAAAUAUGUCACUUUUCAUUAAUUAUUUAUUGAAAAUUAAAUAUUCAAGAAAAAAUUUAUAUGUGAUGUCAAAGUACAAUCUUGUAACGUGAUUCAUUUGUCAAUUGUUUUUAUUAAUAAUAAUAAAAUAACUUAUAUAUUCUUUAGUCAUCAUCACCAAUGAUAUUUUCAAAUUUAUUUAAAGAAAAUGAGUGGAAAUAAAAUAAAAAUAUAUAAAUCAUAAAGAAUUAUGAUUUAAAUAUGAAAUGUAAAAUUUUAAAAGUCAAACGUUAAUCAAACUUGAAAGAUAUGCGUGUGAUAGGGAUAAUUCUGUCAUAAAAAAAUAUUUUUCUGCUUCUGUUUCUUUAGAAACAGAAAUUUUCUGCUUCUUUCCAGAAACAGAAAAACUGUUUUUUCUUAUUUUUAAAAGCACUUUUGAAAGUUUACCAAACACCUUUUUUUUUAAUUAUUUUUUCUUCAAAAUAAGUGCUUAUUUUGAGAAAUAAGCAAUCCCAAACAUGCUAUUAGUGUGCAGUUGGGACAUGUUAUCUGGUUGCUAACUUGCAUAUAUGUCGAGGGAAUGAUCAUUUCUUCACAGAAUGUUUCCUUUAAUUUGAAAUAUAUAUUGUGCUUUAGGGUCCUCUAUUGUUGUUAUGAUACAGCUUUUUCAUGGAUUAGAGUUUUGAAACGAAGGAAGAUGGUGGUAAUGAAUGGGGUUCUUCCAAAACAAUAACCGUAGAAUUCAUUGAUGGUAUUUUAAACUUCUAUCUUGAUGAAUUUUGUAGAUUGAUUAAGAAUUUCAAGGGACUAACAUUGGAUUCUUCUGAGCGAAUCGUGUUGUAGAUUGUCACUGUGAUUAUGUCGUAAGUUUGAAUAAUGUAUCUGCUAAGUGUGUUGAAUGUGUUAAGGACACGUUUGGUAGGAUGUAUUAUUUAAAUUAAUCCAUGUAUUAAAAUCUAAUUCAACCUAAUACAUCGUUUGGUUGCACAACUUAAUUUAAUUCCUUCUUAUCCAUGGAUAACUAAUACACCAUAUGGUGUAUUAUCUUAUACCUAGGAACCAUGGGAUUACUUAUCCAUGGCAUAAUAAUACAUGGAUAAGAGAAUUAAAUAACCUAACUACCCCUCAAUUCUUUUUAUUAAAUUUUUUCUUUUAGUUCCAUUUUAAAUCUAAUCACUAAAAAUUUGAUUGUUAUGUUACAUUAAUUUUCAACCUCUUUUUUCUUUGCGUAUGCUGAUCAAGUGCUUAAAUAUCAUUUUCUUCCUUAUAUUGGUUGAUAGCGUCGAAUGAGAACCACAUUUAUGCUAUUGUAUAAUUGUUUAAUUUACAAAUGGAUUAAUUUAUAUAGAAAAGAUUAUUGUCAAGAAAAUAUAUAAUUUGAAAAUCUAAAACUAUAUUAUCAACGAUCCGUGAUGUUCUUAUAUAAUGUGCUUUUGCAUUUUUAAAAAUUAUUUCUAUAUAAUAUGAUAAUUAUUUGUUGUUUUGAAUUUUUCUUGAUUAAAUAGACUCAAUUUUUUUUGGAAAAAAAUAAAUGUUCAACAACCGAGGCACGGCACGUUGCUAAGGAUAGGCUCAUGCUAUAUCUCCCUGGCAAAGGCAUUUCCCCAUUUCUUCCGCCCUUGGCCUUAACCGCUUAAGCAAAGUAAAAAUUAUUAUUCAUAUUUUAACUUUUCUAUAAGAUCAUCCCAAAAAAAUUUGAUGGUAUAGUAGUAAAAAAAUUUUUGUAGAAUUUUAAAUCUAAACACAAUACAUGAUAUAUUUAUGUUUUAAUAUAAUACACCAAACACUUGAUAAAAAAUAAUCCCUCUAUUACUAAUCCCUGCAUUGCUAAUCCCUGUAUUGUUAAUCCAUGAAUAAUAUCUCUUUGUACCAAACGACCCCUAAGUGUGUUGAAUGUGGAAGAUGGUCCUACCACAGGUGUCUGGUACCUGUAGAAGAAUUUCUCUUUGGGUAAACAUUGGUGUAUAGAAUCAACGCAAAGACAAAUCAAUCUGACAGUUCAUUUUCUCUCCUAGACACAGUUCUCGAGGAAAAGGCCUAAUCCAACCUAGGUUUCCUCCCUCCAUCUCCAGUGAUCGUUUCGAUCACCAGACCCCUUCUUUUGUUUUUCCCUUUUCUUCUUCAUUUUCUUUCCCUCUUCUUUUGCUCUCUCUUGCUAUCAUGGAGGACACCAUCUUCUUUGCGGUCGGCUUCAAAUCUUUUGAUGUGUCGUGGCUAAAUGGAACUUCAGGAGAUUGGUAUGAGUGGUCUGAAAGGAGAAAAAGUACCAUCACUACAACUUCUUUUAACAAGAAGUCAAUCGAUUGGAUUGUUCAAACUCCGCGAGAGGCAUCCAUGACGUCCGAAAAUAUUGUUAAAAGAUGGAAGAGAAAAGAUACAUUAUCAGAAAUCUAUUAUGCUCGAGAUUUCAACAAGUUUGGUAUAUAUAUUUUGAGAGGUAAAAAAGAGCAGUACUUAUUAUCCCUAAAAUAACCUUCAACUAUGGAUGGAAAUACAUAACUGACAAAAUGGGGAGGUUUAUCAACAAAUAUCAUAUCGUAAAUAACAUGAGAAAUACAGGUUAAUGGACGACAAUAUUGCUUACGCAGAGGCAUUGAAGAGCAUUAAAUGGGUAACAAGACAGAAUGUGAAACAGAGGUUAAUGGUGCAUUUAUGAAGGAGAGGGGCACAAUAUGCAUUAAUGACACCUCCUUAGCACAUAAUGAGAUUCCAAACAGAAGUUUAGUGGGGAAAUUUGACAACAGAGCUAAUGAGCCCAUUACUCUUUGCAGAAGUCCGAAGAUGGGAAAAUGACACCUGGAAAUAAUAUCACGGUUUGAACAUCUAUGAGAUGGGUAACGGGAGCUUUCUCUUUGAAUUUGUGUUCCAGGCUAUGGCAGAGCAGGCUAUCGCCGGCAACUGAUUAUGGAAAAAAUCCAAAGUCAGUCUACAGUGGUGAAUCCGGCUAUAGGGGUUGUAGAGAAGGAGUACAAACCCAAUGCAACUUGGAUUAGAAUUGUAGGGCUUCCACUACACCUCUGGUCCCAACAUGUAUUCAAAGCCAUUUGAGACUCCUGUGGAGGUUGGGCUGAGACCGAGGAAGAAACGCAAUUUCUAAAUCACUUUAAAUGGGCGAGAAUAAAGGUCCAUGGAGAUGGAAGAGAUAUUCUGAAAGAAAUCACGGUGGAGAAUGAUGGAAUCCUAUUCACUAUGCAGAUUUUGGAAGAAAUUCUAAUGAGAGUGAUAACCAGUGAUACACAGUGCCCCAACUCUUUUUCCAAAGGUCGCCGAUGACAAACACGAUGGAUAAAAGAGUAGGAGUAUGCAGAGAAAGUGGUCAAAGGUCAGAAGAGCCACAUGACUUUGCAGUCACACGUGGAAAGGAGAGGACAAUAAAUUCAAAUUGUGGGACAUGGGCGGACCGGCUAGAAGAAACUCGCCAAGGCCCAAGUUACUCAAAUAUUUCUGAAAAGGGAAAAGGCCAAUUAUACGACUCUGACUCUUUAGCUUUGCUUCUAAAGCCACGUGAGGGUCAUGUGGAAUCCUCAAUAGCGAUGGAAAAGGGACUUUGGAUUAAAAAGGACAAAUAAGUUAUCCAAUUAAGCAAGCAUUCUUCAAAUUUUUUAAAUUAGGUGGGAGGGACAAAAUCUUUUUGAGUUUUUUUUUUAAAAAUUUUUCCGUUCGAACAACUUGUUCCAGUUGUAGAACAACUUUGGUAGUUGUUUGAUAACUUUGCGAAGUUGUUCAACAACUAGAUACAGUUGUCCUAUAACUGCACCUAGUUGUUGAACAACUAGGCGUAGUUGUUCGACAACUGAGAGAAGUUGUUCAACAACUAUGCGAAGUUGUUCAGAUAACUAACGUAGUUGUCCCACAACUAUCCCAGUUGUUCAAGGGACUUAGUUUUUUUUAGGGACAAGUUGUGGACCCACUUGUCCCUUUUUUUAAUUGGAAACUUGUCGGGCCCUUGUGGCUUAUUUUUCUCGAUGAAGAAGCCAUGUGGGAAUAAGAAAAGAAAACUCAGAGGUUUGCUGGAGAUUAAAAUGUUAGCAUCGCGAUUCCUAGAGGCCUUCAAAGAUUGGGAAUCUAAUGCUAGAGAAGAAACGAACACCACAGACAUAAAAAAGAAUACGAUCGAGAAGAUAUCAACAAUCCAAACAACGGAUAAACUCCAGAACAAAGAAAAUUCAGAAAACUUAGUCAGUCAGAAGUGAGAGACACAUGCACUGAGGUUCCAGGGUAGGGUACGUUACAGAGGAAAACAACUUACAAUUACAACGGAUUCAUGAUGUAGAACCCGUCUCCACGAUAUCUAUAGGGAACAAAGAGAAUCAAAAAUAAAAGCCUCAAAUUGGGUAAAUUCCUAUAUACUGGAGCUGACUAAUACAUACGAGGUGGCUUUUGUGGGAUUCGAGAAGGAAACUUUAGCCCUUCUUAUGAGGUUAGACAAGAUGAAGACUAAAUUGGAGCGAAAGGUACAAAGGAAAGUCACAAUAACUUCUACAAGCAGGGAAUCGGGAAAAUCGAACUGAAGAAUUUACAAUCCAGCCUCAGUGAAGAAGUAGAUGGUGACAAAAACAGAAGGAGAACUCUUAGUCAGACUUUUAAAUGAAAAUCAAUCUUAUCAGAUAGAAUGUAAGAGGACUAAACAAUAUUUCCAGUAGGAAUUUGAUUAAGAGCUUGUUACAGAAGAGGGGAGCUGAUGUGUAUAGUUUUCAAGAAACAAAAUUAAGCCGGAGGAGGAGGUUGCAAAACUGCUCUGGCCAAGCAGGUGGAUGAAGUGAAAUUUUAUUGAAGCCGAAGGUAGUGGUGGAGAGAUUCUGGUGAUGUGGAAAACAAGAUUCUGGGAUGGUGUAUUGGUUGAAACUGGCCAAUACUCUUAUCACUCUUAAAUUUGAAUCUUUACAAAGUUCUUUUACAUGGUUUCUCACUGGGGUGUAUGCUCCUCACACGAGAAAGGAGAAAUUAGAGUGUUGGGAGGAAUUAGCUGCAAUUAAGGAGCUGUGCGGGAGACCGUGGAUUACUUACGGGGAUUUCAAUACAGUAGAUUCAUGGCAGAAAGAAGAGGUUGCAGUAGAAUCACAAAUGUUAUGUGAGAUUUCUCUAGAUGGAUUGAAGAUAUGGAAUUUCAUGAAGGAGGGAACUUUUCGUGGUUUAGGAGAGUCAACCAUAGAAGCGCUGCGAGGUUGGACAGAUUUUUGUACUCCAUGGAGUGUUCAGAAACAUCUGACAGAGAUUACUUCCUAGGGUGACCUCCGACCACAGUCCCAUUAUGCUCAAGUGUGGUAACUAGGAGAAGAAUAGAUCCAACUUUAAAUUCAAAAAUCGGUGGCUCAAGGUGAGGUUUAGCAAUCUGGUAAGGGUUUGGUGGAAUAAAUUUGUGGUAGAGGGAUGUCCAGACUACAAGCUUAGCUUCAAAUUAAAAAUGGAAAAGGGCCCAAAAUGCCCUUCAACUAUGUGAAAUGAUGCAAAAAUGCCUCCCGUCUAUCUAUUGGGCCUAAAAUGCCCUUCCUGUCUAUCUAUUGAGUCUAAAAUGCCCUUUCCGUCUACCUAUUGAGGCUAUUUUGCCUUUUUAUUUAAGAAAAAAAUUACAUAAUACCACAACUUAUCUUUAUUAAACUACAUAAAAUCCCUAUUCUUUUUAUUAGUAUUAACCAAAUAAAUAGUGCAUAAUAUUUAUUUUUCGUCGUUCUAAAUUGAUAUGAUAAAUAAAAGAAAAAACAACAUAAAUAGUCAUUUUUUAAAAAUUAUUACAUAUACAUAGCUGUAUUAGUUGAUUGUCAGAUAUAACAUAUAAAAUAUUUAUACUUUAACUUGACACAAAGUUUAAGAAAAUAAAGAACAGUUUUGAAUCUUAUGGCCUUAAAUUAAUGUUGUGUCAAAUGUACCCAAAUGCCCUUUAAUCUUGUGGUUCUAAACUAUUGCAAAAAAGGAAAGAGCUCUCUCUUUUUGAAACGAACUAUAAAGGAAAGUAGGUCAUUCUUCUUGAAACGGAGGGGGUAUUAAAUUCCCAUAUUUGUUAUUUAAUGUCUAUUUUUAUGGAAGCCCCUAGUCAUUCAUUUUUUAUCUACUAUAUCAAAAUUUUAUGUUUUUCAUUUUUAUUGUUUGUUUUCCCGAUGCAUCCAUAAAAAUAUAUGGUAUAUUUUUAUCAUAAAAAUUCAUAGUAUAUUUAUAUAUUGUACAAAUUAUAUUUAUAUCAUAAUAAUACACGGUAUAUUUAUACCAUAAACAUACAUGGUAUAUUUUAGAUUAUAUCAUGUAAUACUGAAAAUAUAUUUAUAUUUAAUAAAUAAUUUUUUAACAAGAAAACUACUUCUGACAUAAUGUGAUAUAUCAUAAAUAUUUAUCCCAUAAAUUAUAUUAAAUAUAUAAUAAUAAUCUGACUUUGACAUAAAUUAUAUUUAUACAAUAAAAAUACAUGGUAUAUCUGUACUUCCAACAUAAUAAUUUUUAUUCCAUAAAUAUUUAUCUAUAAAAAAUUAUGGUUAACCCAUUACACUAGAAUUAAAAAUACAUGAUAAUCAAAUAAUAUUAGAUGAUUAACAUACAUGAAAACAAAAAGAAACACAAAGGAGCAAAUAAUGGAAUACUUAGUUUAUUUAAAAAUAUUUGAAUUUUGAAUACAAAACAGAGAAAGAUUUCGAAGCAGGGAUUAUCUUUUUCACUUUAAUUUUGAAGAUUGAAAUAUAUUUUUUAAAUUAAGCUGAAUUGUUAAUUAGUUAUAACAUUAAAUUAGGAAUUAUAAUUAUAUUUUUUAAUUCUUUUAAAUGGCUACAUAUAUAUGAAAAAAAAACUUUUAUUUUUUUAAUAUUAAAAAAAUACUAUUAUUUAUGUAGUUAAGUCUUUAGGAUGAUCUUUUCAUGUAAUUUGCCUAAAUAAAAGGGUAAAAUAGGCUCAAUAAGUAGAUAGAAAGGACAUUUUAGGCCCACGGAGGGCGUUUUUGCAUCAUUUUAUAUAGUCGAAGGAUAUUUUAGGCACUUUUCCGAAUUAAAAAUGUUGAAGAAAAAACUUUAAAGUAUAGAGCAAAACUACUUUUGGGAGUUGAUUAAUAGAAAGAAUAGUUUGUUGAAUGAAUUGGCCAAGCUUGACUUAAUCCAAGAUAGCAGAAUCCUGCCAAAAGAUGAGAUGAUAAUCAGAGCUACAAUUUUAGUGAAUUGGAGGACCUUGCUAAAAAAAAGUCAACAUGGAGGAAGAAAUCCAGAGUGCUUUGGUUGAAAAAAGGGGAUAACAACACAAGAUUCUUCCAAAGAAUGGACGGCCUCAACGCAUAGAGGAUAUAAUUCAAUCGAUAGAUUGGUGGUGUAAGGAGAGGAAAUCAAAGAUCCCGAAGGGAUAAAAAUAGCUACAAUAGAGUUCUGUAGCAAGCUUUAGUCAGAAUCAGAAGAUUGGAGACCAUCUUUUGAGUUGCUGGACUGUGCUAAAGUCACUCAAGAGGAGCAGGAAUAGCUACAGAGAGCUUUUUUUUUUUGAACUAAAGGUGCUUCAAAUUGUCAAGCAAUGCGGCGGUGACAAAGCACCUGGACCAGAUGGUUUUACUAUGCAAUUCUCCAAGGGAUGUUAAAGUAUAUUGAAGAAUGAUUUGAUGCUUACUAUCCAGAACUUUCAUCAAAAUGAAAUAUUUGAAAAAUCAUUCAAUGUUACCGUUAUAGCAUUAAUUCUGAAGAAGCCAAGAACGGAAGAACUCAAAGAUUUUGGGGCAACCAACUUGAUAGGAGGAGUGUACAAGAUCAUCUCUAAACUUCUUAUUGGGUGGAUAAAGACUGUUAUGGAUAAACUGGUUGAUAAACAUCAGAUGACCUUCCUAAAAGGCAGGCAAAUUCUAGAUGCAUCUCUGUUGGCCAAUGAGUUGGUGGAUUCUAGAGUAAGACAGAAGACCCCGGAAUUCUAUGCAAAUUGGAUAUCGAGAAGGCUUAUGACCAUGUCAACUGGUCCUUUCUUCUCAAAGUACUAACUAACAUGGGAUUUGACACUAAGUGGAUAAAGUGGAUAAGAUUUUGCAUAUCCAAUUUAAAAUUUUUUCUCAUCAUCAAUGGUAAUACAGAAGGAUUUUUCCAAUCAUAGAGGGGCUUGAUACAAGGUGAUCCUUUAUCACCUUUUUUUUCUUCUUCUAGUCAUGGAGGGUUUAAAUCUUGUGAUCAGAAAAGCUAAAGUAAAUGGAUGGAUUAGGGGCUUUUGUGCCCAAACAAACGGGGGAAGUUCCACGAAAAUCACACACCUACUGUAUGUUGACGACUCACUAGUUUUUUGUGAUGCAAAUGUAGCUCAGAUUAGAUAUCUACGAGCCAUUCUAACCAUCUUUGAAGGCAUCUCUGGACUGCAUGUUAACUGCAUAAGAGCUCUAUUUUUUCGGUUAACCAGGUGGACAACUUGCAUCUAUUAGCUGAGAAUCUAGGCUGCCAAACAACCUCUCUGCCUACCAAGUAUUUAGGAAUGCCUUUGGGUGCAAAAAACAAAGAGCUUCAAAUUUGGAUUGAAGUGUUAGAGAGAUAUGACAAGAUGUAGCUAAGUGGAAGAGUCAGUAUCUAUCUUUAAGGGGGCAGGUUGACACUCAUAAAGUCUGUGAUGGAUGCCCUCCCUACUUAUAUGAAGAGUUUGUUCCCAAUACCUAAGAAUAUUGAGAGGAAGAUCAACAGGAUUAAGAUUUUCUUAUGGUACGGAAACAAGGAGAAAAGGGGUUAUAACUUGGUGAAAUGCGACAUCCUGAUGCUUAACAGGAACCAAGGAGCCAAAGGGGCCUGGGUAUUAAAAAUCUUAGCAUUUAGAAUGAUUGUCUAUUGCAGAAAUGGCUCUGGAGAUUCUGUACAGAGAAUAUGCAGCCCUAUAAAGAUUUAUUAUAGAGAAAUAUGAAUUACUAACUCAAUGGACAAUAGAGGAGGUCACGGGUACCUCUGUCUGUAGUGUUUGGAAAUUCAUCAGAAGGUUAUGGACUCAUUUCUUUACCAAUGUCUCUUUCAAAGUGGGAGAUGGAGCAAAAACUAAUUUCUGGAAUGAACAUUGGAUAAGUGAGGAUAAUUUAAGAAAUCUAUUUCCUCAUCUUUAUAUCCUAAGUUCACAAAGAAAUUUUUCAGUGUCACAAGUGUGGUGUCCUCAAGGAUGGAAUCCAGUGUUCAAGAGAGACAUGAAUGAUUGGGAAGUGGCUGAUAUUGCUAGUCUUUUGCAAAUAUUAAAUCUGUAUCCAGGGAUAACUAGUGGAGUGGAUAAACCAGUCUGGCAGUUACAUAGCAAAGAAAAUUUCACUGUUAAGUCAUGCUACUCAUGCUACUGGGGAAGAAACCAUAACCUCUCCCCUACAAGUAAAUGGCCUUGGAAGCAAAUAUGGGAAGUCAAAAAGUCCACUAAAAGUUGUUUGCUUUAGUUGGUUGGUGGUUUUUAGAACUUGUCUUAUCCAUGAAGUGUUACAGGGAAAAGGUUUGGAGAUCUGCUCAAGAUAUUUUUUAUGUGAUCAAGACGUAGAGGUUAAUAGCCAUCUAUACUUACACUGUAGAACAACCGUAAAACCCGUGGAAUAUAUUCUUGUGUAUCUUAGGGGUUUGUUGGGUGAUGCCAAGUUCCACCCUUGAGUUCCUUAACAGCUGGAAAUGAAUUGAUAAGAGAGGAUCUGAUGAAGACCGGUGGAUGAGCAUCCCAACAUGUGUUUGGUGGACUUUAUGGAAAGAGAGGAAUGCAAAGAUGCUUUGAAGGUAGAAGCAACAGUAUGCAAAAGAUAAGAUGUAAUUGCCUGACUUUAUUGUAUUUUUGGUGUAAACAAGAAUUGGGGGAGGAUACAAUAACACUAGUUGAUUUCAUAGGUAACUUGUAAAGUCUUUUAUGUUUUUGCAGUCCCCUCUGAGGAUAUUCCACAUAGUAUGUGGAUUGUAAAGGUCACUCGUCAUUUUUUGGAUGAUGAGCAUUUUGUGAAUAGAAAAGAUACCCUUGAGUAAAAAAAAAAAACAGGUGUCUGGUCCCUAAAUUUUUGUUGUUUGAAUCCGGUGCUUUUACCUCCCCUGAGGUGAUUAAGGUGGAUCAAGUGUUGUAAUCCCUCUAUCCCAUAUCCCAUGUGAUAAAAAUGUUUACCCACUUCAAAAGACCAACUAAGAAAUUCAGUUUACCGUACAAUCUUAGUCAAUUAGUAUGUUGUUUGCUUUAGGUUUCCAUAACUAGGGAAUGGGUCAACAAAUGUUCUUUCACAUUGUGUUGAACGUGGGUUUUGGCAUGGUUGUAUGCAUGGAUAUCGUUGGUGUGAAUAUUGUUUUUUCAAUGAAUACUUACGUUUGUACCGACAUUAUUCUAUGAUGUUACUACUUACUUUGUCUACUAAUAUCCUGAUAAAGAAAAAGAAAAAUAAAUUCCAGUCUCAGUUGUAUGUGGACGAACCUGCCUUAGUGUCAUUAUCGUGGAUUCGUGUCCAUAGUGUUGGGGAGUUUAAUUAGCAAGUUUUAAUCAAUGAAGCGGUGUAUAGAGCCUAUUAAAGAAGUUAGGAACUUUCAAAUGCAUAUGAUGCCUCCAAUAAUUCUUAAAGAGUUGUUUUCUUUUAAUGUGUUAUAUUUUAAUUCUCUUAAAUUUUGUGCUAUGAGCACAAUUACUUUUAUGAUUUACCAGUUUAUUUUAUAGGGUUGUAAUUCAGUGUUUGCUCAGAAUUGGGUAUUCUAGUCGUUUGUCUUGUAGGCUUAUGUAGAUAUAUCUGCUGCAUUGAGAUUUGAAAAAGUUUGAUGAGAUCUUUUUUGUUUGAUGAAAUCUCAUUUUUGGCCUAUUUUUCUGGAAAGUGGUUUGUGAUCACUACAAAUCACAACCCAAAAGAAAGCUGGUUCAUAAUCAGUAUCUUGGCAUAUUCUUACGAGAGAAAAUCAAGAUAUUGAUUGUUAGCCAGCAGUUUUGGCUUUGACUUUUUGUAGCAUUAACUGAAACAUCUGAAUAUAUCUGGUAAUACUUCACCUCAAUAUGUUUAGCAGUAAACAUGUGUAACUUGCCUCAUUGUGUAAUUCUCUCAACUAUCUACUUAUAACCAGACCGGUCAGUUAGGUUAAUUUCACAGUAAAAGGCCAACAACUCACGUAAUUGUAUUCUCUUGAUAAAGUGAGGUGAUGAUACAUGAAAUGGGCAUUAGAUUAAUUGUUUUUAAGUAAACCCAUAACUACUCCAUCAACAUUAGACCAAAGUGUGUCAAAAAUAUGUAUCUAGAAAGUUAAGUGAUUUCGUAGCUCCAUGCAGGCCAAGUUAGCCUAACUAUUUAUAUAUUCUGGUAUUUCUAUUUACACCUAAAGUACCAAUGAAACAAAUAUGAUAUCUUCUUACUUGUUAUAUUACCUAGUAUUUAGCAAAACUCCUAUUUGUCCAGAUUAAUCAAAUAGGCAUAGUAAUGUUAUUGUCCAAGUUGCUUUUUUAUUUUGCUGAUAUUCAUAGGUUUGAACUCUUGACAAUACUCGUGACAGGCCCAGUCACCCUGUUCAACAUCCCUAAGCCAUUUUAAAAAGCGGCAAUGUAACAGUCCAAAUUGACAAAAUAAACUUGCAAUGAUUUAUUCACUUUUAUAAUAAAAUGGUAUAAAAGAUGCGUUUCAGAAGAUCAUAACAAAGAAAGGCUCUUUUUCCCCAUAUAGUAAUAGUGUAAAAUGCGAUAGAUAGAGUAUAUAUCAUGGUGCUUUGCUCCUUAUAUACAUUCUACAUCAGCAUUUUAUCACAUGGAUAAAUUUGUGUUGCAAGAUCUUACCUGUAGAUGACUUCUAAUUUGUUGAUCUCCGUGUCCAUACCGUGCCCUUCUCAUCCUCUAUUGAGCAAUUAUGUUAUUCUGGUUAAGUAAACUUUAAUUCCUCACCUCUCUAAUUAUAGAUUGCCCAUUCCGAAGGUUUAUAAAUUCCAAGUAAUCCAGUUGACAAGUGGACACCUCUCCCUGGAUAGUCAACCACUUCUGCGUUUCAGUCAUUCACCAUGCGAUACACCUGUGUAAAUUCCUCUUUUUAAAUCUGUUCCUUUAUGCACAUGUCCAACAUACUCUUGCCAUUUCCAACUUUGGAUUUGGAACAUAAACUUCAUCCUGUCUGUUCUCUAUCCAUGUACUCAGCGUGUAAGAAUGCAAAACCUCCACUAAGACCAUCACUUGUGGUAUUCUACUGGCUAUGUUCAAUGUUGUUGUUUGGAAGAUGUGCAAACAAACUUUUUUUUUCUGAAAAUGGAAGUAAAAUUUUAUCAUACAAUUGUUGUGUCUUCUUUCUUUUCCUCUAUUCUUUCUGCCUUGCUAACCUCUGUCUCCUUAGAAGCUCAUAAUAUCAGGGUUCUUUUAGUUUGUACCAAAGGCUUGCCACAUCAGUCUUUUUGUCUAUAGCUAAAGUCAUUCUCUUAGGCAUGCUAUUGUCUCAUUCAUUUGUGAUGAUUUAUCUUUUUUUUUUUGUAUGAUUCUUUUUCUUUCCUAGAUUAUCUUUGGAGCAACUGAAGGUUCAGAUCGAUCAAAUGGCAGAUCAACUGAAACAAAGGAGUUUCGGUCAAUCUAGUGUGGACUUGUAUGAAAUGAUUGGGAAAAUGGAGGACGCAAAGUCAUAUUUGCUUGCCAAAGGUAAAAGAUAGUACUACCUCUGUCCCAUUUUAAGUAUCGCCAUUUGACCGGACACUGAGUUUGAGAAAUAAAUGAUGACUUUGUAAAGUUUACAAAAUUGUCCCUCUUAAUGUUUACUUUUUAGUUGUUUUUUCUUAAUAAGUGGGACCCACUAAGGAUAAAAUGGGAAUGAUGCCAUUAAAUAAUUACCAAAUAAGGAAAGGUGACAUUCUUUUUGGGUCGGACCAAAAAGUAAAUGACGACACAUAAAAUGAGACGGAGGGAGUAUUCAGUUUUAAGUAUUUUUAUUUGUUAUCUAUUAAUAUCUUAUGUUGUUUUAAUAGCUAUACGUGGUGGGCUACAACAACCACCCUUGAUGGGUAUGGCUUCACUCCACGAGUACUUUCCAUGCUCAUUCAAUGGGGUUUCAAUAGCAACCCCUAAGGCUACUUCAACUAUGAGAUUUUCAAUACUACAACCAUCCUCUAUGCGUACUUGAGAUGUUUCAAAUGCUUUUUCUAUAGGGUUUCAACUACCACCACUCCAUGUGACCGAUCAACGAUUACCCCAAUGGUUACUUCCCAUGCUCUUUCUAAAGGGGUUUCAAAGACCUCCUCAAUUUAUGAAACAGCCAAUUCUGGAGGCUGCUUUUAACUCAGUUUAUAUAGGAGAAAACCGAUGAAUGACCUUUUGUUCCUGUGAACUCUCUCACGUAUUGGUUUACCACAAUAGUGGCUGAUUUAGAAGUUAUAAUAAUUGAUGAGGCACAUUAUACCAACUUAAAGAACACUAAUACCGCAUAUAACUUCAUCAACUAAAUGUACUUAAGUGACAUUAACGUUCCUGUGAUACUAAGGAGCACAAAAUUACUUAAAAGAAGUCAAUCCGACUAGUUGCCCGGGUUGUUAUCUCGCAUAUCCCCAUUUAUAGUGAAAAUGUUUUGGCCAUCACUUGGGAAAUUUUUUUUAUGAGAAUAAUGAUUCACCUAUCUUAUCAUGGAAGGUGUUUGGAUCGAAAUACAUGCUUGUCAUUAUCAUUGAUAGUGAAAGUAUCUAGUUUUUAUAUAUGUUUUUUAAGUUUACGAAUUAACAUGUUUUUCACGAUUUCACUUAAAUUAUUUUUUAUCUACAUUUUGUAGUGUCAGAUGAAGCGGGUCCAUCUAAUUGAGCGUCCGGCCUUGGGUAAUGUGAUAGUGCUCCAUCUUAUAGAAUCAAUGAAGUAAGAAUGACAAGUGGUCAUCAUAAGCUCUUCUUUUUGAUGGAAUAAGAUGAUUAAUGCUAUUAAUCAACAUCGCAUACAUAGAAAUAAGUCAGCUUCUAAUUUACUUUAUCCUCAUUGAUGCUAUAGGAUGGAGCACUAUCACAUUACCCGAGGCCGAACGGCUUGAUUAGAAGGACCCUCUUUGUCUGGCACUACAAAAUGUAGAUAAAAUGUAACUAGAGUGAAAUCGUGAAAAAAAUGUUAAUUCGUAAACUAAAGAAACAUGUAUAAAAAAUAGAUACUUUCCUUAUCGAUGAUAAUGACAAGCAUGUAUUUUGAUCCAAACACCUUCCAUUGAUAAGAUAGGCGAAUCAUCAUUCCCGUAGAAAAAAAUUGCUCAAGUGAUGGCCAAAACAUUCACUCUAAAUGGAGAUAUGCGAGAUAACAACCCGUUUAAGUUAUCACAGGAAUGACAAUGUCUCUGAAGUACAUUGAAUUGAUAAAGCUAUAAGCGGGACUACUGUUCUUUAAGUUAUCACAGGAAUGACAAUGUCUCUGAAGUACAUUGAAUUGAUAAAGCUAUAAGUUGAUAAAACUAUAAGCGGGACUAUUGUUCUUUAAGUUGGUAUAAUGUGCCUCAUCAAUUAGUAUAGCUUCUAAAUUAUCCACCAUUAUGGUAAACCAAUAGAUGAGAGUGUUCACUGGAACAAAAGGCCAUUCAUCGGUUGAUUCCCAUGUAUAAACCCAAAACCAACCUCUUGAAUUGAUUGUUCCAUUAAUUGAGGAGAUCUUUUAAACCCCUUAGAAAGAGCAUGGGAAGUAACCAUAGAGGGGUAAUUAUUGAUUGAUCAUAUGAGAUGGUGGUAGUUGAACCUCAUAGAAAGAAUAUUUGAAGUACGCAUAGGGGUGGUAGUGGUUGAAACCCCAUAGAAGGAACACUUGAAGUAUGCAUAGAAGGUGGUAAUAGUAUUGGAAACCUUAUAUUUGAAGUAUCCAUUGGAGGAUAGAGGGUGGUAGUAGUAUUGAAAACCUUAUAUUUGAAGUAGCCAUAGGAGGUUGUUGUUGAAACCCCAUAGAAUGAACAUGGAAAGUACUCGUGGGAGUGGAGUCAUACCCAUCAAGGGUGGUUAUUGCAACCCACCACGCAUAGCUAUUAAAACAAUAUAAGAUAUUAAUAAAUACUAGUUCUGAGAAAUAAAAAUACUUAAAAUUGAGAACUAUCUCUUACCUUUAGCAAGCAAAUAUGACUUUGCUUGCUCCAAUUUCCCCAUCAUUUCAUACAGGUCCACACUAGAUUGACCGAGGCUCCUUUGUUUCAGCUGAUCAACCAUUUGAUCAAUCUGAACCUUCAGUUUCUCUUUAGAUAAUGUGGGAAAGAAUCAUUCAGGAAAAAAAGAUAAAUCAUCACAAAUUAAUGAAACAAUAGCGUGGAUAAGAGAAUAACUUUAGUUAUAAACAAAGAGACUGAUGUGGCAAGCCUUUGGUACAAACUGAAAGAACCGUGAUAUUAUGAACUUCUAAGGAGACAUAGUUUAGCAAGGCAGAAAGAGGAAAAGAAAGAAGACAAUGAUUGCAUGACAAAAUUUUUGCUUGCAUUUUUCGAAAAAAAAGAAGUUUGCCUGCACAUUUUCUCAACAACAUUGAUACAUCAUAUUGAGUUUUACAGAAGAUGAGGGAACAGGUGAUACAAAUUUUACCGGUAAAAUCAUUCCUCUAACAAGUGAUAUGAAUUUUAAAGCAUUUCUAAACAUGUGAUACAUCAUAUCAAAUUUUACAGAAGAUGAAGGAACGGAGGUAGCGUAGGUGAUGGUUCUGGACAUGGUGGAGGAUUUGGAGCCGGAGGUAGCGUAGGUGGUGCUGCAGGAUGAGGUGGUGGUGGUGGUCUUGGAGUAGGGUCAGUCCAUGAUGGUGGAGUUGGAAGUGAAGCGGAGUAGGAGGCAGAUUUGGAGGCAGUGGUGGAGGUGGAGUAGGAGAAAGAUUAGGUCAUGGUGAUGGUUUUGGUAUAGGUGGAGACGUAGGUGGGGAGGGGGGUAAGGGGAGGAUUAGGAGGAGGAAAAGGAGUAGGAGGGGGAUUAGGAGGUGGAUAUAGCGAAUGAAUUGGAGUUGGAAUUGAAAUCGAUAUAGGAGUUGGUGUUGGAGCUAGAGCUGGCUAGGGUGUUGAAGUAGGGAGCGGGUCUGAUAGUGGGUUCGAUAGAAGUGGUGGUGGUAAUGGCCGAUGAUAAAUCUCUCGUGGCCUUAUAGCUACACUUCAAUAGUGCCAAGAUACGUAUGUUGCUUUCGAUGUUAAAGUUGUUAAGCUACAACUACUAAUUAAACAAAAAUUGUAUAAUUUUGCUUUUGUUUGCAUUGUAUUUUCCCUAAUUUUCUAUGUAUCAUCCUAAGAUUAUGAAAAGAAGAAUCUAUUAAGUUAUUCAUUUUGCACCCAAAUUCAUGGCAUGUUUCUUCUGGAUGCUUUAAUGAACAAUAAUCAACACUUGGUGUUGUCAAUUCAAUAACAAGCGUUCCCGUAAAUGAGUAUUUUUCCCCCUCAAAAUCAAUUACCCGAAGCAACUUUAAAUAUGCUCGAGUUAAUUAUUCUGUUCUUUGAAAUUCGAAAUGUAGCUAUAUUCACAAUGCAAGUAACUAAAGACGUAUUUUCAGAAUGAAGCAUCAGUGACCCAUCAAAAAUUUUUACUAAGAGAAUUCUAAAUAUAAAAAAAAUAAAUUUAAAAAGAAAUUAAAGGAAUUUAAUAUCCAUAGUAUAUAUAAAAAUGAAUUGACAUUUUAAUCCCUGGGUAUGUAGAAAAUGAUUUCAUCGUGAUGUGGAAAAAUUGGAGGUGACAAGUGAGGCUAGUGCAAGCUAUUUUUGGAGGUGCACGUACCUCCAAAAAUACUUAACUAAUUUGAUCUGGAGACCAAAAUCUUGGUGGAAAAAUUGGUUAAAGGGAAACAUAAGCGUGGAGUAAUUGCGUCUUGUAGGAGGGCCGCAUGACGACGCCCCCACAUCAUUGUUCUUCUUAGUAAAAACUACACGGAGCUGUUGUAAGAUGUGUAUAAUUUUAAGACAAAGUAGUGUAUAUUUUGUCUAUUUCAUUAGUAAAUGUAAUUAUUUUGAUCGGCUUCCUUGUUUAAUUACUUUUUCGUCUUUUGGCUAUAAAAUAUAUAAUUAGUAUGAACAAAGAGUAGUUUGAUGACCACAUGUUUUUCAAACAAAAUCAAAAGUUACUCAAAGUGAGAUGUUUUUACAAAUUUAGUGAUUAUAGUGUUCAGAAAAAUUUCAAAAUCAAUUACUUUCAUCAGAUAUUUCUACAAAUUUAAUGACUAUUUGAGGAAUAAAUUAUAAAUAUUUUUUCAGAAAAAUUUCCAAAAUAAUUACUUUAAUGGGAUAUCUUUAUAAAUUUAAUGACUAUUUGAGGAAUAAAUUUUCAAUAUUUUUUCAGAAAAAAUUCCAAAGUAAUUACUUUAAUGGGAUAUCUCGAGAAGUUUAAUGACUAUUUGAGAAAUUAACUUUAAAUAUUUUUUCAGAAAUAUUUCAAAAUAAAUCACUUUAAUGGAAUAUCUCUACAAAUUUAAUGACUAUUUACAGAAUUAACUUUAAAUAUAUUUUCCGACUCCAGUAAUGAUUGAUUUGCUUCACUUCAUAUCCAAUACUCAUACUCCUAUUGAUUUAGCCCAAUAAUUUUGGUUCACAAUAUCCGAAUCCAAAUAAUAUGAUAAUGCACUAUUUUAGUACCGAAAUGAGUGUUAAUAGGGAAUUUGGUUUUGCACCUUCUAACAUCUCUUCUUCAUGCUUUUUCAUCAUGAUUUAAUUUCUUCGAGAAUGCUCACCUCAUCAACUCUUCCCCUUAACAAUGAGCAUUGAUAUGGAAUGGAUGCAAAAAGAGGAGUCUAGAGCCAAUAGGACAACUUUUUUCAACAAAAAUUUCAAAAAGGCAAUAAAAUUUGAAAGAGACCAAGGGGGUAAAACCUUCUUGCAUUUGUUAAUGGAUGUCGUUUGGUACCUUUUUUUUUUUAUUUAGCAAGGCAUGUGAAUUCACACGACUUGAUGGUUUAUUCCCUCCAAUAAGUUGUAUGAUCCUUUACUACUAGGUAGAAGGUGGAAUAACACCUGAAAGUCAAAUAGCACCUGUUGAGCAUAUAUCUCCCAAUCUAGUUGCUCAACAGGUGUUGUUCCACCUUCUACCUCGUCUUGAAGAGAUACAACUUAUUAAAGAGGAUAAAACAUUAAUUCGUGUGACUUCACACACCUUAAAUCAAAUUCUUUUGAUCCAAGGCAUCUGAAGCCGCACAAUUUGCUAAAGAAAAAAAAAGCUACCAAACGACAUCCAUUAACAGAUGCAAUAAGAAGACUUUUCCCCUUUGAUAUCUUUUAAAUGUUAGUAGACUUUUGGAUCUUUUAUUGAAAACAGUUAUCUUUUUGGUUCUGAACUCCAGAAAGAGAGGCCAUACCUUCUCUUCUCAAGGAGGAAGUGGAAAAGAAAGGGUUGGUUGCAUAUUUUUCGAGAGUAAUGCCUUCUUUCUCUAUUUCUGAGGACUCAGGUUUGAAAGUGAGGAGUGCUUCUAAUUCGAACAACUCCCCCUCCCUCUAUGUAUGCAUGCAUGUAUGUAUGUAUGUAUGCAUGGAUGUAUGUAUGUAUGCAUAUAUGUAUGUAUGCAUGGAUGUAUGUAUGUGUGUAUAUAUGUAUUGGGUGACCCCUGAUGUGGCAUGCCACAUUAGAUUAUAGUGAAAAACCUGAAGAAUUCAGUCUAAUUCAUUUAUGAGUUAAUAUAGUUGGAUGCGUUAAAUUUCAACACAUAUCACAAAGCCAAAUACAUAAAAAGGUUAAACAGGAAUAUACCUUCAACAAUCAUUGUCCAAGUAUCAGAAAAAAUAAUUUGAGAGAGAAUUUAUAACAAGCAUAGGGGUCUUUCGUUUUAUCUAAUUUAGGUGUGAUCCAUUUUAAUUAAUCAAAAGGAGGAAAAUAUGUACAAAAGGUCUUAAGUGAGCCCAAAACAAAAAUGAAAUAGAAAAAAAAAUUACCCAAUCAACCAACGAACCUUGUCAAAAUAUAAACCUCGUUCUAAGAUAGGGUUUUCAAAUUAUGCUCUCAGCCGCUUCUUCUUCUAAUGGCGCCGCUGAAAGCAUUCUUCAACCGUGAUUUUCAUUUGCUUGUUCUUAGGGUCAUUAAUCUUAUUUGAGAUGAAAAUAAUGAAGAGCUUAGUAUAUUCAACUAGCAAAGGUACCUUUUUGUCAAAUAUCCAAUGUCUCGUGUUGUGAGCCUUAUAUCUAACCGUUUUUCAAAUGUAACUGUAGAUGUGUUAUCUAGUGGAGUAAAAGGAUCCUUGGUGGAUUUGAUAGAGGUGUUGUGUCUUGUUUGUCGAUUCUGGAAAACUUAUAUGUAGAAUGGCCUCUUGUUAUCCUCUUUUUGCUUUGUUAGGUUAGUACCCUGUUCCUCCCCAGCUCAAGCAGUAGAGGGGAUAAACAUUAUGCCCCAGAGCUCUUUUAUUGUGUUUUCCAUAGAUCUAUCUUAUUUGACUCCAAAGCCCUCGAUUUUUGCUCGUAACUUUUUUUGUAAACUGAUGUAGCUUAGGCUAUGUAGCUUAGUACUCACAGUUGUAAUGCCCUAUGGAUGGCGAAAACUUCUUCUGUAUAUAACUUAACUAUGAGAUCUCGAUGUGUGUACUUUAGCUCUGUUCAUGUUGGAUGAUGUUUAUCUAACUUUCUUUAUAUUGGAUGAUUUUUAUCUUUCUUGGGUUGAUUCUCAGUAAUGAUAUUUGCUUAUUCGUGUUUAGAAUUUUCUUGCAUUCUACUAGUAACUGUUGAAACUCAUAUGCCUGAGAGAACUCUCCAUUCCCUAUUGUUAUGUUUGCUAUCCUGUCUGUUAACUAAUUUGCUUCUUUACAGAUGUGUAUGAUGGUCACUUGCAUGUCACUUUUUAAUCACUGCACUUUCUCAAUUUACUCCACGAUCUACCAAGGUAUCCUCUAAUUCUUCAUUAUCAUUUCCUUAGGCUGAAGAAAUCAGUCUCCAAGAUUAUAUGAUGAAGGUUGCUCUGCUUACACUGUCUUAAAGCCCUUAACAUUGUCAUUGUUUUUGCUUCCAUAUUGAUAAUGAUUCCUAGAAUUUGCCUCUGUGUAUAUCAAAUUCCCUCUAUAAUCUCUAGUGUAAAAAACAUAGGAUAUUUCACCACAAUUGCCUCUAUUAGCCCCAACUGUAUUAUGCUCGACACAACAUGUAUCUAGAAAUGUCUGCUUAACCGGGUAAUAGUGUAAUUUGGGCUUGUACCUAUGCAACAUUCUUACCACCACCACCACAACCACCCUAAAAUUUAGGCACCUCUAUCCAUAAAAAGUUGAACUUUAUGAAAUAAAAUAUAGUUACUUGACUUUGAUGAAUAAGUCUUUCACAACUAUAUGCUUUAUCAUGUUUUCUAGAGUUCCACCUUUUCCACAUCUUCGACAUAAGUUUUGGUGGUAUGACCUUGUAAACGAGCUUUAGCUUCGAGGGGACUGAGGCAUUCCACUACCUUAUAAUCAAUUGUUGUAGAUGUGCAUUUUCAACUCCUAUCCCUGAACAUUAAACAAAAUGCUUCCAUAACCUUUGGGAUAUAGAAGCUAUUAGAAAAAAGGUGAGACAUUAUCUCCUGGUCAAAUACAUCACAAUAAUAACAUCUAGAGGCUAGGUUUAUCCUCAUCCUUCUGAGAUUAUCCUUGAUUGUAAUACUUCUUUUCCACAGCCUCCAGUGGAAGAAAUUAAUCUAAAAUGGCAAGCCGUUAAUCCAUAUAUUAUUUAACCAUUCCUAUUUUUCCCUCCUUGCUCUUAUGAUUUUGUAGACUAAUCUCACUAAAAACUAACCACUAUUAUCAACUAUUCACCAAGGUUUAUCAUUAACAUCCUCCACUAGAUUAGGGCUUAUGUUUAUAGUGAUAUGAUUUGUCAUUUCUUCUCGCGAAUGGAACCCUGAUGAAUUAACAAAGUACACUAAAUACAAAGUUAUUCUAGAGCGGCGUUCUUGCAUGUAUUGAAACUUUCUUUGUUUGAUUGCUUUCUCAAUAGUUGUAAAUAUUAAGAACUCGCCUGUAUUCAAUACUUUCUUGAGAGAGAGGUGGAUAUUAGGUAAAAGAUAUUACAACAAUAAUUUAAAGCUAUCAACCUUAAUCCAAUUAACUUGAGACCGAGUAGAGAUAGUUAAUCUGUGAUCAUAAAACAAGGGUUAGUGAUGUGGCGCUCUGAGACCUAGAGAAGAUGAGUAAAAUUUACUCAAACCAAAGUCAAGAGACGGUUAGGUGAUACAUAACUUGUUAGAUUUUACACAAGGCACCAAGAUAGUUUGAUAAACACGAACAAUAUGUGAAGUCAUAAAGUCAAGGUAAACACAAUCCUAGUGAAUGUCUUAUACUGAUAACAACCCUAAUUACCGAACAUUUUUAUUGUUACACUAUUAUUAUAAAACCCUUAUUUUACUUUACACAUUUUCCAACCGUAUCAGCAAGCUCUUGAUAGAUUUUUGACCUAUUUCUUAUGAGAUCGAGCAUAACCUAGUUGGGUUAUAUAUUUAAUUAACGACUGUUUUAUACUUUCUUGGAGGUAUAAUUUGGGAAACAUCAUUCGUACCCAUCGAUGAUUAUGUGUCUUGGUACGUUUAUAUUGGUUGUUGUGUUCCUUAGUGUAGGGUUCAUAAUUAUAUGACUACCCCGUAGAUGAUUUCUUUUUGUAGUGGAUAGAGUGGAUCAAUAUUGAUAUUUUUCUUAGGAGUGUAGUAUUUGGGUUUGAGUCCCAUUUACCUUGGCAUAUUGGCCUCGUUAUGGCCUUAGGGUGGUACUUGUUAAUGAUUUUUAUUUUUGGUACCAUAUACACUUUACACUAAUGGUUAUAUUGUUGUUGUUAUUAUUUUCAUUGUUUGAUGUUGACCGAUCCUCACUUUGUAGAUGGCUAGACUAGCAUUAUCUAGUUAGAAUUUCCCUUCCUCGAUCUUCCUAUUUGUUGAUGUAGGCGUCUAGCUCGAUUGGAUGGUUUUUCUCUUCUAGAGGGGCGAGAUUGGCCAUUCGCCUAUUUUGUUGGCGAUGCUAUAUCGAUAGUUGAGUGAGCUAUGGCAGUGAAGGUAAGUUGGCCUUCUAUGGUUUUGUUGUUGAUCUAGAGUUGGCAAUUUGGUUUUAUCUCCCAUUCUCAGAUUGAGAUUAUAGGGCCUGCCUUUUGGUUUUCUGAGAUCCUAGUAUUAGUUUUUCUUAUUUAUAGCCCAUUUCUGAAGUUGACCAGUUUGGGAUCCAUUCUUUCGAUUUGGUUGUUUCAUCACAUAGUAGUAGUAUUGGUGUUGAUUCUAAGAGGUCUUGGCUUGGAUUUCAAGUUUGUUAGGUUUGCCUUAUGGUGAUAGCUUGGAUUUUGGUGAUGUGUGGAGUAUAAUCUCAUGUUGGGGAAAGGUGUCAUACUCUUUCCAAGGAGUAUAACUUAAUCUAAGUAAUCAUAUCUAUAACUGUCAUCCAUAUAGAAAUGGAAAUAAUUUGAAUAAUAUGUACCUACAUUGGCUCGUAGUUCUGGGGCAUGUAAACAUACUCAACUAGAUGUUAAAUACUACUCCCUUUAAAUCUGUAUGCUCAUUCUAUUGGAAAUCCACUUUAAAACUAGCAUAAGGGUUUACAAUGAAAACCAGUUACACAUCUAUUUACUUUUAAUUGUAAUCAAAACUGAAUUCAAAACCGUGAAGUGGAUUUCAUAUCUUAACUGAGGAUCAAAAGACCAAAUCUUUUCUAAAAAAUCUGAAUGUAAACUAAUCAUGGGAUGCUUAAAGGAAUCGUCUUCUUGAAAUAUCAAUACUCAUAGUUAGGGCUUAAGACCCAUGAUCAAACUUUCUCCAUGGCUUCAAACACCAUGUUUGGACCAAUCAAAGCGGGCUCACCCACUUCAAACCAACCGAUGGGUGACCUAUAGCUUCGCCUAUAAAGAGCUUCAAACGGGGCCAUCUGAAUGUUAGAAUGGUAACUGUUGUUGUAGGCAAACUCAAUCAACGACAAGUGGUCAUCCCAACUGCCUUUGAAAUCAAGAACAUAUGCCCUCAACAUGUCCUCCAAUUUGACAUAAGUUUGAUCAUGGGUUUUAAGCCCUAAGCAUGAGUAUUGAUAUUUUAAGAAGAUGAUGCCUUUAAGUAUCCCAUGAUUAGUUUACAUUCAGAUUUUUUAGAAAAGAUUUGAUCUUUUGAUCCUUAGCUAAAAUAUGGAAUACACUUCACAGUUUUAAAUUCAGUUUUGAUUAUAGUUUAAAGUAAAUAGAUGCAUAACUGGUUUUUAUAGUAAAACCUUAUACUGGUUUUAAAGUGGAUUUCCUACAUAAUGGGCAUACAGAUUUAAAGGGAGUAGUAUUUAGCACCGAGUUAGGUAUGUUUACAUACCCCAGAAUUACGAGCCAAUGUAGGUACAGAUUAUUCUCAUUUCUAUAUGGAUGACAGUUACAGAUGUGAUCACUUAGAUUAGGUUAUACUCAUUGGCAAGAGUAUGACACCUCUCUCCAACAUGGAGUUUUUCCAUAAGAGAACUAGACGUUGGACACUAUGAUAGCUCACAUAGUGUAUGUCAGUUAGAAGAACCUCCCUAAUAGUAAAGCUUUACAGAAUAGUUUUUAAAAGAAUUUCCUACAGAACAGAGUAAUUGUAAUUGGAAAGAACAACAAAAAAUAUCUUACAAAAUAAGUGUAAAGGCUCAUGAUUUUAAUCAGAUAUUGUUUUGCAUAAGUCAUUAGAUAUGAGAUUUCAGUUUUUAGUUUACAGAUACAAAGGUGAGUCCCUUUACACUUAGCUUAAAUGAUUUGAAAAUGGACUUGACUUUAGUCCUACUUUUUUCACUAGCAGAUAGAGUAAAAGUACAGUUUUCAGAACUAAAUAUUAUGACUCACUAGAUUUAUGCAGUAUGUUUUGAUAUUCAUGGUUAUGAUUUCUUUCAGUUUUCAGAUAUUCCAGCUUAUGUGAGUCAUCUACAUUUAGCAUGCAUAUUUUAUAAAUUUUGAUGACAUUGAGAUAUUAUUUCUACUUAUGCAUUCACCCCACAUGCUCAGUACAUUCCAAAAUUAUUGAUCCACAUAUAUGUAUAUGUGCUACAUUGUCUCAUAAUGUAGGUUCAGUUGCUCAGUUCCAGCAGUGUGAUUGACCGUGAGCAUCUCUAUCUAUAUCUCGAUGGAGGUGAGUCCUCAUAGUUUGGGGACCCAAUUAUUCAAAUUUCCAGCUUUCCAGAUUAGUUUAUUCAGUUAAGCCAAACAGUUCGAGUUAGCUACGGGGGUCUGUCCCAACGACUCUCUAGUAGUAGCAUUAGAGGCUUGUCCGUCUAUUAGAUACAUUUUAGCUUUUCAGUGUUAGUUCUUCAGAUUUUCUUAGUUAAGUAUUUUCAGACAUCAUCUGCAGAUAAACUUAGAUUAAUUCAGACAAUAUUUCAGUAUUUUCUCAUACCGCAUGCUUAUAUAACCUUAUUUGAGUCAUCAGAAUGAGUAACAGGCUUUCAGGGUUAGCUCGGGACUACUUAUAGUUUGGAGCACCGUGUGGCAUCUCGGGACUCAUUUUUGGGGCAUUACACUACUUUAGUGUGUUGACAAGAUUGAGAAGCUCAGAUAUUGAAGAAGUUAUGGCAUUAUUUCGCUGGAGUUGGUAGGUGUUGAACCCUAGCUUUUGAAAGUGAAGAUCGAUUCACCACAAGUUUAAUGAUUUAUGACAUUCUAAAGAAGAAGCUAGGUGUUCUCGAAUCCAAAAUCGGGUGAGGAUUUGGAGGUAGGCCAACUAGACAUUAAUAUUAUUGAGAUUUGGAUUUGAGGAGUUAUGUAUUUGCACUCUUUCGGAGACCUUAGGAGAGCGUCUUUAAAUGGUUACAGAAAAAUUAUCAUAGUUUGAAUAUCGAAAAAUUAUUCUGAAAUAGUGAAGAGACUGAACCCUAAUACAGGGUUGCCUAUGUAUCUUAUCAGGACAAGAAUCAGGUUAAAAUGUAGUUCAAACAACUUAUGAGUUUGUAUAUAGCAUGAUCUGUUUCUAGAAUAGAAAUUUUCCUAAAUGCUUGAGAGUAGGACUGAAUAAUUUUGAGAAGACAUGCUAACCUAAAUGCACCAACUUUGAAACUAUGAAAUUCAAAAAAGGAUUGGAGGAGUGUGAGACACCCCCCCACCCCCCACGUGAACCAUAGUGUGUGAAGUGUAUAAGUAAAGAGUUAAUGGAAUCAUGAUUAUGAUUAAAUGAAGUGAAAAUGAUGUGUAGCUGUUUUCACAAUAUACAUAUAUAAUGUAUUAAACAAGUAAUCAAUAAAAUAAUUAAGAUCGCAAAACUAAUUUAAUGUAAAGAAUUUAUGAGAGAAUACACGCAAUUUGCAGUGUGAAACAGGUAAAUAAUUUAAUAAUUUACAUAUGAAAAAAAAGUAAAGAUACCUCCUUCAAUUGAAAAAUUGAGUUUAUCAUGGUUGGAACCUACUGUUAAUCCCCAGUAGAGUCGUCAUUCUGUCAUGCCUUAUUUUUACCAAAGUUAAACAAAAUAUGACUUAUGAACUCUAAAAGAAUUGAAUUUUUAUACAAAGUCGCCACCUAAUUUUUAAAGGAUAAUAGAAAAACCUAUUUAUUUAUUAACAUGUAUGACUAAUGUUUUUUAGUCUGGAAAAAACCAAUUGAGAUUCUAGGUAAGGGUUUAAAUUAUUCUGAAGGGAAGGGGUUAGACACCCUUCAAAAUCCAUAAAUGUAGUACUCGGCUAGACUAAAUUUAUCAAAGAGGAAGGAGGUAUAAAUAUUUAAAAGACGUAUAUGUAUUAAGUAUAAAUAAAACUUAUUGUUAUGAAAAUAUGUAAAAGGUAUGAAUGAAAAUGUACAAAUUACAUGUGAAAAGGAAAAGUACUUUGUGACAUAUGAAAAGAAAAGUAUCUUUCAUGUACUAUAAAAGGAAAAAGUAUUUUGAAAAUAAUAUUACCAAUUUGACUAAAAUUACGGAGAGAAAAGUAAAGGUUUUACUUGAAAAAAAAAGACUACACAAUGUUCAUGAUGUAAAUGUGUGAAUUAGUUGAUUAAUUUAACUCGUUUUAUGUAAGCGGUAUAAGUUUACCUAAACAUGCAUUAAUGAAUAUGUAAGUAAACAAUGUCCACACCUGACACCCCAAAAGCAAAGUUUUCACUAUAUUUUUUUUAUCUUUAUGUACAAUUAUACAAAUGAGAAAUAAAAGAUAAGCAUAAAGCUUGGGACUCCCUUUUCAAGUAGCACCUCAAAAUGUGUUACCGAGAACAUGUACAUUUACUUGAUGGAAGUAUUAAAAAUAAAUAAAUUAUUAUUAAAUAAAAUGAAUCAUGUGUACAAGUACGUAUAUGUAUGUAUAGAUAAAAAAGAAUUUUGUUAUAAAAUGGGAUCGAAUUGAGUUUUAGAUGCAUCAUGGCUACGAAAUGGUUGCUCGAUUUAUCGGUCAUCCUAAAUCGUCUUGCCAAGAUACGAAUCGUAAAACCCUUUGUGUUGUCGUGAUAUUGUAAAGACUUCAUUGUAUUUAUAUACGUAAUGUCCGUCUUUUAUUAGUGGAGGCCUCGAAAACCGACAGGAGUUUCUUCAUUAACUAUGUAUUUAUUUUUGUCACGUAUUUGUAUACGUAAUAUCCAUCUUUUGUUAUGAGUUGGCCUCAAAAAUCCGAUGGAGAGAUAUUGUCAUUGGACAAAAUAGUAUAGUAUUGUUCGUUAUCAGUGUAAUAAAAUGUAAAGGAGAAAAAGAUCCAAAAAUUAGUUCCAGAAAGAACAAAACAAUAGCGAAUCAAUUGAAACUAGAAGAUCAUGAAUCAAUUUGCCGGAGUAAAAUUUUUACAUCAAAGAUAAAUAUGAAAUUAACAAACUAAUGUAACAUGACAAUCCAAGAAGUAGCAAAACAGUCAGCAAAAUCAACCAAAAUUAAAGUUAAAAUAUUUAUCAGAGAAGAUAAAGAUCUCGUUUCUAAAUUCAAUCCCAUUGAAAGAUAUCAAAUAAUUGUAAAAGGAAUCAAGAAGGUUGCUUCCACGGCGAGCAUGUCGAAGAAACACGUGAGACAUGAAGAAUACAAUCAAAAUUGACCAUUUUUGGCGAGUUGUGGCUGUGUAGUGUCUUGGAGCUCACUGGUGAUCAAUUUCGUCUAGGUAGCGAUGAGGAAAAAGAAAGAGUACUUGAUCGGGGGGUGUUGUUCGUCGAUCGUCUGGUGGUCAAAUCCGGUGAUGGCAGUGAAGGUGGGGGUGGCGCAUGGUGGUGCAGCUAGUGGCUGGAACUUUCUGGCCAUCAACUCCAGCGAGCCAGCAACGGUAAAGGAGCAGCGAAGAUAGGAAAGAAAGAGAAGUAGUAAUGGCUGGAGCUCGUUCGUCGGAGCUCUGAUAGUUGGUUGUUCUUGUGUGUAUGCAUGUGAUUGUGUGUUUUUGACAUAAAGUGAGGGGUGACUAAUUUUUAAGUGUGUGUAUAUUCUGUGUAGUCCAUUAGAGCUCUGAUGGUGGAGGGACAGCAAUGAGAGUAGCCAUAGAAGUUAAAAUGGUGAAAAUGAGAGGAAAUGAGGCAUGUGAAUGAGAGAAAAGAAAAAAAAAGAAUAAGAUUUUGUGUGUAUUUGUGAAUGUACAAAAUUCACCCCUCCUACUUAUUUAUAAUAAAGAUUGGCACUUUUUAUUACCCAAAAGAUAAAAAGAUGUUCUCUAAAAAGAUGUCCCCUCUUUUUCUUUUUGGACACCCUUUGAUCCUUAAGCUACUGACCAGAGGAUUUUCAUCCUUUUAAUCCACGGGCAAAGUUAUGAUUCAAAGGAUAGUAUCAUUUUAUAGUCAUUGUCAGAUAUGACAAAACAUUAUUGUAUAGUCGUCGUCGGAUGUGAUAAGACAUUAUCGUGAAGUCUUGUCAGAUAUGAUAAGACACUAAAUUGUUAUGCUGUGUAUUAUAAUAAUUGAUUGGCUUAGCAUUUGUGAAUCAUGUUAAAUAAUGUACAAAAAUAUAAGAAUUGAUAUGUAAUUACAAAAAAUUGUAAAGAAUAUUGAACAUGUAAUUAACUUGAAAAAGUUUAAAAAAUGUGAUGUCAUGUUGUGUACGUGUGUGCAGAUGAUUGUGAAAAUAUUAAAAACGAUAAUGAAUUGGUAAAAAUCAUAAUAUAAAAAAAUUAUCAAUAAAUUAUAAAAAGUAGAAAACAUGACGAUAAAUUGAUAAAAUCCUAAAGUAUGAUUAUCAAAAAUUUGUUAACAAUUGAAAAAAAUAUGUAAAAAUUAUACUCCGUGCUCUUUAAUGAUCAGGAAGUGUGAAGAUGUUAAUUUUAAGCACGGAGAGUCAAAAUUGGGUAUCAACACCUGUGGAGACUAUUGGUAGUCCUAGAGUGUAAAAGUUACCUAUUAGAUCCAGUCGAGGUUCUCUGCUGAAAUAUGUUAUUUUUUUUGCAGAUACGUUGCAGUUAUGAAUUCAAUUUCUUCAGCUCAAUCUUCACUGGUAUAUAGAGGAUUUAGUAACUCUUAAUUUUUAAUUUUGUAAUUUUUCUUCAUAAAUGCAAAAAUUAUAAAGUUAGGGAUCCACACUUAGAUUGUUAUAUUUUGAUUCUACUCUAUUAAACACAAUGCAAUUGCAGGUACCUAUUGAUUCAUGUGUAAUAGGAUCUUAGCUUUCUGUUUUUUUCAGCAGGUAGCAUUUCUAUACCUGCAAGCUUUGGUUUUAAUUCUGUUAUUUCCUAGCACAAGUUAUAUUUUUGGCUCAUCGAUGUAAUGAUGCAUAUCUUGAGACAGGUUUCUUAUGCAACUGGUGGUAUAUAUCUCUGUAAGUGUGAUUCAUAUUGCUAAUACUAAGUUAUCUCUGGUGUAUAUUUUAACUUGUCAAUAGCUUGUAUCCUACACUGAACAUCUAUGAUUGUAUCCAAUGUUGUCUUUAAACAUUAGUUUCAAUCUUAUUUGGAAGCAUGUUGAACAAGUCACUAUACUUUGAUUUGUUUAUCAUAUGUAAGUUUUUAUUUCUGAGGAGCUUACACUAAAAAGGACCUUCCAAAAGUUUCCCUAUUUAAAUUUGAUUUCAAAAUUUUGAUAUGUACUUCUAUCUAUUGUGGUUAAAUAUACAUUGAUCAACCAAGUUAGGGCGAUUUUAAUUCAUGCAAUUAAACGGAUAUGAUUGUUAAGUGAAUAAAUAUUCAUCACAAUUUUUAUUACGUCUGUUGUUAAUAAGUGAAGAUAGUUUUUCCACCACAUAUGCCAACAAAGUAUAUGUGACCUUGAUAUAGAUUACAUAAGAUAUUUGAGGCAAAAGUUUUUCACCAUGUCCAUGGGAGUACAACUUAUUGAAAGAUCUAAUAUUAAUAGCAUUUCAAUAGAGGAAGAGAUGUUUAUGAACCAGAUGAACUUUAAGAAUUUGUUGGAGUCUGAUUAGAUUGUUGACAUACAGUUUAUCUUUUUCUUCUUAGAUUUUGAUUUGCCAUUUCAACACUUAAACAAGAUAGAUAAUUGUAAAUUUCUUUUGAGAAUUCUAGGAAUACGUUGUUACUAUGAGGAAUAAACUUACAAAGAUAGUAAACUAUUUUAGAUGGUACUACAUUUCAUACAAUGUAUGCUCAAAGAAGAUUACACUUGCAAAUGGUGUUUAUUCAUACCACAACUGCAAAAAAGAUUGCAACUUUUCUCUAGUGAAGUAAGGAUCCUGGAAGAACUAUGAAUUUACUUUGUAUUAUGAAUUAAUGUUAACUUAUUUUUACAAACAUAGAUACAGGAUACAGAUACAAAUGGAAAACAAAAUCAAAAAAACUACUUUUGUCUCAUUCAAUGAUAUAGCUGAGAAACUCCUUGAUACAUCAGUUCAUAAGUUGUUCAACAAGCUAUCCUCGUCGUUUAACAAAGAUAUUCUUGUCCUCAUUCAAAGCCUUUAUGGGAAAGAUUUUAUUUUUAAACUUAAAUUGAAUACCUACAAUUUGAAAGAGUGGCUUGAAAAUUUUACUGUAUCAAAGCUUUGAAUUCCAGAUGAAAAUUUUGAGUUAGAGUACAAGCUAAGGGAAGAGAGAAAGAUAUUGCAUUAUAGACUAUUGAAAUUUGCAGUGAACAAUUUCAUAUACUUUGUAAAUCAUCUUUUUUCUUGUUGGUUUUACAUGUGUAGAAUUUGAUAGAGGAUGAAAGUGAGCUAAAAGAUCACGUUUCCAAAGAAUUUCCCACAGAAAAGGUAUCCAGAUUUACUGUUUUAGUUACGGGGCUUCUACGUCUUCGUAAGAUUGUCAUGCUUAAUUCACAUGUUGACAAUUUUGUUUUAUAAAAUAAAUAGAUAUCUCUUGACAUCUUAUUGGAUAAGUUGGAAGAUCUUGAGUAAGCAUUGCAUGUCAUUGAUGGGACAAACUUUAGGAAAAAACAAACCUAAUCAUAGAUGAAGAUGACUUAAUUGAUGAAGACACAAAUAAAUGCAAGAAGUAGAGUGUUUAUUAUUUGUUCUGACUUUUAAUUUUUUUUAAGAUUAGACAAAAUAGUUUGGUCCCUUUUCCCUUUUAUUGACUCUUACCACAAGCAAUAAGAAGAUCAUCAUUAGCAACAACAGCAGCAAGAUUUUCAUUAACGCCUUCUUUAUUUUGUCAUCUUAUUUCUCUCUUAUGCUUGUAAUAAUAUUUCAUGAUAUGCCCCUUUUUGUUGAAGUAGUCACAUGUAACAUUCUUGAAUUUGGACUUCAACUUGCUUCCACUUAUAUCUCUAUCAUUCAGACCUUUGUACUUAUUUCUUCUACUCUCUUCAGUAACCAAAACAUUAGAGUAUGAAGAUGAAGAAGAUAAGGCUUGAGAUUUUCUUCUCAUCUCUUCAUUUAAGACACCACUCUUAGCAUAUUCCAAAGUCGCAAUACCACUAGGAGAAGAAUUAGUCAAAGAAACUCAAAGAAUUUCCCAAGAGUCUGGUAGAGUAUUAAGAAGCCAAAGUCCUUGAAUUUGUUCAUCGAACUUUACACCUAUUUUGUAUAGCUGGUCAAGGACACCCUGAAAAUCCUUUAUAUGAUCAAAAAUAGGACAACCCUUUUAUACCUGAUAUUUAUCAAUUUCUUAAGCAGGAAUAACUUAUUAUUGCCAGUUUUUUAAGCAUAAAAUAUCUCAAGCUUGUCCCACAAACUUCUGGCAUGUGCCUUAUUCACAAUAUGAUUUCUAACAUUAUCUUUAACCCAUUAUUUGAUUUAGCCACAAACCUGCUGGUACUCAAAUUCUCAAUCUUCAUAUGUUAGGGACUGAGGUUUAGUAGACGCAAACACAUGCAAAUGUAUUUUCUUGACAAAUAGAAGAUCUUUCCAAGUAUGAUAUUUACUACCAUUCAAACAUUCUAUUUUGCCCAUAUUUGCCUACAUAAUUCAAAUCGACAAUCAUCAACAACCUAUGCCCCGAUACCACUUUUCUUGGAAAGACAAGGGCAUUAUCAAAGUGCACGACAGGGUAACAGCGGAAGAAUACCCAAGUCUAAACUUUUCCUUUCAAUUUGAACCAAGAAAAAUUAAACUCAUGCACAAUGAUAAUAAGGUAGAAAAUAAAUUAACCAAAUAAAUACGACAAGACAAGAAUAAAACCAAUCACACGAGAUAUCAAAUUUAUGUAGAAAACCUUCAAUGUGAAGAGUAAAAAUCCAUGCGACUAAAACCUUCACUACAAUCACCAAGAGUUACCAUAAUGUCCUCUAAAAUGGCCAUCACAAAAGUUCCAAAUAAUGAGCAACAAUAUAUAAAACACUACACCAAAAACUAGAGAAAUGAAGGAGUAAAAUCACCAAAAAUGCAGCUACUGUUAACAAACUAAAAAUAAGAGCUACAAGUCACCAAAUCCAAAUCCGUCAAUUUAUAAUCAAAGAUUGAGAUGAAAGGAACACGUUGUUUAAAAAUCAGCUCAAAUUGGACAAAAAAUGAAGAAAAAUCACAAUUUGAAGUUCGUUUCUAUGUCUGAAAUUUUAAAAGAAAACCUGCUCUAUUUUUCUCUCUAUGGCUGCUGAAAACUCUUUUGUGGAUGGUGACAUAAGACCUAAAAAGGGUUUAUAUAUAUGCCCGAUAGUAAUGUGUCUGUGGCUAAAAGUGGGUUGGUCUAAAUUGGGCUUUAUUCAUUCACAUAGGAAUGGAAAAAGGCCCAUAACUCAAUAGUGGGAGAAAAGCAGAGUUGACUUUCGUUGAUUGAUAGUCCGGCAAUACACAUUAAACUACUUGAACAUUAUUUUAUAUUUUUGCAACAUUCAACAUUAAUGCCUCACUCCCCAAUAACCUAUGGAGCAAUAGAACCAAUGACAUCAUAGUCAAAUCCUAGUAGAACCCUAAAAAUGCUACUGCUAAAUGUAGUUUUGCUGAUGAGAAACUAAUUGUAAAGGACCAUAUCCUUGGAAGUUAAUGGUACAGUACAGUUGGCACGCGUGACUACACAAUUUUAUCCUCUUGUGUAACAGACUUGCAGGUGCUGCUUGUGCUGAUUAGGACAGCUGGUCUAAUGAUAUUUCAACCUCAAUCAUCACUCAUCUAUAAAAGAAAAGUGACGUUUUUUUAUCAAGUGAUUUUUGGCAAAUUAGAAAGAAUGAAGAGAGGCAGCAAAAACCUCAUUUCAACACUGCUCAAGUUCUUAGCUAAUUAUGUGUGCUUAAAUAGAAAUUGUUCUUGAGUGAGUACUGAUUUGUAACUGAACUACUCAUGCUAUAAAAGUAGUGUUUUCGUUUGUUGAGAGAAGUGCUUAGUUAAAGUUGCCUAAGUUUGAUACUGAUUAGAGUUAAUCAGUGAAGAGAGUCCUUAGCAGAGUUGCCAAGAUGAGCUUGUAGUAGAGUUAUUACAUACGAAAGGAACCUAGAGUUAGUUUUAUUGAAGGUUGUAAUCAAGAGUUUGAUUAUAGUGGAUUUGGAGGUUCUUGUGAGGGCAAGUCAUGGUUUUUCCUUUCCUUAAGCAAGGGGGUUUUCACGUUAAAUUUUGUGUGUUGUUACCUUCUUAUACUGCCUUAAAUUUUUAGCACCUCAUAGUUGAUUUACUAUUAUAUCGCUUGUGAUUGACUUUGAGGGACCUGGUCCCUCACUGUGUGGUGCAACCCUCAAGGGUUCUAACAAUUGGUAUCAGAGCAGGUUCACACUAAAAGGUUCAUACCUAGAGUAUUCUGGUCAUCAUGGCUGUUAUAAUUGAACUAUAGGUGGAAACAAAGAAAGCAAAAAGAGAGAUAUUUCUGACCUUAAAGGCUUUAGAGACUGAUCCAGGUGAAGAAGAUGUUGAUGUUGCACUUUUGGCAACAAGAAUUAUUAGAGAUAUAAAAAGGGGUGGUCAUCUUAGCAAAAGAAAUAAUAAUAUUGAAUGUUGUCACAAAGAUGGUAGCUCUGAGGCAUUCAUAAGAAACAACCAAAUGCAAAAGAAUGAUCAAAAUUCUGAAAAAUCAAGAAGAAAGGAUGCAGCUAGCUGUAUAAUAAAGAAGGCAUUAGCUGAAUGGGAAAACUCCUCAAACAAAUCUGAGAAAGACAAAGAGGAUGGAGAUAGUUUUAUGCUGAAAUAUGGUGAGAAGAAAAUAAUCUCAGGAUCCUGUAGCUCUCUAAUGGCCACUGCUGAAGAUAGAGAAGAAAAUAUGGCAGAAAAGAGGGAUGACAACCAAAAAUAUUUUAUGGAUAGUGGUUGUUCUAGAUAUAUGAUUGGGAGGGUUGAUUGUUUUCUCUCUCUCUCAAGGCACUUCAAUAGGGAGUUGUGUCUUUUGGAAAUAGCAAAAAGGGUUACAUCCAAGGUGUUUGAAAGAUUGGGAAAAUCACUUCAUCAUGUAAUAAAAGAUUUGUAUUAUGUGAAUUGGCUGAAGUACAGUCUUCUAAGUGUAUCUCAAAUCCAUGACAAAGAAAAUGAGGUAAAAUUCUCAUCUGAUGGGUGCACUGUAUUAACCAUGAAAUUUGAAAAGAUUAUUCUCAAAGUCAAAAGGAUCAAGAAUAUGUAUAUAGUUGAUCUGGAGUCUGUGGCUGAUGGGAAAUUAAUUUGUUUAAGUGAACACGGUGAAGAUGCUAAUUUGUGGCAUGAAAGAUUAGGGCAUGUAAGUUUCUCCUUGUUAAACAAGAUGAUUUAAAGGGACCUAGUUCAUAAUUUUCCAGACAAUAAAGUCUGUAAUGCUUGUGUUAAAGGUAAACAGACAAGAUCCUCCUUCAAAUUAAAGAAAUAAGUAAGUACUUCCAGACCUCUUGAAAUACUACAUAUAGAUUUAUGUGGACCUAUGAAAGUAAAAAGUAGAGGAGGGAAGAAAUAUGUGUUGGUUAUUGUAGAUGACUACUCCAAAUUCAACUGGACAAUGUUUAUAAGAACUAAGAAUGAAACAUAUGGGGUUCUUGUGGCUUUUGCUAAGAAAAUCUAAGUGAAAUUAAAUUGCAAAAUUGCUGAAUUUAGGUUUGACCAUGGUACUGAAUUUGAGAAUUCUCAAGUGCAUCAAUUCUGUACUAAGCAUAGAAUAAGUCACAACUUUUCUACUCCUAAAACUCCACAACAAAAUGGAGUUAUUGAAAGGAAAAAUAGAAUAUUGAUAGAUACUACUAGGACUAUGCUAACUGAUAGUGGACUUCCAAAGAGUUUCUGGACCAAAGCAGUAAAUACUGCUUGUUAUAUGACUGACAGGUGUGUGAUAAGAUCACUUCUGAAUAAGGCUCCAUAUGAGCUGGUAUCAAUAGAAAUCUUAAGCUAGACUAUUUCAGACCAUUUGGAUGCAAAUACUUUAUGCUAAACAAUGAGAAGAGAGAGUUGGAAAAAUUUGAUUCCAAGAGUGAUGAAGCAGUAUUUGUAGGCUACUCUUCAACAAUCAAGGUUUACAAAUCUUCAAUAAAAGAACUCUAUGUGUUGAAGAAAGUAUUUAUGUGAUCUUUGAUGAUUCUAGAAAUAAAAUGAACCCAGGUGAUGGUGAAGAUUCAGAAGUUGAAGAACUCAUUUCUAUUCAAAGGGAUAAUACUGCAGAAGAUGAUAAUUAAGGGAUAAAUGAUGCAGAUGAGAGUGAUGAAAUUAAUGGUAAUCUAGAAACUCAAGCACAGACCCCAGCUCCAGUGGAAGAACAACUAGAAGAAGCUAGUCAAAAUUUAUAAUGACCUGGUCCUAGUGGUAUCAAUCUCAAAAGGCAAAAUUUGAGACACAAGUCCUCUCAUUCCCUUAAGAAUAUGACUACACCCUUGCAAACAGGAUUCUAAACAAGAGCUCAAGCCAGGAAUGCUAUGGCAUUUUCUAGCCUUUUUAUCCCAAAUUGAGCCUAAAAAUGUAAAAGAGGCCCUUAAAGAUGUUGAUUGGAUUAAUGUAAUGCAAGAAGAACUUCAUCAAUUUGAAAGAAGCAAAGUCUGGAAUUUGGUCCCCAGGCCUCUUGACAGAAUAAAUUAUAGGGACCAAAUGGGUGUACAGAAAUAAGUAAGAUGAAAAUGGAACUAUCAACGGGAAUAAGGCAAGGCUAGUUAUUCAAGGUUAUAACCAGGAAGAAAGAAUUGACUAUGAUGAGACUUUUUUCCCCUAUAGCAAGAAUAGAGGCAAUCAAAAUUCUUGUUGCAUUGGUUGCAUACAUGGAAUUCAAACUGCUUUAAAUAGAUAUCAAAAGUGCCUUCCUAAAUGGAAACCUUAAAGAAGAAGUCUAUGUCAAACAGCCUCCAAGUUUUGAACAUCAAAAUUUUCCUCAACAUGCGAUUAAAUUGGAUAAAGCUCUUUAUGGUUUAAAGCAAGAACCAAGGGCCUGGUAUGCAAGACUCUUAAAGUUUCCCUAGAAAAUGGCUUCAAAAUAGGGAAAAUAGAUAAUACUCUAUUCUUAAAGACCAUAGGUAGCGACCUAUUAAUUGUCCAGAUAUAUGUUGAUGACAUAAUCUUUAGAGCUACUUCUGAAUCCCCAUGUAAAGAAUUUUCUAAGCUAAUGGGGAGUGAAUUUGAGAUGAUUAUGAUAGGUGAAUUAUGCUUAUUCUUAGGCCUGCAGAUCAAGCAAACUUCUCAACGGAUAAUGAUUUGUCAAGAUUAGUACAUCAAGGAGCUACUAAAGAAAUAUAAUAUGGGAGAUGCCAAGACAAUUGAUACUCCAAUUGGAACCAGCUAAAAAAAGGACAAUAAUGAUUUAGGUCCUUUAGUGAAUGUAAUACCCCGUAUAUUUCUAAGCUAAAAAAUGAACCAUUGUUCGUACACAUGAAACCUCCUAUCCUGUGAUCCAUAUUGGAGUAAAUGAAUUAGGAUGAGUAUCCUAGUGGUAAUAGAGCUUAUUAUAUGUUAAGCAUGUUCAUAAGAGUCACUUAGAGUAAUCCAAGCUAAGAACUUUUGAAUCCACCAAGUUUUCGUGUGUGAUUUCAUAUAGGUCAUCUUUGAAUGAGCAUAACUUGGUUUAUAGAUGGUAUUUUGGUAGAUUUACACCCUCAAAAUUGUAAAUAAUUGAAUAAGCUUUCCAUCGAUACCAAAUUCACCUAAAACAAACAUCCGGUGAAGAGGUUAUGGCGAUUUAAAGUUUCAGCAGCGUCAUUUCAGUCAGUGGCGCGUCGCACCAUAAGCAAAAAUGACGUUUGUCAAUUUCCAGUGUCUCUCCGUGAUUCCACCGUGUUGCAGUGAGUUUUCAGGUCACAAACGGGAGGCAACGCGAUAACUCCUCAUCGCACCGGGGGCCCAAAUCGGGUAAUUUUCACAAAAAUUAAAUGAUGCAUCUAGAGGGGUAUUUGGGUUAUCUUUCCACCCCUAUAUAUAUUCUAUAAAUACGGAAUUCAGCCCUUAUUUCACCAAAACAUACUCUUUCUCUCAAAAAUCCUCCCAAGAAUACAUUAGGAUUUUCAAUUGAGGAUUCAAGUUCAAGCAAAUUUCUCCAUCAAUCAUCAAGAAUCUUCCAUCUAAGGUAUGCGUAGUGUUCAUCUAUGGAUCCAUUUCAUUUAUAGAGCUCAAGAACCAUCUUUUAAAUAUUGUAUUAUGAUUGUCUUGUUGUGAUAUGACCAUGUACAUGUUGAUGAUUGUUGUUUAAGUUUCAAGAUGAUAUCUAAAGGUGUUUUCAUAAAGUAUAUGUGUUCAUUAGUUGAAAUCCAUGAACUUUAUGUGGUUUAAAAUGGGGAAAUUCAUGAAAACACACCUAAGCUAAAAGAAUUCUUGCAAAGUGUUUGAUAAAAGUCCUAUGAUGAUAGAAUUCAUGUCCCAUGAUUUAAUAGUGCUUAAAUGACAAGUGCAUGCUCUAUGUUUUAUGAUUUCACAUAAAUUCCACGUGAUUGAUAUGCAUCAUUGUUGUGAUAUGGAUUGAGCAUGAUAUUGAAGCUAUGCAAGUAUACACAUGUUGUAUGAAUUUCCCUUCCAUAGGUAAGAUGUUGAGAACUAUGCUUAGUGUGAAAUCCCCUACUUAUGAUAUGGUGAAUUGUGGACUCCAUUUUUAUGAUCAAGUCAGUUAUGUACGUCAGUUUCCUUCCAUUGAGUCCUGGGGGCACUAGUACCCAAAAAAUAUAGUUGUGUGCCUAGAUCCAUGUCACGUUAUCAUGAUAUUCUCAGUCAAGCCAUGAUCUAUAUAACUCAAUCAGUCAUGUGGCUCAAGAAAUCUCAGAAAUCUCAUGAUCUCAAUAAAUUCUUAGAUAGUAUUACUAUUCCAUCAGUCAACAGAAGUUAGUUACUUAGUCCAUGUAUAGCCAGUUAAAUCAAGUUCAGUCUCUUCAGAUGGGAGUAGUAGUUAGCACCGAGUGAACCCAAGGAUCAAAACUCACCUGCCAGUUUCGGGUGUAACUCUUAGUAGUCAUCCUUGUGUUCUAGAACUACGCAGCCAGCGUAGGUUGAGACAUCUUAACCUACCAAAUUAAGGUUGAUGAGGUGUCUUAAUCUAUCAGUUUAGGGUUCCCACCAUUCUGAUUCAAGUACCUGCCAGCUAAGGGUCACUCACAGCUGUCCUUACCAGUGGCACGGUAUUGACACCCUUCCAGUCGGGGCAGAGAUUGGACCCCAAUCUAGCUAUAUACAUUAUUGGGGUAUGUCGGUUAAGAAACUACCUCCCAAAGUUUCAGUCCCAGUCUCAGUAAAAACACUUAGAUAGUUCUUCAGAUUUUAGUAUACCAGGACUGUCAGUUAUAGUGAAUUUAGUUACAGUAUGAAACUCAGGUAGUUCCAUCAGAUUCAAGACUGUCAAACACAGUCAUCCAUGUUAUCAAAAUUUUAGUAUCAGUCAUGUUAGAUAACAGUAACUAUGUAUUAGCGUACAUAUCCAGAUAUCAUGUAUUCAUGACUUUAGUUACUAUGUAUGCAUGUUUGUACUCUUACAUUCAUAUCAGUCAAUCAGUUAGCAUUGUUCAUGUAAGUAAACCCUUUUGCAUUUAGCCUACCUCACUCGUCUACUCAGUACUCCCAGUCGUACUGACGCAUUUACGCUAUGGUACUUUAUUUCAUGUUACACCAUAGGUUCAGAGACACGAGUUCCAGAUCAGUAGUAGCAUUCCUAUCGCAGAGUUGCAGUGAGUCCUCAUCCAUUCGAGGAUGAUAUUAUUUUAUUUCAUUCAUUAUUUCAGUUUAGUUUUGCUAGAUGGAGUUAGUUGGAGACAUGUUCCUUCAACUUCUUAUUCAGACAGUAUUUAGAGGCUUUCAGAUUUAGUUCAGAUUUUAGAUUAAGCUUUCAGUUGUUUUUGGGUAUUUGUUACCUUAUAUGGAUGUUAUUAUUUAUCAGAUAUUCUAUUCAGUUGAACCUUAUGGCCUAUUGUUCAUGUUUUCCAUAUUCUACAAGUAUAUUAUGUAGUGUACAGGUACAGAUAUCAGUCAUGGGUUAGCUUGUGGUCCCUCAUGGUCAUAAGCACUAUGUAGCGUUCCCGUUCAGCAAAUCGGGGCAUUACAAACUUGGCAUCAGAGCCUAAGGUUCAAUAGAGUCCUAGGAAGUCUGAAAACCGCAUCUAGUAGAGUCUUGUGUAUGGGUGUGUUACGCGCCACAUUUAUGUGAAAGAGGCUAUGAGAUGUCUUAGGAACAGUUUCCCCUCUUUCAGUAUUCAUGUCGUGCUAGUGAGCAUAAUCUCAAGUUAAACUCUCAGUCUAAUCCAUUCUUCUCUUAUUUCAAAAUAUGCCUCCAACGAGAAGAAACCAGUUCGCUCCUCAUCCCGGAGAUCCUUUGGGAGAACGUGUUUCUCAUGCGAAGUUUAGGGCCGCAUUCUCCACACUUGCUCAGUCUAUGGCUACCCAAAAUAAAUGACCACAAGUUAUUCCAGCCAAUCCAGUGGCCAACUCAGCCGCAGCUAGGAUUCGGGACUUCACCCGAAUGAACCCUCCAUCUUUCUUUGGGUCUAAGUCUGAUGAAGACCCUCAAGAAUUCCUUAACCAAGUCCAGAAGGUCAUAGACAUCAUGGGAGUUACUUAUUGUUAGAGUACUGAUUUAGCCACAUACCAAUUACCGGAUGCUGCUCACACUUGGUACAAAAGUGGAAGUCUGAGAGGGUAGAUGGUGCAGGUCCUAUAGAGUGGGAGAAAUUUGUCACGGCUUUCUUACAUAGAUUCUUUCCCCAAGAGCUGAGGGAGGAAAAAGUUCUUGAGUUCAUCAACCUCAGGCAGGAAAAUAUGAUGGUUAAAGAGUAUUCUCUUAGAUUUACUCAGCUAUCCAGAUAUGCCCCUCAUAUGGUUGUAGACAGCAGGGCUAAGAUGAGCAAGUUCGUGUCAGGAGUGAAUGAUAGGGUGGUAAAUAAGUAUAGGUCUGCUGAACAGUGAUAUGAAUUUAGCCAGGCUCAUGACCCAUGCUCAGCAAAUAGAGGUGUAAAAGAUUAGGACAAGGGAGAGGCAGAAUAAGAGAGCAAGAUCAGGCAGUUUUAGUUUUACUCAACCCAAAUCAGAAGGAGGAAACCGUUCACAGUUUUAUCCCAAGCUAGCAGUUCCAGCUCCUUCCUCCUCCAGUGCCCCAUUGCCAAAAUUCAAAGAUGGUAACAGAGAUCGAGCACCAGGCUCUAAGUCUCAGGGCAGUGUCAGAAGUGCCCAAACUAAUCCCCUAUGUCAGACUUGUGGUAAGAACCACAAGGGUACCUAUAGAGCUGGUAGCGAUAUUUGUUUUGGUUGUGGAAAGCCAAGCCACAGGAUUAGAGAGUGUCCGCAGUCAGGUCUAUAGGGUCAGCAGAAUCAUUUCACAGCCCAGUCCGGUCGCCUAAAUCAGCAGGGUGCCUCUUCCAGUGCUGCUGGUGGGCAAUGCCCAAAUAGACUCUAUGCUCUUCAGACCCGACAGGAUCAGGAAAAUUCUCCUAAUGUCGUUACUGGUACAUUACAGAUUUUCCAUGUUCAUGUUUACGCUUUGCUAGAUCCAGGUGCAUCCUUGUCUUUUGUUACUCCUUAUAUACCAAGCAAUUUCGAAAUUAGUACCAAAAUUUUAGAAGAGCCCUUUUCAGUCUUUACCCCAGUGGGUAAACUAUCAUAGCUCAGUGAGUAUAUAGGAACUACCCAGUUAUAAUAUUUUAGAGAUCCACAUCAGCAGAUUUCGUCGAAUUAGAGAUGACUAAUUUUUAUUUCAUAACUGAUUUUUAUUUCAUUCUCGGCAUGGAUUAGCUUCAUUCCUGCAAAAAAAGUCGAUUGCAGAAAUAGGAUAGUUCAGUUUCAGUUCCUGAAUGAACUCGUCCUAGAGUGGAAGGGUAGUACUUCAUCUUUCAGGGGUCAGCUUGUUUCCUACCUUCGGGCAAGGAAAAUAAUUUCUAAGGGAUGUGUUUAUCAUCUCAUUCAUGUUAAGGAUUCCAGUUCUAAAUCUCCUAGCUUGGAAUCAGUCCCAGUGGUUAAUGAAUAUUCAGAUGUAUUUCCUGAAGACCUUCCAGGCAUUCCUCCUGAAAGGGAAAUAGACUUCGGCAUUGAUCUUCUUCCAGACACUUAGCCUAUUUCUAUUUUGCCAUACAAAAUGGCACCAGCAGAACUCAAGGAACUAAAAGAUCAGUUGAAUGAUCUCUUAGAUAAGGGAUUCAUCAGGCCCAGUGUAUCCCCAUGGGGUGCACUAUUUUUAUUCGUGCACAAGAAAGAUGGGUCUCUUAGGAUGUGUAUUGAUUACCGCCAGCUCAACAAAGUUACGGUCAAGAAUAAGUAUCCACUUCCCAGAAUAGAUAACCUAUUUGACCAACUUUAGGGUGCCAGUUAUUUUUCCAAGAUAGACCUCAGAUCAGGCUACCAUCAGCUAAGAUUUAGAGAAUGUGACAUCCCAAAGACAGUUUUUCGUACUCGGUAUGGUCACUUUGAAUUUCAAGUCAUGUCCUUUGGUCUUACUAAUGCUCCAGCCAUUUUCAUGGACUUGAUGAACCGUGUGUUCAAGCAGUAUUUGGACAUAUUCAUCAUAGUCUUCAUACAUGAUAUCCUAGUUUAUUCUCGCAUAGAGCGUAAUCAUUCAGACCAUCUCAGAAUUAUUCUUCAGACUCUCAGAGAUCAUUAGUUAUUCGCCAAUUUCAGUAAGUGUGAGUUUUGGCUAAGAUCAAUAGCAUUCCUUGGACAUAUUAUUUUCGGUGAUGACAUUAGGGUCGAUCCUCAUAAAACCAAAGCGGUAAGAAACUGGCCUCGCCCAUUAUCUCUAUCAGAUAUUAGGAGUUUCUUGGGUUUGGCUGGCUAUUACAGAUGGUUUGUCAUGGGAUUUUAUUCUAUUGUGUCUCCCAUAUCUAGAUUGACUCAGAAGAAGGUCAAGUUUCAGUGGUCAAAUUCAUGCAAGAAGAGUUUUCAGGAAUUGAAGACUUGACUCACCUCAGCUCCAGUCUUAGCUCUUCUAGAUGGUUCAGAUGGGUUUGUAGUAUAUUGUGAUGCAUCCAGAGUAGGUUUAGGUUGUGUCCUCAUGCAGAAUGGUAAGGUCAUAGCCUACGUCUCUAGACAGUUAAAGCCCCAUGAGAAGAAUUAUCCUAUUCAUGAUCUUGAGUUAGUAGCUGUGGUAUUUGCCUUAAAUAUUUGGAGGCAUUAUUUAUAUGGAGUUCAUGUUGAUGUCUUCACAGAUCACAAGAGUCUCUAGUAUGUCUUUUCUCAGAAAGAUCUUAAUCUUCAUCAGAGAAGGUAGUUAAAGCUUUUGAAAGAUUAUAACAUGAGUUUUCUUUACCAUCCGGACAAGGACAACGUUAUGGCCGACACUUUCAGUAGACUCUCCAUGGGUAUUAUUUCUCAUGUUGAGGAUAGCAAGAAGAAGAUAGCUCAAGAGAUCCAUCAGCUUUCCAAACUAGGCGUUCACUUAGUCGACUCUUUAGAGAGUGGUGUAUGUGUUUAGAGUAGUUCAAAGUCAUCUCUCGUUUCUGAGGUGAAAGAGAAGUAAGACAGGGAUCCUAGACUUUUCAAGCUAAAAUAGUCAAUUUAGAAUCAGAAAGUAGAGGUUUUCUCCUAAGGGGGAGAUGGUGUUCUUCGUUGUUAGGGUCGUCUGUGUAUUCCAGGUGUAGAUGACUUGAGGCAGCGAAUUCUUACAGAAGCGCAUGGUGCGUGAUACUCUAUUCAUCCAGGGUCCACUAAGAUGUACCACCACUUGCAAUAGAUCUAUUAGUGGAGUAGGAUGAAGAGAGAUGUUGCGGAAUUUAUGGCUAAGUGCUCUACAUGUUAGCAAGUUAAGAUAGAGCAUUAGAAACCUAGUGGUUCCAUGUAGGAGUUCACCAUUCCUACUUGGAAGUGGGAAGAAGAGAAAAUGGACUUCGUGAUGGGUUUGCCUCGCACUCGUCAUCAGCAUGAUUCAGUUUGGGUCAUUGUAGAUAGAAUAACCAAGUCAGCUCACUUUCUUCCAGUUCGUACUUCUUAUUCAGCCGAGGAUUAUGCCAAACUCUAUAUCAGGGAGUUGGUCAGAUUACAUGGUGUUCUAUUAUCUAUCAUCUCAGACAGAGGUACCCAGUUCACCUCUAACUUCUGGAAAGCACUCCAAAAAGAUCUUGGUACCCAAGUUUAUCUCAGUACAGCAUUUCAUCCUUAGAUAGAUGGUCAAGCAGAAAGGACCAUUCAGACUCUUGAAGAUAUGCUAAGAGCGUGUGCAAUUGAUUUCAAGGGUAGUUGGGGUGACCACUUGCCUUUGAUUGAAUUUGUAUACAAUAAUAGCAGUCAUUCCAGUAUUCAAAUGGCUCCAUUCGAAGCUCUCUAUGGUAGGAGAUGUAGAUCUCUAAUUGGUUGGUUUGAAGUUAGUGAAGCCUCAGUCAUAGGUCCUGACUUGGUAUUUGAUGCCUUAGAGAAGGUUCAGUUAACAGAGAAAGACUCCGGGCUACUUAGAGCUGACAGAAGUCCUAUGCUGAUAUUCGUAGAAAGGAUCUCAAAUUCGAGGUCAAUGAUUACGUCUAUCUUAAGACCUCUCCCAUGAUGGGAGUGAAGAGGUUCGGUAAGAAAGGGAACCUCAGUCCCCGAUACGUCGAUCCCUUCAGGAUUCUCAGUCUCUUCAGCAAGGUAGCGUAUGAGCUCGAAUUACCUUCAGAUCUAGCCUCAAUUCAUCCAGUCUUCCAUGUCUCUUUUCUCAAGAAGUGCAUAGAUGACCCAACAAUUGUAGUCCCUAUUCAGAGCAUUGACAUUUAGAACAGCCUCUCUUAUGAAAGAUUCUAGUCAAAAUCUUAGACUAUCAGACUCAUAGAUUGAGGAACAAAGAAGUCCCUCUAAUCAAGGCUCUUUGGCGAAAUCAGUCUCAUGAGGGAGCUACUUGGGAAGCAGAAGUAGAUAUGCGUACCAAGUAUCCUUACCUCUUCUCCGUCAAUUCAGAUCAAGCUUAAGGUAAUAGUUCUCCUUAAGCUUAUUUAGUUUCAUGUUCAUGUUCCCAUCAUAAAACUUGGUACCUAUUACCAUUGCAUACUCAGUCAUGAAUUCAUGUAUCAGUUCAACUAUAAGAUCUUGCAUCAGCUAUGCAUUCUCAUCUUGAGAAAUUCAGUUUACUAGAUUAUUCAGUUAUGCAUUCAUGUAUCAGUUAUCCUUGCAUCAGAUAUGCAUAAGUUUAGUAUAUUUAUCAUGUUAGUCAUGAAAUUAGAUUUUAGUUAUUCAGGUUCAGUCAUGUUUAGUUUGUCUUUUAUCCCCUGUCAGUUGAUUCUCAUUCGAGGACGAAUGUUCCCAAGGGGGAGAUAUUGUAAUACCCCAAAAGUUCAGAUAUUUUUAGGAUCAUGUUUUGAACUCAUGAGUAAUAAAUUUUAGUACUUUGGUAGUUCUACGAUCAAGGUUGAUGCAUAUUAAGGCCUCAAAAGUGUCCUAGCUAAUAGACGAAUCAAAAUAAUUCCUUACUGAUUGAAUUCUUGAGAAGGAUAUUGGUAUAGUCAACUUCAAACUAGCAUAUCUCUCGUUAUGCUAUGAAUCUAUGAUCUCAUGACCCACCAACAGAUAUAUAAUUGGAUUAGCUUUCCAACAAUACCAAUUUCGUCUAAAUCUGAUAUCGGAGAAAGGGGUUAUGUCCAUUUUACUCUGGCAUGUCAGGCUGGGAAACUAAGUGACAAUAUUUGUGACAAGCCAUCACGCCCGUGAUGGCAUAUCACCAAUUUCGUCAGCCCUGGUUAGAUUUUCACCCCCAGUGACAAUAUUUUGUGACAAGCCAUCACACCUGUGACGGCCUAUCACCAAUGUCAUCAACCUUAACCAAAAAACUAAGAUUUCACCUUUUUGUGACGACAAUUCAUGACGACCUAUCACCAGUAUGACGGCUUGUCACGAAUGUCAUCAGCUAUUUUUUCCAGCAAUUGAGGGACGUUUUAGUAAGGGUAUUUUGGUUUUUUCCCUUUACUUCUCACGAUUUAUAACCCUCAAGGAGCGUAUUAUCUCCCAUCUCUUUAGUUAAACAUCUCAAAAAGCUCUCUCAUACACUCUCAACCACAAAAUUAGGGUUUUAUCUCAAGAUCAUCUCCUCAAGAGCAAGCCUAAGGAAUUCUUCAAGAACCUUUAGAAACAUUAGAUCUCUUUCAAGACUCAAUCACUAAGGUAUGCGUAGUGUUCAUCCAUGGGUCCCUUUAAUUCAUGGAGCUUAAGAAAUCAUGUUUUAAAUUAUAAAUUAUGAUUUUCUUGUCGUAUUAUGACUAUAUUCAUGUUGAUGAUAGUUGUUUGGAUUCAAGGUUGUAUCUUGACGUGUUUUCAUGAAGCAUGUGAAUAGGUUAGUUGAAACCCAUAAAUUUUGGAUGGAUUAAGAUGGUCGAAUUGAUAAAUAUACCUAUGCCUUAAAAAAGUGCAUGCAAGGUGUUUGAUAAAAUGCCUAAGGAACUAGAAAUCAUACAAUAUAGCUAAAUUGUGACUAAGUGAAGGAUUCAUGAUAUGCCCCUAUGUUCCAAUGAUUUUCAUAUUGAUAUUGUGUCUUGUAAAUGUUGUUGGGAUGUUCAUGAACUAGUCUUAUGAGAUUAUGCCAUGCUUACUUACAAAUCCUACUUAUGUACAAAAUAUAUGAUAUCCAUGCACUUCAUGGAAUUCCCCAAGUUUUGAUAUUAUGGAUUGUUGAUGUUGGUCACGUACUCAAGUCAGUUAUGUGCAUCAUUUUCCUUCCAUCGAGUCCUGGGGGUACUUAUACCCGAAAAACAUAGUUGUAUGCCUAGAGCCUUGUUAUGUUUCACGAUCUCCAAAAUCAAGCCAUGAAUCAAUAGAAAUCAGUCAGUCAUAUGACUCAGGAAAACCUCAUGAUCUCAGUCAGUUAACAGUUAUUAGAUAUCAGAAGUAUUCUAUCAGUUAAUGGAAUUCAGUAAGUUUAGUCCAUGUACAGUCAGUUACUCAUUUUCAGUCUCUUCAGAUGGGAGUGAAAGUUAGCACCGAGCGAACCCAAGGAUGGGAAUGCACCUGUUAUAUGAGGGUGUGAUUCUUAGCAGUCAUCCUUGAAUUCCAAAACUAUGUAGCUAUCAUAGGUUGAGACAUCGCAGCUUGUUAUAUAAGGGUAGAUGAGGUGGUUUAACCUGUUAUAUGAAGGUUCCCACCAUUCUCACUAGAGUUACCUUUUAUAUGAGGGUUGCUCACACAUUGUCCUUAUCAGUGGCGCGGUAUUGACACCCUUCCAGUCAAGGAAGAGAUUGAACCCUGGCUUAGCCAUAAUGGCACAUAUGGGGCAUGUCAGUUAAACAACUACCUCCCAUAGUUUCAGCAUCAGUCUCAGUAAAAGAACUUAGAUAGUUCUUCAGAUUUCAGCAUAUCAGGACUGUUAGAUACAGUCAAUUUAAUUACAGUAUGGAACUCAGAUAGUUCCAUCAGAUUCAGGACUGUCUGAUAGAGUCACCCAUGUUAUCAGAACUACAGUAUCAGUCAUGAUUAGUUAUCAGUAAACUAUGUAUUAGCGUACAGAUUUAGCUAUCAUGCAUUCACAAUCUCAGUUAUUAUGCAUGCAUGUUUGCACUCUUAUGUUCAUAUCAGUCAGUCAGUUAGCAUUGCUCAUGCAUGUAAACCCUUUUGCAUUUACCCUACCUCACUCGUAUACUUAGUAUAUCCCCAUGUACUAAUGCAUUUGCACUAUACUGCUUUCUUUUCAUGUUACACCAUUGGUCCAGAGACACAAGCUCCAGAUCCGCAGUAGCAGUAGCAUUCCAGUAUACAGAGUUGCAAUGAGUCCUCUUCAUUCGAGGACAAUAUGAUUUGAUUUAUUUAUUAUCUCAGUUAACUUUCAGUUUUAUAGAGUUAGUUAGAGACAUAUUCAUCCAUCUCCUUAUUCAGACAGUACUUAGAGGCUUUCAGAUUUAGUUCAGAUUUGUAUUCAGUUUUGAUUUAGAUUUAGUUGUUUUGGGUAUUCGUUACCCCACAUGGAUGUUAUUUUUUGAUAGAUUCUUUAUUCAGUUGAACCUUAUGGCCUAUUGUUUAUGUUUUUCAUAUUCUUUAUGUAUAUUAUGCAGUGUAAAGGUGCAGAUAUCAAUCAUAGGUUAGCUUGUGGUCCUUCGGGGUCAUAGGCACCGUGUAGCAUUCCAGUUUAGAAAAUUGGAGUGUUACAUUUGAUUAGGAGCAGACAAAGUUGAAUUUGGUGACCUGUAGCUCCUAUUUUUCAUCCAUGAACAGUAGCUACAUUUCUAGUAGUUUUGCUCCUUUAUUUCUCUAGUUUUUUUGUGUUGUGGUUUAUGUAUUGUUGCUCGUUGUUUGGUACUUGUUUGGUGUCUAUUUUUUAGGACAUUAUUGUAACUCCUGGUAAUUAUAGUGGAGGUUUUGGUCCCGUAGUUUUUUACUCUUUACUUCGAAGGGUUCUUUACGUAAAUUUGGUGUCCCGUGUGAUUGGUUUUAUUAUUGUCUUAUCGUAAUUAUUUGGUUGAUUUAUUUGCUGCGUUAUUACCAUUGUGCUUGGGUUUGGUUGUUUCCUCUUAAUUCAAAUUGAAAGGAAAAAUUUAGACUUGGGUAUUCUUUUACAGCUAUCGUGUCAUGCACUUUAACAGUGCCUUGUCUUUUCUAACACCCACCUCGCUACCCUCCAAAAAAAUGUAAGUCCUAUUCCUAUAUUGGGGUCAUUGAUGCAUAAAGUUUCUUUUUGUAUGUAGAGAGGGUGGUAAUUUCCUACUGCAGGUUAAAUUAUUGUUUCAUUCUGCAUCCCCACCUUAAUUUUUUUUCAAAUUGCAUCUUGGCUUAGCUUUGUCAGCCAAUACCAGGACAACAUAUUUUUUAGGCUGCCUAUAGCUCAAUUUUUAGACUUCCUUUUUCUUUCUAGUUCAUAUGGUUAUUGCUUUGCUAAUUCUAUGCCUUUUAUUAAAUAAUAACCUUGUUAGCUAGUGCACUUUCAUGUGUUAUUUUUGAUUUAUUUGUGAGUGUGUUCAGAUACUUGAUUUACUUACCUAAAGUUCUUCUGGUUACCAAAUCUUACUUCCAACUCCAAUCCAGUUUCAACCUUAUGAAUGUAUCUUGACUUGAGAAUUUAGUCCCUUGUAUGAACUAGUGUUGUGGUCUCAAGGCUGUAAAUCCAUCCCAAUAUUCUCGGUAUGCUAUAAAACUAACAUAUUUAGGGUUGUAAAUUUUAAGUUUGCAAGGGAAAUAAUGAAUGAGGAUGAUCUAAUUUGUGUUUCUAUUUGUUGAUACUUUAGAUGCAUGUUCAACUUUCAGCUUCCAGACUAAUGGAGGAAAUAGAACCGGAGGGUAAGAACAACAUUUUUCUAACAUCAAACCAGCCAAUAAGAUUGAAAAUUCUUUUUAAUAUUGCAAAUGGUGGGUUGAACCUCUUAUCUUCUUAAAUUAUUUCAUUCUGCCUAACCUAAUGUAGGUCCUACUAGCUGAGUUUGAGUUUUAGAUUUUUACUAAAAUAUUUAAUCCUGAGUGGCCACUUGUUUCUCUCUGUCUAUAUGACUAAUUAAGUGACGUAUAUUUUUUAAUUGUAAUCAAUUUGUGAAUCUGAACUGUUUUUUCAACACCCUUAUAGUCAUACAAUUAUCUAAAAAUAGAGGAGAUGUUAAAAAUUUUAUUGCAUUUAAUAGUGUGAUUUCCUUGUAUUUCAAUUCUCCUUUGACAGGUAUGUUCACACUCGCAGCAUCUUAUAUUUCUCUCCUAUUUUCUAUUCCCCUAUCCUAGUUUAUAAAGGUUAUAGUCAUUCCUAUUUGAAUUUACCAAAAUUGUACUAGGCACACGUGUCAUAUGCCCCCUUAGCUAGUUUCUCUAAGAUUUAAACUUAAAUUUGCUUGAUGUUGGCCUAACAGAUCUUCAUGUUACAUAAGAACAGAUGAUACUAAGACCAAAGUUCAAGAAGUGCAUAAUUAGUUCCAUUUUCUAGAAAUCUAGAAGUUAUGAUGCCAGAGUUAUGGUAUAAAAUGUUUUUAUUCUUUAUUUCCUCUAGUACUUUUUUUCUUCUGAGAACAAUACUAUGAUUUGUUGAAACGCGUGAUUUAUUACAAGUUACAGAUAUUUAUGUGACUAUAAAUAAUUAAUCAUUUCACUAAUGGUUAUCUAGACAUUGAUUUUAAUUUCAAGAUAAAACUCAAGGAAGGGGGAUUGUACUUCCAAGUAUCUUUGAUUGUUGGCUGGAAUUCUUUAAUUACUGAGGCAAGGUUCUGUUCAUGACAUAGUUCCUUAUCUGUUGAAUUAAUCUAUAUAAACUCAGAUGAUGCAUCCUUUUAUCAAUGAAUAAAGUAGGGUCAUGCUUAAAUUCUUUUAUGUUUUCCGCGCGUAGUUUAUUUGACCUUUUCAUUGCUCCUUUUUGGGCCUAAAUUUUUGAAAUUUAAGCAUGUUUGUUGCUUAAAUUUUUGGAUGUUUUUUUCAUGUAGUUUGUUUUACCUUUUCAUUGUUCCUUCAUGGACUUCUGGUUCUGAUCACAUUCUUGCUUUUAUCUUUCUUGUUUUGCAAUGCUAGAGUUUGGUUGAGGUAAAGGAUAAGAAAGUGAAGGAGUUGUUGCAGUCAAUUUUACUCCACAAAGCAAAAUGGGAAAGAUGCUAAUGGCUAAAUAUAAGACAUUGUUUGAGGAAAAUGAAGAGAUUGAAACCAGGCUAAUGAAGGAAAGGUAUUAAAUGAUUUUCUUCAUCAGUGAUGUGUAAAAUAUAAAAUUCUUUAGUUCAAAACUGUCAAUUAAAAAGAAAUUCUUUUUAGCUACAACUGAAUGUAGAGAUGGAAGAGACUAGUCUAUUCUUGGUUACCUAAUUGCCUGUCUAGCUUGUUUUUUUAGGUUUAUUAAAUUUAUUAUGGUUUCUCUAAAGGUGAUGAAUAUGAGAUAUUACAGAAGUUUCGUUUCUUUCUUCAUUUGCAGAUGCAUGAAUUAUCAAUGAAACUAGGUCUGGCUUUGCAGAUAUCUCAGAAUGCUCAACUCAAAAGUCAAUUUGAAGGUUAAUCUUCUCUCCCGUUGCUUUAUUAAAUACACCUCUAUUUUCUUUUUAACUUGUCUAGGAAUUUUUUGUUGCUGCUAGUUUUAUUGUGCUCGUCUGUAAUACCAUUAUUUUAUGAGAAAAUAUUCUCCAUAAUUUUUUUGGGGGUCAUUAACUAAUGUUUUUCCAUGGUAAAUGUAUUGCCUCAAAAGAUCAUUUUCAUUAUGAGUUUUUUAGUAUUUGGUUGGAUACGGAGAUAGCAGAGAAAAUUGAAGGAAAGGUGUCUUUUAAGUCUUCAAUGAAGGAUUGGUGACAUUAAUCAACUUAAAGGGUCAAACAUCAUUAGAAACUUGAUUAAGUUAAUUGUAGAUUUGAUUAAUAUUUUCAAAACUUUCUAAUCUUUUCAAAAAUACAAAUCAACCCAACCCACACCCCUCUUCAAUCCAAAUCAACCAGUCUCUCUCCUCUCUCUCUACAGCUUCUCUUAACUCUCUCCCAACCAACAGUUUGCAAAUUCUCCUUUCAAUCCUCAGUGAUUUCAACCUCCGAUGAUAAAUAGUUAGCUUCGAGUUCUUUUUCAACUUAAUUCAACCUUUAAUCGACGUGACAGCCUUGCUCUCCAGCCACAACAACUUUAAAUUUUUCAUCGUUCCUUUUCUUCUUUCACAGGUUAAAAUUUAUGGCCUUUUUAGUUUUGAAGAAAAUGAGGAACUUGAGCCAACUUCUCUUACAGUAUUGGUUAACAAUUUCAAUAUUUAUUGCUUUAAUUUGAAAUGCGAUCUGAAUAAAAUCCUAAUUUCUGGUAUUCUUCUCUUAUCUUUUCAAAGUGAAUUAUGAUUUUUUGUUGUUUGUUGAAUUUUUUUGAAGUUUAAUUUUCGUUGUUUAUGUUUAUACAAUUAAAACAAUGAUUUGGGUCAAUUUGUUCUGUUCUUAUUCAUGGUAAAAAUGGUGAUAUUCUUGUUUUCUGUUGAACAAAAUAAUGCUACUAUUUUUUUUCAACAGAUUAUUCAUCUGGUGCAACAUAUUAACCAUCUGAUGCAAUAGAUUUUUCAUAUGAUGCAACAGAUCAAUCAUCUGAUGCAACAGAGGAAUCAUAAGAUUAAAAUUCUGAUGCAACAGAGGAACCAUCAAAUAAAAAAUCUAAUGCAAUAGGUUUAUCAUAUGAUACAAUAGUUUAAUUAUUUGAUGCAAUAGAUUAACCAUAUGUUGCAACAGAUUAACCAUCUGAUGCAAUAAAUUUACUAUCGAAUGCAACAGAGGAACUAUCAGAUAAAAAAUUUGAUUCAAUGAUUAACUAUCUGAUGUAAUGGAGGAACCAUCGAAUUACAGAUCUGAUGCAACAGAUGAAUCUCCUGUUGGAUAAAAUCCUAUCAACUCUUCCAACAAGACAAGCCCAAUAAUUAAUUUUUUUCAACUGAUCAUUCAUCUGCCACGAUAGACGACCCUUCUGUUGGAAGAAAUAUAAACAAUAUUGACCAUUGAUAACUGUUCUAACAUAUCACUCAUAUGUUGCAACAUAUGUACGACCUAUUGUAUAGACCAUUCAUCUUUCUCUACAGAUGAGUGAUAUGUUUUAUAUUAUCACAACAGAUUACUCAAUUAUUGUUGCAGGUUAGUUAACUGUUUUGACAGAUCACUCAUAUGUUACAACAGAUAUGUGAUCUGUUGCACAAACCAUUCAUCCUUCUCAACAGAUGAGUGAUAUAUUUUUGUAUUGUCGUAAUAGAUUACUCAGCCAUUGCUACAGGCUAUUUAAUUAUUCUAACAGAACACUCAUAUAUUGUAAUAGAUGAUAUUGCAACAGAUGUGUGACCUGCUGCACAGACCAUUUAUUUUUCUCAAUAAAUGAGUGAUAUAUUUUCUAUUAUUGCAACAGAUUACUCAUCCAUUGCAACAAGUUAUUUAACUGCUCCAACAGAUCACUCAUAUAUUGCAAUAAUAUGUGAUCUGUUGCACAGACCAUUCAUCUGUCUUAAAAGAUGAGUGUUACAUUUUGUAUUAUUACAACAGAUUACUCAUCCGCUGCAACAGGUUAGUUAUAUAUUGCAACAGAUAUACUACCUGGUGCAACAGAUUAGUGAUCUAUUGGAACUGUUAUUUUACUAUUUUGCGUGUUAGAUUUACUAUUAUCUUUUUUUUAAUGAUGCAUUAAUCAACUAUAAUAUAUUUUUUUAUGUUCUUUUUAAUUUUAGAUAAUAUGGCUCCCAAAAGAACAAAAACUGAAUCAAAUUCAAGUAAAGGAACAAGUGAAGCAGCUAGGCUACAUCUACCACUCUAUGAGCUUGCUUUACAAGCAUUAUCUUUAUCAGGAGCAGAAUAUGAUGAACAUGGGGGGGGGGGAGUAAUGUUUCAAAAGAGAUGAUCCAAAUGCUAAUAGCUCUUCUACCGAAGAGUUGGUCAAAAUUUUCAGCAUUGAUCAUUACUCUGUGAGAAUGCAGUAUGAUGGUGCAACAGAUUUAACGAGUGAUUUCAUGGUUAAAUCAGUCAUGGAAAAAUCUUUCGACGUCUUCACAAAAAUACUUUGAGAACAAAAAUUGAAUGCUUAUUUCAGGGACAACAAUGCUCAUUUUCAAAUAAAAAUGGUAUAUGAACUUCUCAAGCAUAGGUUUAUGUAUGAAAACAAAGAUAAGAUGGAUGAGGUAUGGAAAAAUUACUGUGGCAUGCCUGUUUGUUUUGGUUGGAAGGAGUUUGUCAUAGUUACUGGAUUAAAAUAUUAUCCUCUUUCUCAAGUUAUACCUAUUCUAACCCAAAAAAGUACCCCACACACCCAAAAAAGGCAAAGGCAAGUCGUGUAAUCGUGAUGACCUGGUGUCCAUUGUUGGUCCAAGAUUCAAAAACAAAAAUUUGAUAAAAGUGUUAAAAGAUAAAGGACUUUCAAAGAAGCACAAGCAGUCAUUAUGCUUGGUUUGGUUUGUAUAUAAUAUUCUUGGGAGAGAGAUAUUAACAACAACAUAAGCGUCGAUUUAAUAAAGCUCUACGAGGAUCUUGAGACAUUUAACAGCUAUCCUUGGGGUUAUGAAAGCUUCAAAAUGAUUGUCAAAUAUUUGUUGACUCUGUUAGCUCCAAAAACAGUCAACUUAUAUGGCUUUCAAUGGGUUUUCCAUGGACUUUCAUGGUAAAUGUUUUUUUUUUUUAAUUAUGAUAUCAUUUAUUUUUUUACUCAUAAUGGCUUUGAUUAUUGACGUUAUUUUAUAGGCUUGGGCAUUUGAAGCCAUUUCUUAUUUGAGACAACAAGUGAACUACCAGGAAGAAGUUUCCUGUCCAAGAAUCUUGAGAUGUUUAUCGGCCAAAACUGAUAAAAAUGUAAAAUUUCUUGAUCUCUUCAUCCCCUCAAAGGAUGCAGUAAGUAUACUUAUAAUUAAGUUUUUUUUUAAUUAAUGAUUUUUUUGAAUGAUCUAAUCAUCAUUCUAAUAUAUGUAAUGAUUUAUGUUAGAUUGUGCAUCCGUCACUAGUUCCGACCAAUCGAGAGUUGAAGAUGUCAUUUUUUCUUAUUUUAAGGUCUGUGAAAACUUUAUCGGACCCUAAGUUCAUUGACAAAAUAAAAAUGGAAUUGUUUGGAGUGAAAACCAUUACAAGAAAAAUCAUUUUGGAGGGUGGGCUUGUUGUUUUUUAUGGUCUUAGUGGUGAUGGAGCUGUUGGUGGUGGUAGUGGUGCUGCUGUUGGUACUAAAGAUACUCCCCUUACAAUAUUUAAAAUAAAUCAUUAUGAGUAUGAUCAUGCUAGUUAUACAGAUUUUGCCCCUCCCAGUGAAUAUUCUGCAUGCAAAUGUCAAGACUGCAGGGUUAAACAUGAUGUAGUGAUUAAUGCUAUUAAUGUAUUAACUGCUUCUGUAAAGAAUUGAUAUCUAAGAGGGAUGUCAUUCCAUCAAAGAGGAUUUAAUAUCCAUCCACUCCAUUAGAGAUUAAGGCUAAGAGGAGAAGGAAAGUGAUUUUCAAUGCAUUAUCAAGUAUCCAAAAAAAGAAAAAUGCAACUCCUCUGUUCGUGUGUUGCACUAAGCAAUGUACAAUGUCCAAAGAAGAGCAGCACGAGCUAAAGAAGGUGAAUGUAUAUGUCUAUUCCAAUUAACAAACAGACACAUAUCUCUUUCAACAGAUGACACAUCUGCUGAAAAUUAUCAAACAGAUAUAUAUAUAUUUAUUGCAACAGUUGACUAACUUGUUGCACCAAAUAAAGUAUUUAUUGCGAAACAUGUCUCAUCUAUUUUAGAAAAUCAAAUAGCUCUUCGUACUUCUUUUAUUUGUACUAACAGAUGAUCUAUCUGCUGUAACAGAUGAGUCAUAUAUUACAACAGAUGGUUCAUCCGUUGAAAAUUAUCAUACAGGUCUUUCUCAUGUAGAAAUUUGUUCCAAUAGUUAAUUCAUUGUUGCAACAGAAAUAUAAUCUAUUUGGGACAAUUUAAAAUAGGAGAAAGACAUGUUUGAUUUGCUAGAACAGCUGAGUUAUUCUUUUCUAUUUUGUUGUAUCUUCAUGAUUAGUAUUGAUCAAUUCUGGCUUUCGAGGUGGAUGUAGAAGCUACUGCUGAACAGCAUUGAUAAUAUACUACUCUUUUUAUGGAAAUACAGAGAACAAAAAAUGCAGAAACCAUACAUAAGAGACAAUAAAGAUCCACGAAGACCAAAGCCGAAUUCCAUAGCACUUGAUGAAGAACAACGUGUCUAUAUUGAGUAGAUCUUUAUAGCUUGAGUCUGUCAAAGUAAUAACCUGACCCCUCUUUAGGAAUCCUUGGCACCAAUACUUAAAUUAUUUAUGUAUUUGUUUAGAUCUGUACCCAUAAUAAUUUUUUUUUUUUGCAUUUCAUUUAUUCGUUGAUUUAUUUCAGCUAAUUUUUGAACUCUUCAAUUUAUUUUAUUUUGUCUAUGAAUUUUAUUUUUUCCUUAGAUUUGAACUUAUUAAUUGAAAUGAAAUACUAAAUUCAAAUAUUGCAACAGAUAAUGUAUCUGUUGUAACAAACGACACAUCUGUUAGAAAAUAUCAAAUAGAUUUAGAUAUAUAAUGCAACAGGUAGUUAAUCUAUUGGAAUUUAUCAAACAGGCCUUUCCAUUGUUGCAACAGAUAGACUUAGACAGAAAUAUCGACAUAAUACAAAAGAUGACCAACCUAUUGCAACAGAUAAACUAUAUGUCAGAACAGGUAGAAUAUCUGUUACAACGGAUGGAAAAUCUGUUGUAUUAUAAAAUUCAACUUUCAUUGGACAUAAAUAAUUGCCACUAGAUGUAAAAAAGUGAAAGUGAAUUGAAAUAAAAAAGGCGGAACCCAUCAACAGUGUUCAGUUCAAAACACCUAAAAUAAAAUAGGUAUCAAGUAGACAGUAUUUAUUUUAAACACGUAAAAUAAAAUAGACAUCAAAUGUGUCAGUUUGGUACUUUUUACCCUAGUGGCUGCUUGCAUGUAAUUCACGUAGCCAAGGCUCGUUGAACCCCCAUUUUUGCUGACUUGGCGUCUGAUUUGGACCCCAACGGUCAUUUUUUUUUCCCAUUGUCUUAUAUAUUCAUCUUCUUCCUAAAAUUUAACUCUAAAUUCCCAAAUCCUAUUCUUCGUCAUUAUCUUUUUUUAUCUAUCCAAAUUCUUUAAGUUAUUUGUAUUUGGUCUUUAUUUUCAUCUUUUUUUUUAUUUUUUCCAACCGAGCUUCACAAUGUCGAGUGCAUCUUCCACUAUUUUUUUUGAAAAAGAUUUUAACUAUUGUAAGUCCGGUCAUGAAGCUCUAUUAAAGACUUCUUGGACUCAACAAAAUCCAGGUCGUAGGUUUUUACUAGUAAAAUUUCAACGGUAUAUUUUUUUAUUUAAUUAGUUGAUUAAUUAUUGAUUUGUAAUUAUUUUGUAAUUGUGCUCUUAUUUUUAUAGACAUUGGGUGGAUGCAAUUACUUUGAUUGGUAAGAAGAACGACACCCUUCACAAGAAAAUUGUGUAAUCAGGAGUUUGUUGAACAAAGUCAAGGCUUCUGAAGAGAAAAAAAAUCAAGAAGAAGAUGGUACAUUGUUGUCGUUACUGCUACUUGUUUGGUGUUGUUAGGAACAUAGAUAUUCAAACCUAAUUACUGGAAUUUUCAUGGUGGUGUAUUUGUUACUGGUUUGGUGUUGUCGAGCACAUGGAUAUUCAAGCGUAAUUUUUGGAAAAUAUCAAACAGAUUUAGGCAUAUGUUGUAAAAUUUAGGUCAUUUUUUGAAAGUUAUCAAAUACGUCUUCCCACUGUUGCAAUAGAUUAGAUAGAAAUAACAUCCGCAUAAUCCAAUAUAUGACCAACCUGUUACAACAGAUAAACUAUCUACCAGAAUAGAUAGAAUAUAUUUUACAACAGAUUGACAAUCUAUUGGAUUAUAAAAAACGCAACUUUCAUCAGAAAAAAAUUAUCACUACAUGUACAUGUAAUUUAAAGUAAAAAGUGAAGUGUGACUUGAAAUAAAAAUUGUUAUUUCACAGGCUCUUCUAUAUACACAGGCUCCAAGCGUCCAGUUAGUACCCCAUAAUCCCAGACCUCUUGCAGGUUUGCCACAGCAUUGUCGCACAGAAAGGUCGUUGGCUCGGCCAUUUCUAUGUCGGUCAGCAAAUAUUCGGUGUGUGCAAGAGCAUGCGAUCCUAACGCAUAAUCGAUAUCAUUUUUAGAAGGUUUAUACCCUUGUUUCGACCUUCAAAAUACCAUAAUUUCUUCAUUAACACUUCCUUUGGAAAAUGAUUCAUCAGUUUAAUAUCCCUCAAUAAGAUGGGGAACAGCUCCAUCAGUGGCUGCACAUGGAAAAAAAGACGGACCUCGUCGAUGGCAGGUAGGUUGCAAUCAUAAACUUUGACCUUUCCCUCCUCGAGUAGUAUCUUAAUAGCUCGAUAAUGUAUGUCGUCCAUGCUAAUGACUGCAAUAAUCCUCUUUGCCUCGGUCCAUCUCUUGCUGUGUGGAUUUGGCCUCUCCCCUAUAACAUAUUUUAUUAUUUCUUCUUCAUCCCAGUCCAACGUAGAAACUAAGAAAUCAAAUCCCGUGCCACAGUCUAACACAGCAUUAUUGAGUUGAUCGUACUUAUCCGUGAGCUUAUUGCAGAAGUCAAGGUCUAUUAUCCUAUCGGCAGCGUCAUAAGCUUUCGGGUACUUUAAUUGUCUUUUCCUCAUGAGGCAGAAAAUUUUAUCAACAUGCUGUGAUAUAAGAAGUCAAUUUUUAAAUAGGUUAGUAAUUGUAAAGAUGCAACAUAUGGUCCAUCUGUUCCAUAGGGUUCUCUGAAUCAAUAAUCCAACUCAAGUUACGCAAUAGAUGGAUAAUAAGUUGUAAUAAAACCACUACCAGUUGCACUAAAAUACCCAGCUGUUGCAACAGAUUUCACAUCUGUUGUGUAGCUUCUUCUUUAUGGGGUAGAUUAGAAGCCUAGGUUAGGAAAAGUAAACUUGCCUUGUCCUCCUACCGCAUACACAUAUCUGUCAUAAUCUGGAAGUCCUGGGGUGAAAAGGGAGGCCUGGGGUAAUCUGGUGCGCGUGGCUUAGCAUUCUUGGCCUGUCACAGAUACCUAUUCUCUUUGGUGCCAAUUUCCAUGUAUAUAUCCACCUUCUUGAAUAUCCCCUGAACUUCAACAGCUUUUGGAGAGGGAGGAGUUGCAAUUUUUUUUAUUUUCGAUCGAAGAGUACGUCGCUAAUUGCUCUUUUCUUCCUUCUAACCGCCGUUGUAGGAGUGUAUGGCUCCCUCACCUUAUUAGAUGGUAUGACACCCCUCUUGGAUUUGAAUUCCUCAACAACUUUAGAGAUAACCUCUACUUUUUCAUAGAGUUUAUCCUGGUUGUCCUUGUAAUCUUUGCAUUCGCAACGAGAACACGAGGGUGAAGAGGGGUAAGAGGGACCUGUGUAAGGGUGAAAAGGGGUGUUUUCAAAUAUAUUUAUUUUUUCUUAAGCAUUAACAUGCUCAUCAUCAUGAGUGGUAGCAUCAUCAUCAUGCCUGCCACCAACACCAACAACUCCACCAAAAAAAGUACCCGAAUCUGCCUUAGUAGGUUGGUCAUGAAGAGCCUCAACAUUAGGCUGACCUUGCCUAACUAUUUUUCUUAUGAUUGUUGCUCUAGCCAAUUCUUUCUUUAUUAAAUCCACCGUUGGGUCUACUAUAGUAUCAACAUGAGCUAGAGUAAUAUAAGAAGUCAUCACCGACUCCCGCUCAGUAGACACGAUCCAUGGAUGCACAACCUAUAAAAAAGGACAAAUACAUUUAACUCAUAUAAUAUAAUAAUUUUCACGGUUUGGUUAUACACAGUCAACUUCUGCAACAGAUUAAUAAUAUGUUGCAUCAAAUUACCCAUUGUUGCAUAGUUUGCAUUAGAUGGUUAAAAUUUGUUUGAGUCGGGUUCAAAAAACCAGAGAACUACAUGGAUAAUCUGAUGCAAAAUAUCAACCAUCUGUCGAAAUAGAUUACCAAUCUGUUGCACCAGUUGCACAAGAUGGGUAAUCUAUUGGGUUACAUAUUAUGUAACAGAUGAUCUGUAUGUCACAACAGAUUAAUAAUAUGUUACAUCAGAUUAUACAUCAGUUGUAUAAUUUGUAGUAGAUGGUUAAUCUGUUAGGAGUCGGGUUCAGAGAACCAAAGCAAUAGAUAGGUAAUCAAAUACAAGAUAUCAAUUGUAUGUCACAAUAAAUUAUCCAUCUGUUACACCAGUCGGCACAGGAUGGGUAAUCUUUCACAACAGAUGUCCCAUCUAGUACAUCAGAUAUAACAUCUGUUGUACCAGAUAUAACAUUUGUUUACUAUCUUUCAUUGAGUAAAAUUAUUUUACUUGAAGAAAAUGUACUGUAUCAUCCAGAGGGUUAAAAAGAUCAGCCUCCUUAAUUUUGGUGUUGUUCUUUGCAGCCAACCACCUAAACAUUCUUGGAUGAGAAACCUCAUCCGGGUAAUCUAUUACCUGCUUUCGGAGGGGAGGAAUGGCUUCAAAUGCCCAAGCCUAAAAAAUAUAAACAGGAAGCAAGCAAAAACAAGUCAUAAUAACUAUAUUCAAUAUAAAUUAAUGGAUUAGUAAAAAUAGUGAUUAAUUUUACCAUGAAAGCCCAAGGAAAGCCAUAUAAUGUGGCUGUCCCUAAGGAUAGAUUUGUCAAUAAAUAUUGGAUAGUCAAGUAGAAGUUGUCAUAUCCUCAGGGAUAAUUGUUGAAUUUAUCAAAAUCCUUAGCACGCGCCAACAAAUCAUCUUCUAUGAUCUUGUUUACGUCUCUUGCCAAUAUAACCAAAUGGGAAAACCAAAGUAAGCACAAUUUCUCCCUGUACUGCUUUGGUAUGGUUUUAUCCAUGAGAUCUGUCGAUAAAUCCGAUGCUUUAUAGCCACGUCGAGCAAUGUCAAAUAACCCAUCUAUAUUUUUCUUGCAUUUUCUUGCCUUGAAUCUUUUAUGGGGUGUUCCCUUGGUGAUAGGUGGUUCUUCUGGAUGAUGGGAUCUCAAACCCAUCACUACGGCAAACUCUUGCAAGCCAAAACAAAUCGGCAUGCCACAGUAGUUGAUCCAUAUUUUAUCCAUCUUUUUGCCUAUCUUCUUUGAAUCUUUAUCAACCCUCCACGUACUUGAUACUGCGCUUGAGAAGACCAUAUACCAUUCUCAUAUGGAAACGGGCAGAGGGGUCCUCAGGCAGCUCAAGAAAGCAUCCAAAGCAGCUCUUAUUAAAAAGUCCAUCUAUGUUUUCUUUCUUCAUAAUUUUCCUAAAUUAAAUAAAAUUUCUCCCUAUCUGAUAUUUAAGUACAAGUUCACCAGUUAGUUCUUCUUCUGCUUUUGGGUUAUUUAUCGGUAUCGCAACUUGAAACCUGUCAAAACUAAAAGUUUAGACAGGAUCAUGCUGGGAUGUCGAUAUUAAUUCACGCCCCAUUGGUGAUCCAUUAUCAUCAUGUUGAUGAUCAUCCUCUUUCUCUUUAUCACUCUCUAAUUCUUGCUCUUUCUCACUUUCAUUUUCUUCAACACCAUUUACAGACCCUUGUCCACCUCCCUCAAUGUUAUUUUUAUAUCUCUCCUCAGCUUCACUUUUUCCUGACUGAGAUUGUUAGGAAGCUCCUCCGAAUCCCUCUGUGCCUUUUUUUGGGUGGUCAGACGUUGAUCCACUUUCCCUUUCUUUUCUUUUGGUAGACAUGUUUUACCUACAAACAACAGAAAAACAAAAAUUAUAUCACAAUUGAUGUAUGCAUAAAUUUUAAAAAAUACAUAACAAACACCACCAAUAUCGACACACCAACAGCCAUCACCACCACAAACACCACAAACCAAUGCCACAAACAUCAUGAAUACUAACACUACCUACAGCCACCACAAAGACCACCAACUAAUGCCACCACAAAACCACCAACCAAUGCCACCAACAGCCACCAACAGUACCACCACGAUGACUACCAACACUACCACCACCAACAAGAACACCACAAAUACCAUCCAAUAAUACCACGACAGUCAACGGAAUACUACGAUAGAAACCAGGGUUUUCUCAAUUUCUUCCUACAAUUUUACCACCAACACUCAAAAUUGUAAAUCCAUUCUCAAAGAUAAUACAACUAAAACUUUUGUUUUUCAUCAUUAACUUAAAAUCCCUUAUUUUUUAGAAAAAAAUAAAAAAUAUAGAACUCUUCUUGAACUCUGCUACCUAUGAAGACAGAGAAAACGACUGAUACAAAAAAGAAUGAAGUCAAAAACAACACGUAUGUGGUCGAAAAUGUGAAGAAAAUUGAUCUGUUGUGAAGGGUAAAGUAAUUUGUUGAGUAGUUAUUGUCUGUACUGUAUAAUUGAGUGAGAAAGAGAAAAUAGAGAGAACUCGAGAUUUGAAAUGAUGAAAUAUUUUUCUCGCAAAUGGAUGAUUUGUAUAGGUUGAUUUGUAUUUUGAAAAAGAAUGACAAGUUUUGAAAAUAUUAAUUUGGUACGAAUUGAUCUUAAUUAUUUUUUAAAAUUAUAAAAGAUAUGCAUAAUUUUUAACCCUCUCAUCAUGCAAUUGCCAAAAGACUCGAUUGAAGUUGUAGUUGACCCUAUGAACUCACACCUGGUCCUAGAUUAAUCAAUUAGGUAUUAGACUCUAACAUAUUAACUCAAUUGAAAUUUUAUAAAAACAAAUGUUCAACUUGUUGAAUCAGAUUACGCAUCUGUUGUAAAUUAUCAAUUAGAUUAAGUUAUUUGUUGCAACAGAUUAUGCAUCUAUUAUAAGUAAUCAAACAGAUUAAGUAAUCUAUUGCGACAUAUUAUCCAUCUAUUGUAAAUUAUCAAAUGGAUUGUAAUAUGUUACAACAGAUUACCCAUCUGUUGUAAAUUAUCAAAUAGGCGCUGCCAUCUAUUGUAGUUGACCCUAUGAUAACUUAUCCAUAGUCCUAGAUUAAUCAAUUAUGGUAUUAGUUGAACAUAUAAGGUAGUAAGAAUUGAUUUAGCUCAGAGUGAUCGAUCGACGACUCUAGUCGGGAGGAACACAAUACCGUCUCAUCAUGCAAUUGCUAAAAGACUCAAUUGAAGUUGUAGUUGACCCUAUGAGAACUCACCCCUGGUCCUAGAUUAAAGAAUUAAGGUAUUAGUCUAACAUAUAAAAUCAAUUAAAAUUGUAUUAAAAAUAAUGUUCUACCUAUUGUAACAGAUUAAUCAUUGGUUGUAAAUUAUCAAACAGAUUAAGUCCUUUGUUGCAACAGAUUACGUAUCUGUUGUAAAUUAUCAAACAAAUUAAGUCAUCUGUUGUGACAGAUUACCCAUCUGUUAUAAAUUAUCAAAUAAAUUAAGUCAUAUAUCACAAUAGAUUACCCAUCUGUUGUAAAUUAUCAAAUAGGAGCUGCCAUCUAUUAUAGUUGACCCUAUAAGAACUCACCCCUAGUCCUAGAUUAAUAAAUUAAGGUAUUAGUCUAACAUAUGAGGUAGUAACAAUUGGUUCAUCUCAGAGUGAUCGAUCGAUGACUCUGGUUGGGAGGAAUGCAAUAUCGUCUCAUCGUGCGAUUUCCAAAAGACUCAAUUGAAGUUAUAGUUAACCCUAUGAGAACUUACCCUGGUCCUAGAUUAAUAAAUUAAGGUAUCAGUUAAAUAUAUGAGGUAUUAAGAAUAGUCUCAGUUUAGAGUGAUCGAUCGAUGACUUUGGACGGGAGGAACGCAAUACUAUCUCAUCAUGUCAUUACGAAAAGACUUAAUUAAAUUUAUAGUUGACCCUAUGAGAACUUACCCCUAGUCCUAGAUUAAUCAAUUAAGGUAUUAGUAUAACAUAUAAGGUAAUAAGAAUUGGUUCAUCUCAGAGUGAUCGAUCGACGACUCUGGUCAGGAGGAACACAAUACUCUCUCAUCAUACAAUUGCCAAAAGAUUCAAUUAAAGUUGUAGUUGACCCUAUGAGAACUCAUCCCUGGUCCUAGAUUAAUCAAUUAAGGUAUUAGUCUAAUAUAUAAAAUCAUUUGAAAUUGUAUAAAAAUAAAUGUUCAACCUGUUGCAACAGAUUAACCAUCUGUUGUAAAUUAUCAAACAGAUUAAGUCAUUUAUUAUAAUAGAUUACGCAUCUGUUGUAAAUACUCAAACAAAAUAAGUCAUCUGUUGCGACAGAUUACCCAUAUAUUGUAAAUUAUCAAAUGGAUUAAGUCAUUUGUCACAAUAGAUUACCCAUCUAUUGUAAACUAUCAAAUAGGCACUGUCAUCUGUUGUAGUUGACCCUAUGAGAACUCAACCCUGGUCCUAGAUUAAUCAAUUAAGGUAUAAUUCUAACAUAUGAGGUAGUAAGAAUUUGUUCAGCUCAGAGUGAUCGAUCGACAACUCUGGUUGGGAGGAACGCAAUAUCGUCUCAUCAUGCAAUUUUUGAAAGACUCAAUUAAAGUUUUAGUUAACCCUAUGAGAAUGCACCCCUAGUCCUAGAUUAAUCAAUUAAGAUAUUAGUUAAACAUAUAAGGUAGUAAGAAUCGGUUCAGCUCAGAGUGAUCGAUCGAUGACUCUGAUCAGGAGAAACACAAUACCGUCUCAUAAUGCAAUUUCCAAAAGACUUAAUUGAAGUUGUAGUUGACCCUAUAAGUGUAACAACCCAAGACAACCCCCUAAUCGUUACACAGUGCUUACAGUCCCGAGGGACCACAAACUAACCCAUGAGCUGGUACCUGCUGUGAGCACUGAAUAACAUGAUCAUAAAUGCGAAAUAAUACUGACAUGCCAUAAGGUUUUAAUAACUGAAUUUAAAACUGAAAUAUGAGUCUAUAUAAAUAAUUGACAGAAGUUGGUAAAAUAAAUAUAAACAGUAUCACUAACUGUAAUAUCUAAAUACUGAAUAACUGACUCUAAUGUCUGAAAAAGCCACUAUAACAGACUGACUGAAUAUGAGUUGAUGGGACAGGUCCUAACUAACUCCAACUAACUACUAACUAAGACAUGAAAUAAAGUAAGCCUGUCCUCAAAAUAUGAGGACUCACCACUACUACUGCUGAGAAUCUGAUAAGUCUACUCAUGAGUUAGGAACUGAACGUCAGAACCUAUGAUAUAAUACAUCAUAGCCAAAAAGAAAAGGUAUGCAAUCAGUACUUUGAAUGUACUAGUAUGCUAAAUGAGGUAGGCUGAUAUGCAUGGUUUUAUGAACACAACUAAUGAUUAACUGGAUAUCCAUGUAAAGCAUAGAGUACUAAGUAGAGAACAUGGAAUCUGCAGAUAUUGAUAAUGCAUGGAAAUCUAUAAAUACUGAGGAUGCAUGACCAAGCAUAUAACAUAACUGAGUAAGAUCUGUAAACUAAAAUACUGAGAAAACUAAAAUUUAUAUGCUUCAAUCAAGCAACACUAAGAUUGAAUAACUGAACUGGGACUGUAACUGAGACUAUAUCUGAGACUGUAGAAGGUAUUAUCUAACCCACAUUCCCCAAUUUGAGCUAAUCGGUGUCCAACCUGUAACCCCGGCUGAAAGGGUGUUAAUACCAUGCCACGGGUACUAACAAAGGUUGUGUGGAUCCACUAAAAUAAUAUAAUGUUCAAAGGACUAAGGGGUCAAACCUGAACUGACGGGUGACCCCUGCGAGAUAGUCAAGCCUAAUUUGAUGGGUGACUACUCAUAUUCUAUAUUUCUACGUAGUUCUGGAGUAUAGGGACUGCUACUAACGACUCUGCCUAUCUGAAGGGAAAGCUGCCAUCCCUACAGUCGCUCGGUGAUAAAUCCUACUCCCAACUAAAAGACACUGGGGUACUAGACUGUUUUGAGUUGAAUAACUAAUAGCUGACUAUUCUGAUAAUGCUCAUAAUUUAAUUUGAAGACUAUUUUGUAAUAUACUGAGGCUAGACUAAAUAAAUAACUAUGGUUUUUGGGUAUUCAAUACCCCUAAGACUCAAAGCAACAAUAAUGAAAGGAUACUAAAGCUUGAAGGUCAAAACAUGAAGGCUCUUAAUAAAUAAAUCUCUCUUGCAGGUAUUUUAUCAAACACUUGUAGUUCAUGGUUUUAAAAAAAAUCAUAAGAAUGUCAUGGAACUUGUAGAAAUAGCAUGAAUUCAUCAUAAUAGCAUAAAUCAUGGUUUAAUUUAGUAAAUCAUAAUAUUAAAAGAUUGAAGAUUGAAUAAUAACAACAAUUUCAUGGUAACAUGAUAUAGAAUCAUAGUUCAUGGAGAUUUGUAGAUGAAAUCAUAAUUUAAAACAUGGUAACUUGAAAAGAUCAUAAUUUUAUAAUUUGAAAAGGUUGCUUGGACUCCAUGGAUGAAAGGGAUCCAUCGAUGAACAUUUAACAUACCUGGGUUAAUAAAUUUGAAGAGAUGAAUGGAGAGUUCUUGAGAAAUUGCCUUGAAUUUGAGAGCUAGGGUUUCUUGUUCUUGGAAGAGGGAUUUUUUAUUAUGAGAGAAAUUGAAAUAAUAAUGACUACUUAGGGUGUUUAGGGUUAAAUUUCAUGUUUUAGGUUAAUUAGGGCCGUGGAAAAAGACCCAAAUACCCUUAAACGAAUUUAGAAAUAGAAGCUGAAAACUACCCAUCCUGAUUUUUGGCCUUAGCGCAAUGCGCCACUAUCGCGCCAAGCCACUGGAAAAGGGAUAAUUGGGACCUGGACAGACGGCGCGAGGUGCCACCAUCGCGGUAAUCCUGUGGAUGCCAUUUUGGUCACCUCUGUGACGCACCAUGAUCACGGAGGCCUACUGAAAAUUGACAAACGAGAAAUUGGCUUGCUCCGUAAUGCGCCGUGAUCAUAAAGUCACACUGGAAAUUGACAAUUUUCAUUUGGACUAUCUACGCGAUGUGCUGAGGAUUAAAAUGAUGGUGUUUAAUGACUGAAACUUAAAAUUGCCAUAACUUCUUACCCGGUUAUCAAAUUUGGGCAAAUUUUAUAUCGUUAGAAAGCUAACUGAAUUUCCUAUACAACGGAAUGCUCUAAACUGAAAAAUAUUGAGUGUUUAAAAAAUCUUAUGUACGAAUACUCAUGUAUUGGGACUUAGAUUAUGCUAGGGAAAUACGAGGUAUUAUAAUGAGCUUCAAAUGUGGAAGUGUAUCCAAAUAUAAAAAUCCGUCAGUCGUUGAAGAAAAAUAAGAAUGGUCAAGAGGACUGGAGCUGGUCACUUUUCUAGAGACUGAAACUAGCGAGCAUGGCCUCAUUGAAGAUCCACAAUCUAUAGGACCAGAACUCUAAGGAAAUAGCUUCACGAGCACAGAAGGUGGUUAGAUUGUAGGUUAGAAUUGAAACCUGAACCAACUACUCCUGAAUUAAAAAUACGGGAUCAAGCCAAGGUGGCAAUUUCUCAAGUUAAACUUGCAUCUCAUGCCUCCUAUUUAUGGCUCUGGUCAGUUCAAAGGUAGUGGAUACAACAAGGCAAGGGAUUUCUGCCCAACUUCAGACCUUUUUGUUGCUACUUUCAUUGACCUGAUCAUAGCCACAAAAAGAAGGCAUGGAAUGGAAGUUAGACUUCAGAAAUUAAUACCUUGGCUUCCCUUAUUUUUAAUUCAGGAGUUGUUGGUUCAGGUUCAAUUCUGACCGACAAUCAUACCAAUUUUCUGUGCUCUCGAAGCUUCUUCCUUAGAGUUUUAGUCCUGCACUUUGUGAGAUUCUUCAUUGAGGCGACACUUGCUAGUUGCAUUCUUGACCAAAGUGUUCAGCUCCAGUCCUAUUGACCAUUCUUCUUUUUCUUUAACAACUGACGAAUUUUUAUAUUUGGAUACACUUCCACAUUUUUAGCUCAUCCAGUUUUUUCAUUUCUCAUGUCAAUUUCAUUGGCCAGAUUCGCUAGAAGUUCUUUACUUGCUUUCCUAUAUUUCCUCUUAAAUAAGGUUUGAAAUGAUAUAUGGCCUUCUCCACCUCCUCCUUCCCGCACAGGUAUUCUCCCAAGCACCUUCUGCUGUAUAAAAGUCUCCUCCAGCAAUCCAUCCAUAUAAAUUUGGACUAGGAAAAUUUCUAUUGGUUCCAUCGUUGUUUGCUAUAGUUCAAGGUUUCAGAGCCCUUUCAAGAAGUCCAUUGCGCCAUUAAAACCGGUCUAAUCACUAUUGGAUAUUUAUACUGCCACCAAAAGCUUGAACCCUUUCCCAAACUUGACACAAAAACAUGAGCAUAGACCAUCAUUAAAUUGUAAUAGGGUAUCGACACCACCAUCUUAGAACCCUUCGACCUUAUCAAUUUGUACCUAUCAAACUAAACUGUACAAUGCAGGAUCUUGUUUGAAGGAUCAGUGUCUAAUCGGUAAAAAACUGCAUUUAUAAAAUCAUUGUACUUUAUGUCUGUCUCUCACAGUAGCCUGAUCAAUAAUACAUAAAUCCCACGUAUGAAAGUGGAUCCAUUACACACACCUUAUUCUUUCUACCCCAUCAAGACAUGUCAGAUAAUGUUGUUUAUUUAUCUGCACGCAUGUGAUGACUAUUAAAAAAGAGGUGUGAAGAGUCAUGACUUUUUAUCUUAACACAUUCAAAAUAGUUGAUGAAUCAAAAUCUUCAUCUAUUGUGACUGAUGAAUCAGUUGUUGGAAGAAAUCAAAAUAUCUCCUCCAACGUAUGGUCCAUCUGUCGCAAUAGAUAAUCCGUAUGUUGCAACAGAUAUUAAAUCUGUUGCGAUAGACCAGACAUUGUUUAUUCAUCUGCAGGUAUGUGAUGACUAUUAAAAGAGAGGUAAAGAGUCAUGACUUUUUAUCUAACACAUUCAAAACAGAUGAUGAACUAAAUUCUCCAUCUAUUGCAACUAAUGAAUUAGCUGUUAGCAGAAAUCAAAACAUCCCUUCCAAUAUAUGGUCCAUCUGUCGCAAUAGAUAAUCUAUAUAUUGCAACAGAUGUUGCAACAGAUGGUAAAUCUGUUGUGAUAGACCAGACAGUGUUUAUUAUUUUACACGUAUGUGAUGACUAUUAAAAAAGAGGUAGUCAUGACUUUUUAUCCAACACAUUCAAAAUAGCUGAUGAAUCAAAUUCUCUAUCUGUUGUAACUAAUGAAUCAUUUGUUAGAAGAAAUCAAAACAUCUCCAAAAGAUGGUCUAUCUAUCACAACAGAUAAUACAUAUGUUGCAACAGAUGUCUCACCUAUUGCACAUACAAACCAUCUAUUGCAAUAGAUGGUAAAUCUAUUUUGACAGACCAUCUAUUACACAUACAGAUAAUCUAUUGCAACAGAUGGUAAAUCUGUUGUGACAGAUGGUUGAUCUGCUGCAACAGCUUAAUAAUAACUGAUGUUAUCAAGUCUCAAAACCAUUUUGAAAAGGUGAAAAGUAUUAAUGUAAAAGAAAAAGUCGUGACUCUUUCCAGAAAACAAAAUGCCACCAGUUUGAAUGGAAUUAAUACAAUGGAGCUUUAAAGUCGUGCCUUUUGUUCUGACACAUCCAGAUUCAAUCCUUUAUAAAUAGGUCCCUCCUUAAUCUUCAUUCUACUAAACUUUAUUUAUUUAUUGCAUUAUUUCUUUUCAUGUGACAUUUUCAACCAUUUUUUUUCAAAGAGCAUAUUUCUUUCUCGUUGAGGUAAGUUUUUUUUGGUAUAAAUCUACCAGUUGGUAGUAUACAUUGUAUUAUAUUUAGACUCUUUUUCUUUAUAUUUGUCAAUUCAUGUGUAUUCUAGAUAUGGUUGAUCCUAUUUGGGACAUUGCUAUUUUGCGCGACACAAUGCAGGAACUUCAGAUACAGGUCAAUGACCUACAGAGGAAUUUGGUCGCCGUGAGAGCGAUGAUGUUCAAAGAGAUCCAGAGACUGAUGAGGGCCCUGCUGCCACGAGUUGAUUGGUCGACUAUCAUUAAUGAUGAUGAUGAUAAUAAUAAUAAUUAAAAUUAUUUUUUCUUUUUUCUUUUAGCAUAUAUACUUUAAUUUUUCCAUAUCGGAUCUAUACCUAAUGUAUUUUAUUUUUUGUUUAAUUAAAAUUUUAUUUUUAGUCGACUUGAGCUUUUUAAUUCUUAUUCAAUUUUCAUUCUAUCUACUUCUUUUAAACAUACAUAUUAAUGUAAACAUAUCGACGGUUGGAGGUAAGGAGCAAUUUUGAAUCCAAUAGCAAUAGCAAUUUUGGCUUUUAAGUUCUUUCAACAGAUGGACCAUAUGUUGGAACAGAUUGGUCAUCUGUUGGGUUUCUAUCAACAGAUUAUCCAUCUAUUGCAACAGAUUUGUCAUCUUUUGGAGAAAAUAUUCUAAUUUGAUGGAACUACAUUGUGUUCUUCCAGCUAAUGUCUAUCUGUUGCCACAGAUGGUUAAUCUAUUGAGAAUAAUUGUGAUCUGCUAUAUUAUUUAGUUCAUGUUUUUCCUUUUUUAUUGAUGCAAAAGUUAUUAAAAAAGAUAUUUUAUAUAUAAUAAAUAAUAACAUUACAUUCACAACAAUGAGUUAAAUAUAUAAAAGUCCACAACAAACAACAACACAAGUUUCUGCAAUUACAACGAUCAUGGUGGAUUACGAUCAAGGCAUGUAGUUCUAUUGUGGCCAGUGCACUUACAUACGGAGCACUUGUUUCUUCUUGAUGAAAAUGAUUCUCCGACUCCACGCCUCCUCUUAUAUGGAUUUCUUCUUGGUUUGAUAGUGCUUGGAUCAAUAUAUGGAGGAGAUAUUAAUCUCCCUAAAAUCUCUGCAGGAACAACCCAAGAUUCUUCGGGAGGCCCCAGAGUAAUAUGCACACUAUAUGCCAUUUCAUAUUCUUCUAUCGAAUAAUAUUGAGAGGAGUGCUCAUAAACUUUAGGUCCAUAUAUUAGACCAUAUUGAGCUCGAAGCGCUGCCAUGGCAAGUGGACAGGGUAUUUUAUCCAAGUCAAAAACUCUGCACGUAUAAGAUCUUGUUUGAAGAUCGACUGUGGCAACAUCACCAUGAUCGGUGAUACUGAAUUUGUAAUCUGCUAUUUUAUGAUAUAAUAACCUAUUGCCCAAACUGAUAUUCAUUGAUAUUAUUUUUUCGAUUUUAAGAACAAAUCGGAUUCAUUUUGAGCCCUUGACUGCACACGCCUUUCAUUAAAAAAUUGGCCAUACUUCUUGUUUAUUACUUUAAACAUAGCCUUGAUAGAAAAUUCUCUUUCAUCGCCAAACAAUGAAUUCGCUGAUUCGGCUAUGUUUGAUGUCAUAAUAUUGUACCUAUACAAAAGAAUCACUUAGUACGACAUCAUACUAAACUUGUAACUCAAAUAAGACAUUAAAUUCAUAAGAAUGUACCUAUCUGCCAGAUAGAAUGCCCGACUCCAUCUCUCGAAACUGACACAUACGAUAAGUUCUGCUACCUUGGGAUUUACAUCCAUUAUUUGAUUAAAAUGGUCCAAAAACUCCUCUCUACUAUAUGCUUUAGUUGCUCUAUAAAAAAGGGCACGACUCUUUCGUUGUGAUAGUUGGUCCGAAUAUUCUCUCCAAGAUGUCUGAUGCAACAACUAAAGUAAGCUCAAGUGAAGAAAAUUGAACCCAUCUUUGGAAUACUUGGAUGCCUAUCCAAAACAAAACAUAACUCUUCGGUAUCUUCGACGCAGCUCUGUAGUUGUUCAAAAAAAAUCCAUAAGAGGCAUCGCAUUCCUUGUUCGCUACACAAAAAGUGACAGGAAAGAUGUGAUUCUCCGCAUCCUGCGCCACCACCGCUAGAAGAACUCCAUUAUACCUACUCCUCAAGAAGGUACUAUCGACUGCUAUGCCUUUUCUCAAAUAUCAAAAACCUUGAAUCCAAGAACCAUAUGAUACAAAAAAGUACUUGAACCUUCCAUUUUCAUCAGCAUGCAAUGUCGUCUUACUUCUGGGAUUUGUGGACUCAAUCAUAUAAUGGUAGGCCUCAUGGACUGCAUACCCAUGCUCGUGUGUCCCCCUAACCAAGUCCUUAGCAAUCUCCAUGGCAGUAUAUAUCUUCUAAUAACUAACCAAGACACCCAAUUCCGUAAGAAUUUGAUUGGCCAUAACCCUUGUUGAAGGGCCUUUGCUUUCGGGGAAACUACUCUUGAAAUAUUCACCGAGGACUUUUAUCGUGGCAUGAGGAUUUUGGCCUAAGAUGUGCUCUGGACCACAUGUGUAAUUCUUUUCAUGUUUAUGAAUGACGAAUCUGUCAGAACUUACGUACUUCACCGCUCUCAACCACCACUUGCAGUUUGGAUUAGCACAUUUGAAGAAAAAGACACUGCUCGAAUUAAUCACCUUCUUUAUUCUGAAAUAUUUUUUCAAGCAAGAAAUAAACAAAGUGGUAGAUAGUUCAUUCUUGUCCUUGAAUGACAUUCCAAUAAAAAAGCCAGUUCUGUUGUUUUGAAGAUUUUCAGAUUGUGUCGAUUGAGAAGAACUACCCAUCGUAUUGGUCGCAUCAACGGGCAUAGGUGUUUAAUCAUCAUCUGGAAUAUUCAUGUCUAGAUCAUCCGACCUAUCAUCAAAGAUGUCUUGUUGUUUUUCUUCUUCUACAUUCUGGUUCUCAUUCUCUCUCGUCUUUUCAACCACGUAUAGCCUUAACACCGGUCUGGAUGAAUCUCUAAGAUAAGCACGCAACCGACCCUGAUCAGUUAUCUUAAAAGGCAGUACCCUCUGAUUUUCAAAGGAGUUGUGCAUGUAGUUGAUGAUGAGUUCUUCUGAUUAACAAUUCAGUCCAUAAUAACUGACAAUUAAGUUCACAAAAUCAUCAUACGAAACAUCACUUUGGACUAUCAUAGCUAUCAUCUCUAACAUUUCACCCUCAUUCCAACGUCAUACAUAUCGAUUGCUCUUCUCGAUCUAUUGACCAUGACGAUUCACCCCUAUUAUUAUUGAUCCCUCCAUUAGCGGUACAUAAAUAAAGUCAUUUAUUAAAAAAAGUUAAUAGUAAUUUCAUAGUGUCGUAAAUGAAUUCCAACAAAUGUGUAAUCAAUCACAACAGAUUAUUUACCUGUUGGGAUUCAUGUUACGCUCCUGGAGUUGAUUUUAACAGAUGAGUCAUUUGUUGUAAUAGGUGAAUUAUAUGUUGCAACAGACUAUAUAUAUGUUGCAAUAGAUAAAGCGCCUGUUGGGAUUAAUGUUACAGUACUGAGGUGCCUUUGAAGCUGAUUUCAACAGAUGAGUGACAUGUUACAACAGAUAAUUAAUCUAUUACGACAAAUGACUUACCUAUUGCAACAGACGAUGAUUUAUUGGAAUCAAUGUCAGGUCCUAUCACAACAGGUCACUAAUAUGUUGCAAUAGAUAUUUACCGUCUGUUGGAAUCGAGUUCAGGUUUUGUUGCAACAGGUUAAUAAUCUGUUGCAAUAGAUAUUUACCCUGUUGCAACAGAUAACACAUCUAUUGGAAUUGAUUUUAGGUUCUGUUGCAAUAGGUUACUAAUCUGUUGCAACAGAUUUUUAUCAUGUUGCACCAGAUAACUAAUUUGUUGCAACAAAUAGGUCAUAUGUUGCAAUAGAUGACCCGUUUAUUUGAUUCAUGUUACACUAUAGAACCAUAAACAUGAAUCCAACAGAUGAGUCUUUCUUUGAAAUAGAUCUGUUUAAAUAGAUAGCUCUUAUGUUGCAUUUAUGUUCGUGUGCUAUUUAUUGUUGAAAAAACAGCACAAUAGCAGUUACCUAGAUGACAAAUUCAACUAAAAAUCAUAAUUUGACUUACCAAAAUCUCCUAUGAAGUAAUGUCAAAGUGGAAAGUGAUGUAUGAAAUAAAAUUUGACCUAAGAAAUUGGUCAAAUAGCAACAGUAACAGUAACAACAACAACAAUGACAAUGGUCAACAAGAAGAAUAUGAAGAUGAUAAUGAAGCAGAAGAUGAUGAAUAAAGCAGCAGCAACAAUGAACAACAAAAAUCGCUAAGAGAGAGAAAACAACGAUGAAUGAGAAGAGAGAGAAAGGCAUUUUUUUCUCCUCCAUUUCUCGUUAUAUUAGGUAAAUAUUUGGAUCAAAGUGUAAAUUUAAAAACUUUUGGGCUAUUCUCAAACUUACCAAACUUUCUUAAUCCAUAAUAAAGUAAUUGUCACCUCCACUCAAUAAUUAAGACUUGUUUCACCUACACUUCAUUUUAAAACUCUUUUGUCACCUACAUCCCAAAACCCCGAGAUAGCAGAUAUACUGUUUGAGAUAAUUUGGUAAAAUCAUAAUGAACUUGUUAUAUCAUAGAUUUGUGAAAAGGGUUCUUUCCAUUGCAAGAGUAUAACUUAAAUAGAUUGAGUAACUUACAUAAAUAUAAGUAUAUAUAACUUAGAUAGAUUGGGUAACUCACAUAUAUAUCAAACAUUAAGGUGCUAAUAAUUUGUUUUCACAAUUUUUUCUAAUUACUUAAUAUACCACUUUUUACAUUUUUUUAAUACAUAUAUUUGGUCUUGAUACAUAUGCGUUUUGAUACAUUUGAAAAAAAAAUUGUUAGCUAAAUAAGGAAAUAACAAAAUCUUCUUAAAUUAGGAAAGUAAAUCACGUUUCAUCAGUUUUGGAAGCACAAUAAAUGUAACGGUUAACAGAAAAUCAAAAUAUUCAUCUCUUCAAAUAAUGCUCGAUUGAAAACUGCAAUUUUAACACAAAUUCUUCAUCAUUUUUUUUCUUCUUCAUCUCAAUUGCACCUUGAACGUGGUAACAAAACUUUAAAAUUUUCAAUUAAUACAUAUGACAGGUUGCUAAAAUCUGAACAUUUUUAUACUUAUAUUAGUUGAUAAUUUUGAUACAUUGUUGUCCCUAAUUAAGUGCUUUUGAUAAUCUAUUCUUCGUACUAAUAUUUGUUGCAUUUAUUAGAUUUGAUACAUUUCAAGUAUGAUAUGUGAAUUUGAUACAUUUGAGACACUAUGAUAGGAUUUCACUGCCAUGUGUUUAUAUAACAUAAAUUUUUUUAUAUAUGUACUUGAUUCAUUUGUUUUGUAUUAGUGUAUUUGGCCUUAAUACAUAUAAUAUUUUGUGUCGAUUUGGUCAUGACACAUAUAAUAUUUGGCCUUGAUACAUAUAGUAUUUUGCCUUGGUACAUAUCAGAGUAUAGUAUAAUGUAAUGUGUCUGGCCUAAAACCUAACAAUGUUCUUAUCAAUUUGGGUAACAUCCAAACUGAAUGAUGGUAAAUUAUCGAAAUCCAUAAAAAUCAAAAAAUAAAUUAAAAAAAAUCAAAGAAUCAAAAGUACCCAGAAUAAAAUUCACCACUUCACCACUUGAAGAACCAAUAAUGUUCUUAUCAAUGUGGGUAACACACAAACUUAAUGAUGGUAAAUUAUUGGAAUCCAUAAGAAUUAAAAAAAAAAAAAAAGACACAAAAAAUGUGUUUUUAAACUAAAAUAAAGUAAUCUUUCUUAAAAUCAACUUCAGCAUUCCACUCACCUCUCGAAAAAUGAGAAAUUCUUUUCAACAAAUUGACUUGAAUGUCGUUUGCAGUAGAUGGAUGAUGGAGAUAAUUGAUUGAAACUCAAAUUUGGAGAGAAGUUAUCGAUUAAUUUGGGUGAAAAUUUUUAAAAAUGGAAAGGAGAGAUUUGGGGCUAAGAAGUAGGAGUUUGUGCAGUUUUGGGAGUGAAAAUAUAUGUAUCAAGGAUAAAAAUUCAAUAAGUGGUAUAUUAUGAAAUAUUUUAAAAGAUGUGAGAUUUUUAGAAAUAAUGAUGCUUAAGUUUGAUUAUUUAUGUAAUUUAUCCUAGAUUAAAACAAGCAUAAUUGAACCGAAUUUAGGACGUUUGUAAAAGGAAAUUACUUAAUUGCCUUUGCCAAAAAAAAAAAAGGAAAUAACUUCCGCGUCGUACUAAACGUGUCUGAAAAUUAAGUUUGAUUGUGCAUUUAAAUUGUGGCGGAAGGAAAAGGAACUUAUAUAUAAAACAACAUAUAGAAACUUCAAUUAAAAACAAUCCUCUCAAAAUACAAAAAUUAAGUUCCCCUUAACAAGAUCCUCCAAAAAAUCCAAGUGAAAAUAUUAUCCAAAUACAGGCAAGGAAUGGGCCAUUACCAUCAUCCUAAGCUAAAGAAAGAGAUAGCAAUUCAUACAUAUAGAGGCAAAUUAAACAAAUUAAAACAAAUGAUGCUGGAUGAAAAGAGAGUUCUACAUUAGAAAGCAGAGCAAACUCCAUCCUAAGACCAAGCUUUCCACAACCAUUGUUGACAACUUCAGGCCCUCCACUCCACUCUGCAAAUCAAACAUGCUUCCAAAUAUUAAGAAAUGACUAUAACAAAUAAUUUUUUAAAAAAAGAGUUACUAAUUAAAUAGGAUCACUGGCUUAUAAAUGUAAAGCAACAUAGGAAACAAAGAAAAUCAUAAAAGUAAAGGAAUAUAGGAAACAAAGAAAACCCAAACAAACUGCAAUCCUUCUAAACCCACAAGCCUUAAUUUUUUAGUAUACAUCCUCAGAUUUAUAAUGAAGAUUAAGAACUUCUCAAUCAAAGCAUAGUUAGGGGAAAUGCCUUCUUUUUAAUAGAAAAAAAAAAAACUAAACAGUCAUUUGGCUUGAAGGGCCGUUUCGUUUGAUUUGCCGACAAAGUUAUGCGAAAAUUGAAAUACAUAGGAUUAAUUAAUAAACACUUGAUUAUUCCAGUUUAAAAAAAUAAACACUUGAUUAUUAGAGUAUAAUAUAAAAUUUUUAUAAUUUUAUACUUGUUUUUGAAGUAACUGACAAUAGAAAGAUUGUAAAGUCAAUUGUUAUUUGGUCUUCUAGAGGUAUUUAAUGCCUGUAAAGCGAAAUCCACUUAUAAGUUUAUCUCAUGUUGAAUUAGUAUAUAAAUAAUGUAUUAGAUUUGUGAUUUAAGUCCUGUACAGCAAAAUGUUAAUGAAUGCAAUAUAAAACAAUGUCUAAUUUGAUACCCAAAAUUUAUCCUCUCUAAUACUGGUAAUCGAACAAAUUCCGAUAUCCAAGAUCCUCAUCAAACACAUUCAGAUCUGUAGUAUAUCAAUGUGAAUUUAAUCAACAAAUUACAACUGCAGUCAGUGAAAUAAUAAAUCGUGGCACAUAUAUAACGAUCCAAAUCAAUUCAAGGUAGCGCAAUGGGUGUGGGUGUAUAUGAGCUGUUUACUCUAUUAGUAGUACACACAAUAUAUAUUCUUUCUUCCACCAAACAGCUAAUUAUAAUUAACGUUGACAUAGAUCUCAGGACAUCAACCAUGUUGACACCAAAGCUCAUUAAACUGGAUACUAAACUACCAAUACACAAAAAAGAAAAAAAAAACUCUUUAAAAAUUGAUUUACUAACUUAUUAUUACACUGAUGAGGUUUAUUUUUAUUACUUCCUCCGUUUAAAAAAGAAUGAUCUAUUGUCAUUUUUAAUCUGUUUCAAAAAGAAUGACUCCUUUCCUUUUUUGGCAAUACUUUAGUUUCAACUUUCCACAUGGCUUGUUUAUGAUCAUAGGAUUAAAGGGCAUUUUAGUACAUUUGACACUACUUUAAUUUAAGAUCACAAGAUUCAAAAAUUUCUUUAUUUUUUUAAACUUUGUGUCAAGUCAAAGUAGAUAAUUCGUUUUUAAACGGAGGGAGUAGUUGUAUUAGAUUACAUCUACAUCAUAUCUUUAUCUAGGUAUGACUAUCAUUUUUGGUUACAAAUAAUUACUCACUAUACUAAAUUGUCUAAUUUAGAAAUAUAUUUAAUUAGAGCUAGCACAUAUCUAAAAUUAAACGUAUUUAAAGCAUGCAGUCAGACCAUAAAUCCAACAUACAGGAUCCUAACUAACUACUGUCUUAUAUUAUAUGAUCUUUAAUUUUACAUUAUAGAAUCACCUCUAACUUUAAAUGAUUAACAAAGAAAAGUAAAAUUUGCAUGUACCUGAUCAGUAGCUGAAGGAGCUGGAGAUAAAGCUCCAAGACUCGGGGCUAGGGCCGGAGCUCCAUUGGGAGGUAAGGGAGAACUCAAGCCCAAAGGAGAUGGUGCCGGAGAAGUUAAUUUCUUUGCAGGAGCCGGAGCAGGAGUUGAUGCAAGUGGUGCAGGAGAAGGCGCUGCCGGAGGAGGUGGAGGGGUAGCGGGUGGAGGUGGAGAGUUCACUUGCGGAGGAGGAGAAGCAGGAGGAGUGGGAGGUGGUGUAGAUGAAACGACCGGUGGUGGUGAAGCAGUUGGUGGUGGCUGAGCCGGUGGCGUUUGAGUGUUAACUGGAGGAGGAGAACUAUUGGGUGUUGGUGGAGCUUGGUUCGUGGGUGUUGGUGGUGCCUGGGUAGUGGGUGUAGGAGGAGCUUGGUUCGUGGGUGUUGGUGGUGCCUGGGUAGUGGGUGUAGGUGGUGCUUGGGUAGUAGGGGGUGUAGGAGGAGCUUGGUUAGUGGGUGUUGGUGGUGCCUGGUUAGUGGGUGUAGGUGGUGCUUGGGUAGUAGGGGGUGUUGGUGGUGCUUGAGUAGGUGUUGGUGGUCCUGGAGGUGCUUGACCACCAACUCCAGCUAUGAUAAUGCAGAUCAUAAAUCCCAACGAAACAGCAUUAUUCCUAUCCAUCAUUUUGACAAUAUAAUGGAGAGGAGGAAAUUGAA